UGUUUUUCGGUGGGAUAGGCACAAUAGCGCCAUCGUUGAAUUCGGGCAGUAGCUUACGUUUAGGAUAGCUCUUUGUUUGUCGAUUACCGCCGUAUUUUUCCUCAGCGUCUAGCACUUCAUUCCAUCUGUCAUUGAGCGUAUCUUGUGUGGCUUUAAGCCGCUGCUUCUGCUUCUUCAGGCUCCUUGCAGUGGCGAUAAGCCUUUGAUGGAGGCGUUCUUGUUCUAAUGGUUCUUCUGGGAUGACGAAUUCAUCAUCGCCCAGGCUGAUCUCUUCUUCAGAGACAGGUUGAUAAUUGCUAUCGUCGGCAUCGCUGUGGUCGUACAACAUCUCCGGACUGUGUUCGACGUCCUCUCGCACGCCCUGCUCCAACGCUGGGUCUGCGGGGUCCUCGGCUUAGUUCAGAUUAUCAUCGUUGUCCGUGACAAUGUUGCUAUUUUUUCUUUUGCUGGAUCGAGGUCGGCGCUUCUGACGCCGGCGCUUGGGAGGUUCAUCGACAGGCAUGCUGUUAUCGCCGUCAGCCUCCUUCUCCUUAGAUGUGUCCACCAUGUAUAUAUUGUAUGAGGAUGUAGCCGUCCACUGCCCUAAGGGUGGUGGUUUUUGUGCCUACUCCUCUCUGACAUCGUAUUCCAUACCGCGAUGUCCUCGGAGCCGUAAUCGAGCGUGUCAGUUAAGUCCUCGACAGUGGCAAUGAAGUGGGUGGUGGGUGGGAAAUGAAGUUCUUCGUCGUCCGCUUCCCAUUUGAGCCGGACAUAGUUCGGCCGAGAGUCCCCUGACAAGGAGAGGGAAUUCAAUGAGUUUAACACGUCGCCAAGAGGCGAGUGCUGGAAGAUGUCCGCGGAGCUGAACUCCAAGACCGGCGCCCAAUCAGGUUCGAUGGACGCGGACGCACGCGGUCCGAAACCCAUGGCCGGAGACGAGUCCGAGGUUCCGGUGGCACAAGCCUAGCUCGAUGUUGGGUUUAUGUGCGGCCCGAGUGCCGCUGAGACUGCGGCCUCUGUGGCGGGGCUAAGCUUCUCGUCUUCGGACGAUGCAGUCCGCUCCGGCUCUAGGGCCAGGGCAGUCAUAGGCGCUAUCUCAUGCGCACGGCCAGAUGACAGAUCUAGGUCAUGUUCAUCGUGGUGGCUGGGUACAGCCAUCAUGGACUCGAACCCAUCGAAGAUCAAGUCUCCAUGAAUAUCGUCCACAAAAUACAGGCUUCCAAAUCUGACCUGAUGGCCAGGGGCGUAGCUAUCGAUCUGCUCUAGAUGGCCAAGCGAGUUGGCCCGCAAAGCGAAGCCGCCGAAUACGAAGAUCUAUCCGGGGAGGAAGAUCCCCCCUGGACUGUGUUGCUGUAGAUGAUUGAUGGAGCCAUCAAGCCUUCUGAUGAUGACGCAGUGUAACUCUCAAUGAAAGCACCAAUGUCGGUAUCAAAACCGGAGGAUCUUAGGUAGGGGGUCCCGAACUGUGCGUCUAAGGCUAAUGGUAACAAGAGGCGGGGGACACAAUGUUUACCCAGGUUCGGGCCCUCUCUAUGGAGGUAAUACCCUACUUCCUACUUGAUUGAUCUUGAUGAAUAUGAGUAUUACAAGAGUUGAUGUACCACGAGAUCGUAGUGGCUAAACCCUAGAAGUCUAGCCUAUGAGGUUAUGAUUGUUGUGGCUAAACCCUCCGGUUUAUAUAGACACCGUGGGGACUAGGGUUGUACAAAGUCGGUUACAGAGAAAGUAAUCUACAUAUCCGAAUCGCCAAGCUUGCCUCCCAUGCAAAGGAGAGUCCCAUCCGGACACGGGACGGAGUCUUCUAUCUUGUAUCUUCAUAGUCCAACAGUCCGGACCAAGUAUAUAGUCCGGCUGUCCGAGGACCCCUUAAUCCUGGACUCCCUCAGUGCCCACACCUUCCAAACCACCUCCUGGAUCGGUGAGACUGUGUAUGUGGAGACCGACUUUUUCGUGAUCCCGUGCAUGGCAUCACCAUUAAAUCCACUAUGAUAGCUAGCACAACUACUCCACCCUAUCCCCUACGUAGAUUCUCCCUCUCUCUCCUUAAUUUUCCCAUGCAUUUUAAGUUCAACCUCAAAUAAUUGUCUUUAAAGAAAAUUUUGAUUUGUGACUUAUAUAUUUGCGUUGCUGACGAGGAGAUCUUUUCAACAAGACUAACCAUGAAUAUAUUUUCAUCAUUUUCAAAAUAAAUUUGAAAACUUGAUGAAAAAAUAAAAACUAUGAUUGUUAGACUUGUUUUAGGCCAAUUUGCAUAAGUUAUUUUCCAUCACUAUUAAACUUAUUAAUGUGUCCAAGAAAACAACGUAGUUAUAUAUCCAUGCGAAAACCAUCAUGUAAUAAUGCAUUUCACACAUGUUUCACUGUAUUUAGAAAAAUCAAAACUAUCAAAACAUAUUACCUCCACUCAAAAAUAUCUGACUUGUCUUAGUUAAAACCACGCCAGUUAUUUUCGAAUGGAGGGAGUAUUAAAUAGUGAACUUGUUUUGAAGAUGUCAUUGAAAGUAAGACACACGUUCAUAUGGAUUAUUUAUCAUAUUUUUAUUUUAAAAUAUAUGGUUUUUUGAAGUUUAAGAUUUAAAAUAAAGUCCAUAUACUUAGUAUGUGGGAGUGGGAAGUAGGUGGGAGAGAGGAACAGACUGCAUCCACACGACAUAGUACUCUCGUUGCAACCUUGCUCCAUAAAGUUAUCAGAUGGCUCUAGAUAUAAGCUUUUUUGCUUAGAGGCUGAGGAUGCAAUGUAUAGAGGCAAACUUUACAGACUUGGAGGCAAUCUUAGAGGCACCAAAUACUCACACUAUGGAUGCCCUGAGAACCACCACAAACCAAAUGCAUGGAGGCACUUUGCCAUUUAUAUCUUCCUGAUAGGGACAUAAAUUCCAUUGAGAGCCACUAGCCUAUUAGUGCAGCUUAAUGGCUAUCCAAUUAUCAUUGUAAUAGUUCAGAAGGAACAAAGUGUAGCACAAAUAAUAUAUUCAUUUUUCGUGUCCAGUGGCAAUUUACCAGGUGCCAUUUAACCACAUAUAGACUAUGAAGUUAGUUUCAUAUCACAUAAAUUGACCACAAAAGGGAGCAUAUGUUCAUGGCUUAUGAUGAAUCCAAAAUGUAUGAUAAUUUUGAUAGUUAUUUUGUGCCUACACAGUAGGCUUUAUGGAAUUUUAUUAUGUUCGCGAUUUGCUUUUUGUUGGUUUUCCUAGGAAACGGCUUUUGGAACAAAUAAAGCUCUUUGGAAGGAGUCCCGGGAAUUUAUGGUGGAAUCACAUUAUCCAAUGAGAUAAUUAACUACCAUAAAAAGAAUGAAGCAAUGGGAGAAACAAGGAGGCCCUGCAGCUAGUCCCACAAGUCGUCCUAGCAUGCGAGCGCACACGCUCGUAUGCACGGUCGUAUGACACGCCACCGCCGCCUCCUCAUCCACUACUUCCACCUCCUAAAGUUGGAUCGGGGAUCAGACAAAGAGAGUCACCUGAAACACAUCCAGAAGGUGGAACCCUAGCCUCCGGAGGGCAUCCAGAGGAGGAAUUGAUCCAAGGACUUCGUCGUCGCAACGCUGCAUCAAGAGGGCUCCAUCAUCAUCAUCAUCAUCAUCACCAUCAUCAUCAUCUCAACCCUAUCCAUUUGUAAUAUAAUAGUUGGAGUGGAUUUAAUCUUGUGUUAACUUAUGUGAGAUCACCAUGUUCAUCAUAUUUUAUCUCAUCUCGUUUGUGCCCAUGAUGUGCGAGUAAUCUAUAAUACCUAAAUAGUUCAUCCCCAUUACCUGAUUUCUCUACCCUCUCGUGCAUUUUUGUCAUCUUAAUAUUUUCGUUCGUUUGAUUGACCCCAUAUGGCGAAGAGUUGGACCCCAUGUUCGCUCCACCUUCCUCGACCCAUAGAAGUAGAAGCAAAACUUUUCUCCAACCGAAACAUCAGUGGGAGAACCCCUCAUCACAAUCUGGUCGCCCCACCCUCACCCCCAUCUCUCUCUCCUCAAACGACACAAACCACACAUGGUGAUGGACAUGACUAAGCCCAGGUUCCUCUAGGGUUUGCGCACGCCAUCAGUAUGAGAACCGAUGGCUAUGACGAUGGUGGCGGCUUGUGGGGCAAAGGCAAGAUUGAAAGACGAUCGAUCUAGAGGAUGGGUGGGGACUUUAUGCAAAGGAGAGUUGUUGAUAACCCUCAAGUAUAUGGGGUCACAACCAUUUUCGAGGGUAGAGUAUUCAACCCAAAUUUAUAGAUUCGACACAAGGGGAGCCAAAGAAUAUUUGCAAGUAUUAGCAAUUGAGUUGUCAAUUCAACCACACCUGGAGAUUAAAUAUCUGCAGCACAAUGAUCAGUAGCACAGAAAUAUGAUGGUUUUGAUAAUAGUGGUAACAGUAGCAAUGGUAACAGUAACAUAAGUAACAAUUUUGUAGUAGUUGUAAUAGUAGCAAUGGCAGUAGUAACUUAGCAAGAACAUUAUGUGGGAAAUUCGUAGGCAUUGGAUAGGUAGAUUUGUUGGAUGAUAUUCAUCAUAUAACAGUCAUAACCUAGGGCGAUACGAAACUAGCUCCAGUUCAUAAAUAUAAUGUAGGCAUGUAUUCCGUAAAUAGUCAUACAUGCUUAUCAAAAUAACUUGUAUGGCAUCAUUUGUCCUACCCUCCCGUGGCAGCGGGGUCCAUAAGGAAACUAAGGGAUAUUAAGGCCUCCUUUUAAUAGAGAACCAGAACAAAGCAUUAACACCUGGUGAAUACAUGAACUCCUCAAACUAUGGUCAUCACCAGAAAGUAUCCCAAUUACUGUCACCCUAAGGUUUAUGGAUCAUAACACAUAAUAGGUGCAUGCAAAAAUCCAGAGUGAUGGUAGCAAACUGUGGAUAGACCCAAAACCAAUGAUAGCAGGCAGAUAAUAGCUUUAGUUAAAAUAUACAGAUAAUGGCUCCUUUAAUGUUUGUUUACACCCAACAUGAAACUCAUAGUAGACACCCGAGAUUAACCAGAUAGUAGACAGAUAGUACUGAUUGCUGCCCCAAUAUGUACCCCAAAACCAUUUAAAAACUCAUGUUGCAGCAUUAGUUUGGACCUGACUCGGAGUCUAAUAGGUGAACACGACGAUAAAGUAGCAUGUCAUCAUAUUAAGUGAUGCAUAACGUAAGUAGACACGGAAGAGUGCAGCCUCUCUUGCGGACCUGUGUAGUCCUCAAGGUCAUCUGCUCAGUUGAUGAUGGUAAUGCAGUUGUCGUGGCUGCAGGUGGCGGGGAAGAAGAUCUGAGGCGGCAAAAGACAGUCUAGAGAGCGGAUCCCUGUUGUGGUGAACCCUUCCGUCGUUGGAGUAGCUGAGCUGGGGUGGAACACAGCGCAGCAGGAGCAGGACAAACCACACAAGGUUUUCUUUGACACAUAUCUGUAAUAGAAGUAAUUGUCUAAGGGCUUGUUUGAAUUUGAGGAUUCUAACAAUGCAGGGAUAGGAAAUAGACAAAAAUACGAUAGGAAUGCACAUGCAAAACAGAGAAUUUAAAAACACAGGAUUUCUGCCAAUCUGGGUGUUUGAUUCACAAGAAUUGGAAGAUCACAGGAUGCAAAGAAGCAUGGUGAGAUUAAGUCAAACCACAAGAAAAUGUACGGUUAUAAUGCUAUUAUGCUACUAUCUCUUUUUCUUGUGCUUCAUGAAUAGGAAUUUGAAAAGGAGGACAAGUGGAAAUUAAAAUUCCUACAGUUUUUCUUUCAAGGAGACACUAAAGGAACAAAUCCUACAAUUUUCCUUUGCUCCAUUCCUUUGAAACAAAUUCAUGAAUAGUAGUACCAUUGGAAACUUUCCAAUUCAUAUGUUUUUCCUUCACUUUUCCUUUCAAGCACUGGCGAUUCUAGUAGGAAGGCUUGAGCAAGGAAAAGCCUACACUAAAAAAUGUUUUUGUGCUACAUCUAUUACUUUGGACCCAGGCCACUGCCCUGCUAGCUCAACUCCCAGGCCCAUCGACAAAUGCAUAGCUCAAAAGCGCAGAGAUAAAUAAUGAUGGUGUUCAAGAGAGUCCAUCACAGAUAGCUAAGUUGCCUAGUACCUCACUACUUGUCAUAUAGUAGGAUAAAAUAAUCGUAUUUCACAUUACUACGUGUGCUCAAUGGACAAUAUAUAUAACAUGUAGAGUAAAAAAGAGAUGCAACAAGUGUACAACCUCUUUGGCGAAGCCAUGUCGAUCUCAGCAUGAUUGGGUUGGUCGGUGAGGAUGCUCCGGCUGACUUGGCUAUCGGAGGAGGGUAAGAAGAUCUUAGGCGUCUAGAGAUGGAGCCCGGGGUACUGCUCCGCUGUGAUGGAGGGUUCGGUCGUUGGAGCAGCUCCGGUGAGCUGUACAAUGCCGAGGCUGAAGCAGGACAAGAGAGACAACGUUAACAUGAGUGGAAUUCUAAUAGCAUCUCCAAUAGAUGACGUAAAAUACAUAACCACAAAGUGCUAGAUGUAAAAUACAUCAGCCGCUCAUCUCUGAACUUAACUGUCGAAACUGAAUUUAACCGUCGAAACUGAACUUAACUGUCGAAAUUGAAUUUUGCUGUCGAAACUGAAAUGUACUAUUGAAACUGUACGCACUAGUAGCAGAAAAGCAGUAGCAGUAGCAGCAGCGCGUGCGAUAGCCGGGGCAGCUGGUCCUAUAGCAGCAUCAGGUGAGGCUACACUUCAGUCGACUGACUUUUUCAUCUCUAGUCAAUCGAUUUUCUAGCCGUUGGAUACGGAAUCAAGGGCCUACAGCUCAUCUUCAACCUCCACCCCCCUGAGAUGCCAGCCACCACCGGCCAAACUGUCGCCCCCCCCGCCGCCCGCCUCGAAACCACUACCCAUAACCGGUCUGCCGCUGCCCCGACCAUCCCUCNNNNNNNNNNNNNNNNNNNNNNNNNNNNNNNNNNNNNNNNNNNNNNNNNNNNNNNNNNNNNNNNNNNNNNNNNNNNNNNNNNNNNNNNNNNNNNNNNNNNNNNNNNNNNNNNNNNNNNNNNNNNNNNNNNNNNNNNNNNNNNNNNNNNNNNNNNNNNNNNNNNNNNNNNNNNNNNNNNNNNNNNNNNNNNNNNNNNNNNNNNNNNNNNNNNNNNNNNNNNNNNNNNNNNNNNNNNNNNNNNNNNNNNNNNNNNNNNNNNNNCACUCUAAACCCUAAGAUAGAUAGUGGGGUACCUCUCCAGCGAUCCCCCCUCCCUACUGCGGCUAGUUUUUCCUUAACUCCGGCGAGCCCCCUACCCCUGAAAAUCGACUGACCCAAAAGUCGAUUCAGUCGACUGAAGUGUAGCUAAAUCGGAGCAAUAUCGCAAGCAAGAGCAAGAGCAAGAGUAGCAGCACAAGCAAGAGCAAGAGCAAUAGUAAGAGCAGACCAGGCAGGGGACCAAGAGCAAGAGCAGAGCAGCACCGCAAGCGAGACCUAAAGCAGCAGCAGCUCCUACUGAUGUGGACGUCGCCGCCGAGGGAGUGAUGCCAUGGAUGAAGUGGCCGGCGACGCCGCCGUGGAUGGAGCCGCGCCGUGUCGGCUCGGGACCGAGCACUGGGAGCACCGUGAUAUCGAAUCAAGAAGAAAAUGCGGCGAUUAGUGUACAACCUCUUUGGUGGCGCCGAUUAGGCCGCAGCUUCAUCCGAGGAAACAGUGAUGAUGCUGCUCUUCCGGUGGUGCAGGUGAAGACGUCGGUGUGGGAAUGGAGGUGGCACGAAAGACAAGGGGAACAUCGGGGCAGCUCCUUGGAGGUGGAGGACGGGGUGGCUGAACCGGCGGGACGACGAGAUCAACGACGGAUCCUCAUCCGGUAUGGCGGAUGAGGGACAUUGAGGUGUUGCUGUGGAUGAUGUCGUUGGGGAAGAGGCUGCGGCUGGGUGGCGGACGGAGGAGGGUGUGGGGCUUCAUGGGUUUUCACGGCCUCGGUGUACGAAUGGGUGGGCGGAUGGGAUGGGAGUGGAGAACCAUGGCUUAGGGAUGCAUUUGUCCGAAAGGUGGAGUAAGUUACGAAAUUACCCCCACUGAUUUGAGCUAGGAGGUUCUUCCGGUUGAGGGGUAUCAUGGGCAUUUCGCGUGUCGGGAUUUCACAGGAGGUGGGAGUUUUUGCGCGCAUUGUAAUUUUGGAAUAGCAAGGCGCGGGUUGAGAUGGAGGGAGUUGUCGGAGCACAACGAGACAAAGAUAUAUCUUAAAUAUUUCAGGGUAACAAGGCGCGGGUUGAAGAGGCGGGAGUUUCGCAGGACGAUAGACAGAGACGCAAGCUUCAAAUUUCGGCAUAACAAGGCGUGACUUGAAAUUUCCGGAGAACAAACUUAACGUGUACCAAAAAAGGCAAUUCGCACCUCAUCACUAGAGAGAGCCAUGUCCCGUUUUACUAUAUUACUAGAAAUGCAUUCAAAUACAACAAAAAAACAAAAAAAAUCGGGACAACAAACAUAACGUGUACAGUACCAAAACAAUUUGCACUUUCCUCAACAAUAAAAAAACAAUGUGUGUUGUCCAGGAUAUGGACUAAAUUUGAGUACAUUUUCCCUGUUUGAAUGGAAUUGUACUCGGGUUAGUUAUACAACCAUCUAAAUAUUAUCUUCACAACACAUGACAUGAAUAUAGGAGAAGUAAAUUCCUAUAUAAAUACAAACUACAUGUACAUAUAAUCUCAAAUUCAAAUAUAUGUAUCCAUUUUAUGUUGAAUUCAAAUCAUAGUACAUGUAUGCUCUAGCUAGAUGUUCGGAAUCUAAACCAUGUAUGAUAUACUACGUACAAUGUGUUUAACACGCACAACACACACACAAACACCAUUUAGACUAGUAGGGUACACGUACAUUGCACGCAUGAGAUUUGGCAACCAAAUUAUGAAAAAAUACCACAUUAUAGCAUGUAAGCUUUGAGUCAUACAUGCAUGAUGUAGAUGUUUGUUUAAUUCUUAUAGUUCAUUUCAUUCAAAAUCAUCUAGUUUUUAUAAGAAAGCUAAUCUAUUUUAAGAUUAAUGGAAUUCUGCGUUGUAAGGCAUAAAGUAAAAAACAAAUAAUGGCAUAUCAUGUAGAAAAACAUUUGGGCAAUUCUGAUACGGAAAGUUCUAGAACAGAGAAAAAGUGCUUGUGUUUUGAGGUUUGUGCAUUAUGCUUAAAUUCAACCAUGGAGUCUUCUAGAUUGUACAUGUGGCAAAAUCUGGUGGAAUCUAGAUGAUAUCCAAUGGCUAGUAGUGCUCAAAUUUGCCAUCUCCGCACCAUCAGAUUGGCAUCAUCCAACGACCAUCUUUCAAAGUUAAAGUUAUCCGCACACUAUAUAAAAAAUAUAUAAUAUAAUAUAUAUAGGGGUAUAGAUAUAGAUAUGUGAUGCGAAAGCCACCCAUCAUCUCCAAUUAGAAUAGUGUGUCCAUGCACGGAUGCAAUGUGGCCAAACGAUGUCUGCCAUCGGUAUCUCAAAUUCAAAUCAGUCUGACCUUGUUCAAUAUGUAUACAGUACAACAUGCUCAUUUCCAAACCACACCGCGCAUAUCUUAGUUAUAUUCAUGCAUGCAUAGGUUUCAAACAUCAUGAUCUCUUAUUCAAAUAUUUGAAUUCAACUUUACAUUGAUUAUGACCUCACCUAGUCUUUUACACCCACACAGUGGUCUUCUCUUUAUAGUUGUAACACUAAGUUUCUCUCGUGCAUGCAUGCACACACACUACCAGUCGGCAUUAUCCCGCACACAUGCAUGCUUUUUCUUCAGGUCGGUCUCCCAUGCAGGCACACACACACCUCCCCUCUCCAUCAUAUUGGCAUUCUUUAUCUGUCAUGUACAUGUGCAACGAUCGAUGUUCCUCUAUGUGUGUGUGUAUAUUGCUAGGUCUUUCACAGUUUUCCACACAAAUAGAUCAAUCUAUAUAUCUAGUGAGGUCUCACCCUCUUUCCCACGUCCACAUCGAUCAAUCUAUACCUCUCUAUAUAGGAUUACAUAGCUAAUACACCCAGAUUAAUUAUAUAUCCAACGUCCCCCUCUCAUCAUCCAUGCCUUGCGCUUCAUCUCUCAGACACGCGCACAGUGGGGAAGAAAGGGGGGCAGCAAGGGCCCUGCCCCCCCCCAACAUCACUAUAUAUUGAGGCUAAUAUGAAUGUGAUCAUUAGACAAUUAAUGGUAAAAUGGUUUAAGUUGAUGGAUUGACCCUCCUUGUAAAGGAUUAGCAAUGCUUGCCCCCCUAGCUCAUUUAUUUUUCAAGGCUCCAUCACUGCGCGCAAUAGUGCAUGUUCUCGCCCCCUCUCUUUAAAUAUCAAUCUCUCACUUGUGCACUCCUUCAUAGUAUCCCUCCACUUGGCCCCUCGCACCAUCUUCUAGCCCCCACCGGAUUUUUCCACAUGCAUAAUCUAGCGAACUCCAUGGUUGAACUUAAGCAUAAUGCACAAACCUCAAAACACAAGUGCUUCUCCUUUGUUCUAGAAUCUUCCGUAUCAUAACUGCCCAAACUUUUGUUCUAGCUGAAUUGCCAUUAUUUGAUUUUACUUUAUGCAUUACAACGCACAACUCCAUGAAUAAUAAAAUAGAUUAAGGGCUUCUUUGAUUCAAAGGAUUCUCAAAGGAAUUUUGGAGGAUUCUAAUCCUUAGGAAUUUUUCCUAUCUUGGUUGUUUGAUUCGUAGGGUUGUAAACCAUAGGAAUUUUUCCAUAGGAUUCAUUUGCACUAGAUUUCAUAGGAAACAUCCCAUCCACUCAAACCUCUUUGAAAGAAUCCUGCAUUUUUUCUAUGCACAAUCAAACACUCGUACAAUCCUGUAGGAUUCAAGACGACAUUCCACUCUAAUCCCAUGUUUUUCCUAUUCCCGCGUGUUGGAAAUCCUACGAAUCAAAGAGGCCCUAGCUUUUUUUAUAAAAACUAAUUGAUUUUGAAUGAGAUGAACUAUAAGAAUUAAAAGAAGGUCUACAUCAGGCAUAUAUGACUCAGAGCUUACAUGCUAUAGUGUGGUAUUUAUUCAUAAUUUGGUUGCCAAAUUUGAUGCGUGCAAUGCACGCAUGCCUUACUAGUACUUCGAGUAUGUGAAAAACACAUAAAUUAGAAUUCCAAUGGCAUGCUACACAGUGUCUCUCUUACAGUUCAUGAAGCCAUGUGGCACAUGUGGAGGCAUUGCCGCGACCUCAUUGUGUGGAUUGAUCACAAUGACGUGCUGCUGGUUCCAGAAGAAUGUACUCGUCCUCUCUGAGCCAAACUGGCGAUACAUGCACGAAGCAUAGAUGUGCAUGCAUGCCACGCUCGCACUCAUUCCCUCACACACACGCGGGUACACAGGCGGAUGCAUUUGUGUACGAAGAUCCACCCCAUGUGAUAAUUUGACGUGUGUAAAGUCCUUCACUUCAUUGAUGGUCAAUUAAUACAGCGCGUGCAAAUUGAAUGGACGUGAGGGCGGAAGAAAGACGUUACUACUUCACUGCACGCAUGCAAAUAGUUAAAUCAUGGGUUGCUAGUAUUUCCAUUGGUCUCCUUCGUAUUUUGUGCCAAUUUUUGACCAUAUUUGUAAGUAACGUAAUAUUUAUGCAUGUCAUAAAAAGUGGCACAAAAAAAGGGGCCAAUAAACCAGGACGCAGGCAACAUGAUCAUUUUUUGCCAGUGGUACUGUUCGUGUCCUUUGUAUUUAAAUAUGGACAGAGUGGAGUAGUACUAUCUUUAUCUUAGCCUCGUAGGCACUAGGCUCGCCUCCCCGCCUCGCCGACCAGAUCCCGCCAUGGAUAAUCCCUUAGAUCCUAGGAUCCCGUGGGAUGCUCUCUCGCUGCGGCCCGCAUCAUUGCCUCCUUUGAGCGAAACCCACAUGUGUUUUAGAGGGGAUCCAUUGCUCUAGAAUCACAUAACGGAUGCGCCGGAGGACAUGCAAGAUUGGAGAGAAGUUCCAAGGGUAAAUCGGAUCAAGGAAGCGCCGCAUCGAUUGGAGAGAAGUUCCAAGGAGCUGCGCCUGGCGCAGCACAAGGCAGAGGCGCAAGUCGAUCUCAGGGGAGAGAUGCUAAGGGAUGUCAGCAUCUGGCAGCAUCACGUUGAUUUCAAGCUAGGGCUAAUGGCAGAGAUCAUAUUCAUCGAGUCGAAUGCGGAGGAAAGAACAUGCAUGCCUGCGCAAUGGCAUGAGCAGUCUGUGCAACUAUUCAAAUGGGCGGUAGGAGAAGUCAAAUCUCGGGACCAGUUGUGGCGGGCGGCGGCGCCGCUGGGCAUGCAUCAUAGGCGAGGUGAGCUGCCCUCCUUCCUCGCCCACGAUGAUGUGAACUUGCAACGCCAUGUCGGUUUGCAACAUUGACAAUCACUCCAUCUAUAUGUAUUGUAUUCCUGUGAAAAUACUUGGUCGUUUGGAAAAAGAUGGUAAUUGAUUUAUCACUAGUUUUAGAAUGCUUGGUCAUGACAAUCAACCGAAGCCACAACCAGAAGUCUCCAUCGCGUAAUACUUUACGGUCGGUCACACCAACAGACGGUCGGUCAGACCCCCGUCUCACCAAAGGGACACGCAUCGGCUUGGUCUGACAUGUACGACCAGUUACAUCACUGACUUGUGCGACCGCAUUUGAGCAGUGUAUUUUACAAGUCUUGCACAUGUACCUAAGUCGUUAAUUUGACCAACUUAAUACGAGGCAUAGAUUACGAAAAAUAUAUCAUUACAAACUUCGAAUAUUCUAUUUUUUAAUGAUAUAUUUUUUAUGUUAAACAAUUUAUUUUACAUAAGUUACAUUUACAACCUAGAUACACGUGCAAGCCUUGUAAAUUGAUAUGGAGGGAGUACUUGAAAUUUAUGUUCCACUAAACUCAUCGGGAGCCGUUUCGGGCCUCGAAACAAAAACCAUCAAUUGAUCUUUACCUUGUUCCCAUCACAUUCAAAAGUACUAGUGCUACAAUUAAGGGCAAGCUUGCUCACACCUACUAGUACGUACCAAACUUGAACGUGUUCCCACUAUGCAGGUUUUAGCACUAGUGCUAGUACUUAGGUUAUAAAAAGGGGAACUACCUAACCGAAAAUUACUCUACCUUCCUCCUCAUAAGUCCUUCUUCGUCUGUCCUUGCCAUGGCCAGUGUGCAGAGCUCUAGGUCGAGAACUACUCAUAACAAGGGAGCGGCAACCAAGGUUGCAGAAAAAAAUAAGAGGGCUCGCCGCCACAUAGAGACCUUGGAAGAUCUCUCACGGGCAGGCGAUGGCUCCCAGGAGCGCCCUAGCCAUGGAGGCGAACAUGCCGAGCCGGUGGCACUGGAGUCGUUGCCUCUCGACGGCAUGCCCGAUCAGCUCAAUAAGCACCUCAAUAAGCAGAAGGAGUUCAUCCACAACUUGGUGGAGCUGCUGAAGGAGAGCCUCGACGACAUGCCCGCUGAGCUCAAUGAGUAGGGGGGUUGACUGCCGGCUUGGUGAUGCUGCUGAAGAAGAGAAUUGCCUCGGAGAAGAAGGCGACUGGCGAAAUCGUGCAACUUUAGGAGGACAAGGCGAAGCUCCGCCACGAGCUCGACCUGCUGAAGGAGGAGAAUGCCGGCUCGAAGAAUCUGCAUGAGAAUAGUAGUUCCUCGAUGAAGAUGGUGCAGGUCCUCGUCAUGGAACAGAAGGAGGAGUUGGCGAAGCUCCGCGUCGAGCACCCGGCUGCUGUCAAGGUACGUAAUGCGGCCGUGGAAUAGAUGAUGAAGGCUCACGUCGAGAAAUCCCGCAUCAUGGACAUAAUGAAGAAGAUGGCAGAGGAGACACGCAAGGAGAUGGAGGUCGUGGAGGCGAUGAAGAAGCAGUUACGACUCCGCGGCCAGCAACCCUUCAUGUAGUGGGAGCAGCGCCCCAAACUUGUGUGUGCGUCUUCCUUCUUUUUUGGGGGUGAUAAUCUUCCUUCUUCUUUUGGUCCUUUGUUUCUUCUUUUGCUCCUUUGUUUCUUCUUUUGCUUCGGGUGUUUCGCUGCACGUGUCACGUUCUUUGUGAGGCAUGAAUAGAACAAUGCUAACAAUGAGAUGACUAGUAAAUUAGAUCAAUUUUUAUCGCCAUAUGGCACUGGGCUGUCGUGUUUUGUUCUCCUCCAUCAUAGUACUACUCCAGUGGAAAACUUAAGUAUACCGCAUGGUUCUUUGAUCCUCCUUAGGUCGUCGGCACAUUUAUACGAGCAGUCAAAUCACAAGGCCCCGCCUUCCAGCAGUAAUGAGCCAUCAAAUCACAAAGGCCCUCACCUCUCAUGAAACCGACCAAGCUAGACCGCCCCGCCCUCUAGCCUUUUAAAAAAUGUAUACUUUUGUAUAGUAGCAGUAUCGAUGGAUUGCGCCAUGGAGCAAAACUAACAAGAUGAAAUUAAAGAAAAAAGGUGGUACAUAUAGAGAGCGCUCGUCGCGAAAUUAUGCAUAUAGUACUAUUAAAAAAGCUAGUACGUGCUUAAAUGGGUUACUAAAUUCUAUUAAAGAAAUUAGCAUACCUAUUAAAUUCUUGGGUUCUUAUUAUUUAUGCCACUAGUUGUGUAUCACUACUUAGUUUUGCCAUUAGAAGUUACAACUACUCAAAAAUGCCAUCGAUCCGUGAGAUGCCUGCUCAAAAAUGCAAUUAGAUAUCUCAAAAAUGCCAUCAUUAAGUUAGAUGUUUGCUCAAAAAUGCCAUUAGACAUUGUUAUUUUCAUGUCAAAGCCGUUGACCAUGUUACAUGACAAAAAUAAGCUGAUUCUCACAAUGAUAAGUGUGGCCCCGCUUGUCAGGAGUAACCAAGCGAAUAAUUUUACAGGAAAAUAAGAACGCUAUUGGGAUCAAGUAGGCCCCACACUUUAUUUUACUGUAGUGAGAUAGAGGGAAAGUUGGCAUGUUGGUCCAUCGGUAUUUAUGUCCUUAUAACAUGGCAAAAGAGAUUUGAGUCACAAUAAUGGUGUCCAGCACAACACACCCCUCAAAUAAAACUAAGCACCCUGAAAUUCUUUAACAAAACUAAGCACCCUGAAAUUCUUUGACAACUAAACGGUUGGCUAUAUGAUGUUGGCCAUAUAUAUUGUACGUAUAUAAUGUGAAGAAAUGAGUGGUAGUACUAUACCAACUAAAAUAUGAACUGUAAGAAAUACUAGUAUGUACGUACUUAAGAGUUAAAGUAACGAGAAGAAACAUAACAUAGUUCUGCUGGGGGCUCAGCAUAACACACACCUCAAAUAAAACUAAGCACACUUGAACUUAAACUAAGCAACUAAUCCAGUAGACACUGCAUUAGAACCAUCGUGAGCAACGACACUGCCACCUUACUCGGAGUCCUCAUCCACGUCCUCGACUUCGUCCUUGUCCCUCUUCCUCUUGGCCGAUACUUCUUUUCUUGAAUUGCACACUUGGCUCUUGCUCUUCAUCCAACCCUUGUAGAUAUUGAAACAAAGGUAGCCAUCCAUUGUAGCAUAGUGGAUGUGGUCUAUAUCUAGUACAUUCCACUACCAUGCACGAUGAAACAUGUGCGGAGGUUUCCUCAGUUUACCAUACGAAGGAUGAACCAUGGCUCCUGCCAGGGUCAGCAUUGAAGGCUGAUCACGCGAGGGCACCAGCCCAUUCUUCUGGAGCUCGAAGGGCUUGCCUACAACGAGGCCUAUCCGAUCUAGGACUGUUCAAUCAUUCAUAAAGUCUACAGGAAUGAAUUUGACUAGGCCGCCCUUGAGGAAGAUCUUAAAUUCCUCGCACUCAACGUGGGUAUGGCAUAUGUGGUAGACCAAGCAUAAGUCAUGCACGCAAACCUGGAUCACGACGGGCUUCAUCUUCUCUUCCUCCUUUAGAUUCUUCUCUUUGUUCAGGGUUGUGGUGUACUCAACAUCUAGCCCAGCAACCCACUCACCAUUUGAGUUUUCAAACAUGCGUCGGAAGCGAGCAAGGCAUCCUUUCACCAUCACGGAAGAACGGGUGUAGAUGACAUCGAACUCAUUGCCGGUGAUGGUUCUAACCUUGUACUCACCGCUGAUCAUGGAGAUUUGGGACGCCAUGGAUUUUGGAGGAGGGUUAGGAUUAGUGGAACUGCUAUAAUGUGAAAGGACAGGACGACUAGGAGCGAACUGCCGUAAUGUUAAAGGACGUCUGGGGACGAGUAGGAGCGAACUGCCAGCGGUUUUUCGAUUGUAAAAAUGCUGAGUGGGGCGUGCUAACGGUAGAGUAGUGGCUUGCCAGGUGGAUAAAUGGAUUCAUUCAUAGUACUAUGGGGGCCCAAUUAGAUGUCAUGUCUACUUGGUGCCCAAUUAACUGGCUUUCAAUGUCAUGUCAAGCGCCGGGAAAAUUACAGGUGAUAAGAAGCUUUCCAUUCUCCCAUGAUAUGGGCUUCCGAGAGCCCUUGGAUCUGAGAUCGAAUGGUUGCAUGGCGUGAUUAUAGACCUAUGGGUGAAUAUCCUAUCUUGGAGGGUUAUUCUGCAAAUUUUCAGCAACUUAGCUUGCGACCGUUCGAUCUCAGAUCCAAGGGCUGCCAGUAACCUGUAUCAUGGUUGCACCUACCAUGUCCGUCGCCACGCUCGCGUGGUCGCGCCCUUGGAGAUUUAACACGGUGUGUUAGGCUAUCUGAUGUUGGCAUGUCAUACAUAGUCAUCACUUAGUCACUCAUACUACAACAAGGUUAGCUAUAAGGUUGGCUAUAUGUCACACCCAAUAUGCGACCCUAUCCAAAAGGAACUCGAAGGUCCCACCAAGGAUAGACCCGCAUAUUGAAACGCUUUUGCAAGGUGGAUAUCAUUACAUCAACAUUACAUAAUAGAUGGGGAUACAUAUAGGAGGCAAACAAUGCCACACGAAUACAACAUCACAAUACAUCAGAUCAUCAUCCGGCUACGGAUGAAACACAAACAGAAACUCAAACGACAUCCACCCUGCUAGCCCAGGCUGCCGACUUGGAACCUAUCCCCUGAUUGAAGAAGAAGCAGAAGAAGAACUCCAAACAAGCAAACAUCGCUCUCGCGUCAUGAUCAUCGCAUAACCUGUACCUGCAUCUGUUGUUGUAGUAAUCUGUGAGCCACGAGGACUCAGCAAUCCCAUUACCAUGGGUAUCAAGACUAGCAAAGCUUAAAGGGAAAGGAAGGGGUAAAGUGGUGAGGUUGCAGCAGCGACUAAGCAUAUAUGGUGGCUAACAUACGCAAAUAAGAGCGAGAAGAGAGCAAGCGGAACGGUCGUGAAACUAGCAAUGAUCAAGAAGUGAUCCUGAACUCCUACUUACGUCAAACAUAACCCAAAGACCGUGUUCACUUCCCGGACUCCGCCGAAAAGAGACCAUCACGGCUACACACACGGUUGAUGCGUUUUAAUUCGGAUCUGGUGUCAAGUUAUCUACAACCGGACAUUAACAAAUUCCCAUCUGCCUAUAACCGCAGGCACGGCUUUCGAAAGAUUAUACCCUGCAAGGGUGUCCCAACUUAGCCCAUGAUAAGCUCUCGCGAUCAACGAAGGAUAUGCCUUCUCCCAGGAAGACCCGAUCAGACUCGGAAUCCCGGUUUACAAGAUAUUUCGACAAUGGUAAAACAGAACCAGCAAAGCCACCCGCUGUGCCGACAAAUCCCGAUAGGAGCUGCACAUAUCUCGUUCUCAGGGCACACCGGAUGAGCAAGACGUCGGGUUGGCAUAGACCCUGAUUGCCCAGGGGGCGCCGAACAUCGCUCGGUUUGGACCAACACUUAGACAAGCAUUGGCCUGGGGGGGGGGCUAAAAUAAAGAUGACCCUCGGAUUGGCCGACCCAAGGGAAAGGUAGGUGGUGGUGAGGCAAAUGGUAAAACCAAGGUUGGGCCUUGCUGGAGGAGUUUUAUUCAAAGCGAACUAUCAAGGGGGUCCCAUAAAUAACCCGACCGCGUAAGGAACGCAAAAUCCGGGAACAUAACACCGGUAUGACGGAAACUAGGGCGGCAAGAGUGGAACAAAACACCAGGCAAAAGGCCAAGCCUUCCACCCUUUACCAAAUAUAUAGAUGCAUUAAUAAUAUAAGAGAUAUUGUGAUAUCCCAACAUAAUCCUGUACACCAUGGAGUAAUCUUCAACUUCACCUGCAACUAGCAACGCUAUAAGAGGGGCUGAGCAAAAGCGGUAACAUAGCCAAGCAACGGUUUGCUAGGAAGGGUGUCAAAGGUUAGAGGUUCAUGGCAAUUUGGGAUGGCUAGAUAAACAGGUGAUAGGUAGCGCAGCAAAGCGAUAGAACGAAACAACUAGCAUAGCAAUGAUAGUAGUGAGAUCCAGGGUAGCGGUCAUCUUGCCUGAAAUUCCGCAAGGAAGAAGAACGAGUCCAUGAAGAAGACGAACGGAUGAAGCCGAACCAAGCGUAGACGAACGAAUCCUCACGAUCGCAACGAAACAGGAACUAACGAAAAGAAGCACACAACAUAGUAAACACACCACACAUGAACAAGGCAUGAUGCAUGAACAAGCAUGAUGCAUGACAAGACUACAUGAAGCUACUCAUGGCAAGAGAUGAUGCAAACAAGAGCAACACAUCAAGACAAGUUUAAAUGAGGCCGGGAACAACAUAUAACAAUUCCGGUAAGUCCUCAUAUGCAAAUUUCGAAGUUGGUCCAGAUCUGAAUAAACCUUAUGUUCAAGUUGUUAAAUAGCAAGUUAAGAUGCACCAAGAUGAUCUACACGAGAUUCUAGUCAAGUUACAUAUAAAGAUCAUUUGGUUCGGAGCUACGGCCUAGAAGAUAUGAGCAAAGCAAGUUAAACAUGGCAUUGAUGCAAAAUGCAUACAACCAUCAAGCAAACACCUCAAAACAUGGAUGCAACAUGAUAAUAUGAAGCUUCAUACAAUUCUAAGCAAGUUUCAUCUAGAGCACACUCAAAACGGAGCAACGGUUCAACGCAUGCACUCUAUACAAGUUUAAAGGACAAGCUGUCCGAAACAGCAACUAGGCAUAUUGCAAGCAUCAAAACAACAUGCUACAGCACCCCAACAUGAUAACAAAAGGGCAUGGACAUGAUGUACAGGUAAAACAUUACAAAACAUGAACACUGAGCUAUCUCUAGAAAUCACUAGAACAUGCUCAAACACACGUGGUAAGAUUGCAAGUUAUAACAAUUUCAGACUGUGCAGAAAAUAACAUCAGGUUGCAAUCUUUAGAGCUAUCAAACAACAUGUUACAUGAACUUAUCAUGGCAAACAAAGGCAUGGCAUGAUACUACUAAAUGCAUAGAUCAAAAGUCCUUUACUGACCAUAAGCCAAAAAGGAACAGAAAAUAUGAUGGCACCCACGUAGACAUGGCAAGUUAUAUUACAGAUUCAUACAUGGCAGAAACUGAAUUAUGAAGGCAUGUAGAUGAGCUUGUACCACUCACCACAGAGCAUUACAUGGCAUGGCAAGGCAACCAACAGUAAGAAGGCAUGUUUGUGAACUUAAGCAUGGCAAUAGCAAGUUCAUAGGGUACAUGGAACACUAGCAAAACACAUGACAACAACUGAACUUAGUGUUAACAGGCUGACAACAACAUUAUCAAGCAACUUUGGAGCAAGACAUGAACAAGCUACAGCAGGAUAUAAAUGCAACCAGUGGCAUGGAUGUUUACAGGAUGACAUGUAGAACAAAACAUGUUUAGUGCUCAUCUCCAGAUUAUGCAUAGAAUGAUUUGUAGAAGCAGGUUUACAUAGCAUCGUGAAAUAACAGAUUCAGCCUAGCAAAACAAUAACAGCAAGUACACUACUUAACAAGCUCAAUUCACUCACCACAAGUAAUUUCAUGACAAGUUAAGAAUAGCAUCAUCAAGAAGACAUGUUUGUGAAACAAACCAAGGCAAUAACAAGUUCAUAGCAUGCAAGGAUCAACUACAACAACCUUGGCAAAAUUGAAUAACAUGUAAACAAUCUGCCAGGAAACAUUUUGAAGCAAAAGUAGAGCACGAAAAGGACCUGCUAGACUACUCCAUAAUUACAAACAGGGGCAUGAAUGGAUAGAAAAAAACCAUAUGUUCAAAACAUCCUUACCGAAGUAUCUCAAAAUAUGCACGGAUCUCUCUGUAGCAUCAAGUUUACAUGGCAUCAAAAUAAAAGCAGAACAGGGACUAAAAUCAGCAACAUCAGGAUGCCUAGUUUGCAUGCUUGUGCUAGUGACCAUAGAGAUCACAAAAAUACAUGGUAAGCACCUCUGUAAAGAAGACAUAGCAUAGAUCAAAACACAUGUAGACAUCAACCUAAUAGGAUGCACACAUCAAUCAUGGCAAAAAUGACAAAUGAGCUCGUUCUGUUAUCAGACAGCAGGAAACAUCAUCAAGCACUCUUGUAACAAAGAUUCAGGCAUCAAGAUGACCUCAAAUGAAUAUGAUGCAAUAGAAUGAAAUGGUGUACUCGUUGAGAAGAACAAUUUGACAUAUUACACGCACGAAACGGAGCUACGGAUGCAGAGAUACGAUGCAACGAACAUGGCAUGAUAAUGUCAAAUAACAGGGACUUAGGCGAAUUUUCGGAGGGGAAAAAGUCAACCUCUUCUUCCAGAUCCAGAUCCGAGGCACGAAUCCCGAGGUUGGCUAGAACCUCGUCGGAGAUGACAGGGCGGCGGCCGGAGGAGCUCGGGAGGCACGGAUCCGGCGCCGGCAAGGCCGGAUCCGCGGCGAGGAGGCGCGGGGACGCCGGGGCGGCGCGGCGGCGNNNNNNNNNNNNNNNNNNNNNNNNNNNNNNNNNNNNNNNNNNNNNNNNNNNNNNNNNNNNNNNNNNNNNNNNNNNNNNNNNNNNNNNNNNNNNNNNNNNNNNNNNNNNNNNNNNNNNNNNNNNNNNNNNNNNNNNNNNNNNNNNNNNNNNNNNNNNNNNNNNNNNNNNNNNNNNNNNNNNNNNNNNNNNNNNNNNNNNNNNNNNNNNNNNNNNNNNNNNNNNNNNNNNNNNNNNNNNNNNNNNNNNNNNNNNNNNNNNNNNNNNNNNNNNNNNNNNNNNNNNNNNNNNNNNNNNNNNNNNNNNNNNNNNNNNNNNNNNNNNNNNNNNNNNNNNNNNNNNNNNNNNNNNNNNNNNNNNNNNNNNNNNNNNNNNNNNNNNNNNNNCCAAUUGGCGCGGGCGGCGGCGGCUGGACGGAACGGACAUGUCCGGCCGUCGGGGACAUGUCCGGCGGCGCGGAGGGGAAUUUUUAGGGUUAGGGUGGAAAUGAUCUGCGAAUUUCGGGGGAGGGGCAUAUAUAUAUAGAGGGAGCUAGGAGUGCCAAAUGAGGAGCGGUUUUCUCCCACACGAUCGUGAUCGAACGACCGAGAGCAUGGAGAGGAGUUAGAUAGGUUUUGGGCCAGUUUGGAAGGGGUGUUGGGCUGCAAGGAGAGAGGGGCUUUACGGUUACCCGGUUAACCGUUGGAGUACCAAACGACCUUCAAAUGGAACGAAACUUGACAGGCGGUCUACCGGUGGUAUACCAAGGCCGCUUGGCAAACCUCGGGCCAUUCCAAGAAAGUUUAACACCCGCUCACAACGAGAGACAAAAAGGGGAACGCCGGAGGGCAUAGGAGCGUCGGAUUGCGAAACGGACAACGGGGAAAAGGCUCGGAUGCAUGAGACGAACACGUAUGCAAAAUGAGAUGCACAUGAUGACAUGAUAAAAUGCAACACGCAAGCAAAUGACAUGGCAACGACCGCGAAUAACUGGCGGACACCUGGCGCAUCGAAACCGGGGCGUUACACUAUAAGAGUAUUUUUUACUUCUCUCUAUCUCUUUCUUCGUAGUAUUUAUUGCAUUUGCCAAGGAGUGACCUCUUCCAAUGAAAUGGUGCUUAGAUGAGGUGCUAAGGGCCUUAAAUGGCUUAACAACUCAAGUCCCCAAUGCAUAGGUGCUUAGUUUUUUUUGCUAAGUUUGCUUCAUUUAAUUAACUAUAGACUCAAAAUUAUCUUUUCACCUCGGUACACGCGCUUAGCACUGUUUCUUCCUUGGAUUACCAAACUAGUCUCUCUCUUCUUAAUUAACUUGCCACAUCAGACUCUAUGCCUAUGUGGUAGGCUUAGGACAUGUAGGAGCAAGUACAAUAGUGGGCUAUAAGCCCGCUUUACAUGGUAUUUUUGCAUAUGUGGAGGAAAGUGGCAAGGAAAAAGUGGAGGAGUGGGCUCUCACGCAAGAGCCAGCCUCAUGGUGGAGCAUUGGGAGAGGCACCUGUAUGGAGGUGGUCAGGAAUCGGGAGACUCACGCUGGUCGUAGCGUCGUAAUUAAAAUGAUAAUGGCAAGUCAAAUCACGGGGCCCCACCUAUCCAAAAGUAACUCGCUGUCAACUCACACAACCCUACGUUUGUAGCAGCCUACUCCCUCAUCUUCUCGCGUCUCUAUCAAACCAACUAGGCGGAACUGCCCCGCCUACCGCGUGGGAAAAGCCCCGCCCUCGCCUUUUAAAUAGUACAAUAUACUAAUUUUGUAUCCAUGGAUUGCGCUAUGGAGCAAAGCCUCAAGAAAAUGGCGGUACACAUGUACGGAGUAUACAACACGCCAGUCGCAUUCGCAUCACAGCCCAGACGGUCGGUCGGUCUAGCACGCCGCUCUCCGAAUGGAACACACAUCAUAUUGCAUUUGCACACACAUGUGGGGCCGCAAUUGAGAACUGACCAUAGGCACACUCCCUGGCCCCGCAAGUCGGGUGAGUUAAUAGAAGAGAGAGAUGAGCGAUAGUACUAGAGAAAUGUUGUACAUACGUUGGUGCCUGGAUGAUCCCUGCAAGACACGGAAGAUUAGUUCGUCCAUGCAUGUGACCAGACUCCAGCAGACACGCCUGGAUUGGCUAUCGUCUACAUAUUGUGCAGGCUGUGUUGUACAGGGAUGUAGUUCUGGUGAGAAAUCUAAAAAAGGGUUUCUUGUCAUCUCACAAAAUUAGGUGUCAUGUGCUUCGGAUCACUGCGAGGGUUAAAAAGUGACAACUGAGUUCCUCCAAGGGGCUAGUCAUUGGGGGCACAUGCACGAAGACUACUCGGCUGCCAUCUAGGUCAAGCCGGCUAUCUUAAUUAGGACAUCUAUCGAUGGACCCCUUUUCUACGAGUGUAUCUUUAAUUUGAGCUUUGAUCCUCGUCUAGUUUGUCCGUCGGGAUUCAUGUUGUCUCCUUUGGGCAGUGAGGUUAUGGUUUCCUAUCAUGUGGCAUUUUUUCGUGUUAUAUGUUAUAAUCCGGUGGUUCAGAUCAAAAUGAUGACAACUGCGCCUCCGGGGCACGUGCAUGAAGACUUCUCGACGGUCAUUGACGAGGUCAAGCCGGCUCCAGUAGACAAAAGAAAACUAGUACUCCACUAUAUAGGCAGGAACCUCCGCACUUGCUUGCUAGUGUUGCUCUCUUCACACUGUCUCGUCCUCUCUAGAUCUAAACACGACAGUGGUGGCCACACACUCUCUCUCUCUGCCCAUCGGUGGUCACAUAUCCAGCUAGAUCCUCUCUUUCGGGGAAGGUGAGAAGGUGCAAUGUUCAUGUGGUCGUCCUCGGUGACGGCUCUUACCCACUGUCGGCGCGUCCCGAUCAGCGUGCCUUGCCGUUCUCUCCCAAGCACCACUGGCUAGGGAGGGCCUCUGACACCUUCUUCCUCAUUGUCAUAGUGUGGGCAGAUUCGGCCUCCUGCCGCCCACCUAGCGACAUCCUGACGACCCUUAGGUAUAACUUCCCUCGAAACCGGCCUUUCCCUACUUACCGAGCUCCUACGUUGCCGCAUUUGUAUCUUUUACUAUUUCUCAGGGCCCCCUCGUAGAUAGGAUCGAUCGACUGUUUGAAAGCCACCUAAGUUUUUACUGUUAAGAUGUAAAACUAGUUCAUGCACUCGAAUCUAGUACUACUUGGUUCAAACAAGGAAGAAAGGGGGUGGGGGUGGGGGAAGAUUUGUUACAUGAAUCUAGGACUCUAUUGAAAGAGGAAAUAAUGGGGGCGAAAAGUAGCAGAGACUAGCUAUCCAACUGGUCUCUAAGUCUAAUAGGGAAAUAGAGGGAAACGCAGUACAAACUCGAUAUAAACCCAAUCUAUUGGUUGAAAAGGGAAAGAAAGUGGGGACUGGGGAACAAGUCAACAGAGUAAGUCCAGCACUAGAUUUGCUAGCCUCACACAGUAUAAGGUGGCUAUACCGAACAAAAAUGGGACCAACCCAGAUAUCAUGUUCUGAUGUUUUUUGCCCCGAGCCACUCUUAUGUAAUGCCACUGGUAAAAUGUAGUAGUCGCACUGUUAAAAGUAAGGACACGUUAAACCAAUGUUGUUUUCAAUGUAAUGCCUCCAGUAAUAUGAAUCAAUGGCACUUAUUUUCAUGUCCUGCUAAAUUUCCCAUUAAGAUAAGUUGCUUAUUUUCGUCAAAAAUGCAACUGUCCUGGUCCGUCUACUCUCCCAUGCCCAAAUACCGACUCUGUAGCAGCUGUUAAUGUAAUGUUGCUGAUAAAAUGAAGGAAUGGCACCAUUAAAGUAAUGUCGUGUUUAACAGUUGUCAUAGUUAAUCCUAAUGCCCACACCAAUAUCUAGCAACGAUGCUGCUUUAGAAAUUGCUACUAUCCUCGUAGGAUUGCCAUUCAGAUAAGGAACAUGCCUCUUUUCAUUUGAUGUAUGUUUCAUCACUUGUUAGUCACCCUCCUUUCCACCUUUUUUGUGCAAAUAGAGAUAUACAUUUCGCGCUUGAUCUUAGUUGAACUGCACAAAUGAUAUCCAAAUUAUAGUUGAACAUUCCAGGAGCUUCACAACCAACCUUGAUGUUUCUCAAUUUUAUUGCAACCAAUGAAGAAGAAGCUCUGUGGGUUUCGUUUUCUGAUGGAAAUGGAACCGGGGCUGGAGCCCUUUUCUUUAAAAAAAGAAGCUGCUAGCUCAUGGGACAUUGCUUCAUUUUAGGUGAACUGCAACAAAAGGUCCCACGAAUUGAAUCAUCCAUGUUGGUGACUAGUGUCAUCAUUUCUAUGAUGGCGUUGACUGCAGAUAUGGUUCCCAUCACGAGGUAUGUUCCUUUUUGGUCUGACCGUUUGCCAAAGAUCUUGCAUGUUGAGUCUGCUCUUGUGCUACUAUUUUGGCACUACCAUGAUGAAGCAGUAAUGUUAUUAUUUUGCACCUUAAUCUAGUGGCACUAUUAAUUUGAGGCAAUGUUUUGGCACCGCUAAUGCCACUGAUUUUUUUUAUAUAUCGAAAGAGGGGGGUUCCUCCUAUUUCAUUAAAGAAACCCAACCAUAGAGAACCAUUAUCCGACAACAUCUCAAUGUAAACGGGCAGUUAUGCAACAACUACUACAACGGACUGAGUACUAGCAGGAGACAAGUUCGCCACAUAAUCUAGGCAGGUAGGGGGACGCAACACCAGCUCAACGAAGUUUGGAUUACAACCCAAAUUCUACCACACAAACAUCAGGGGGGAGAUAGGGACUGAAAGAGCCAGCUUCAGCAUCCCAGUCUAAGCACCCCCGGCCUCCAUCCUUGCGAUGCACGAUACACCUCGUUUGCCACCUGCUCGACCCUAGUGUCACUGAUAAAAUGAAGUAAUAAUAUAGUUAAAAUAGAGCGAGUGUCAUCUCAAUCAUUUCAUUUCCAAUGUAGAUAAAGAAAGUGCUUCUGUUUGUUAGUAUAUGUUUCAUCAACUAGUCCCAUUGUUAAUGUUUAAGCGUUUCUGCAAACUGGGGUGCUUAAUUUUAGUUGAUCUGCACAAAAAAAGAGAUUGGAAUGUCUCAAGGCCCCUCCUUGUAGUACCUUUGUACACUGAUGUUCAACACUGGCAGAAGAUGUAUUAGGGAGACUUGGGUCGAUUUCCAGUAUGAGGCGUACUGUAUGAGGUGUCACAGGGCCCAUCUCGCCCUCGCAGCAUGGCAUACUAUGAUACUAUCGCAAUAUUUUCUUCUAUUUAUUGGUGUAUGUUUCAUCAACUAUUGCCACUAUAAUGUACUCACGCUUUUUCAUUAUCUGUGCAAACAGGGUUAUUCAGCUGCAUUUUGGUGGAACUGCACAAAUGUACGGAUGGAACUGGCAUAUAUGCAGAGUGCGAGGUGUGCCAAGUAAAACUUACUGACACCAACCAUGCUCCAUGCACGCAUUGUCAUCCACCACCACCAGUGGGAUGUGUGGUGCUCUCUGUGGACGAAUCUUUCUUGGCAGCAAAUCCUCUAACCAAAUAUUGUUUUCUAGGUAGUACUCUUUUCUGAAAGAAGCACCAAUCUUAUUUGUACACAGUGUAACAACUUUGACCCAAAGGUCCAGAGCUAUUUUAGGGUGAUCGGCGUAGUACUCGGAGACUGAUUGUAAGCAUGAUUUUCAUUAGCUUUCACACUGAUUGUAAGCAUGAGCAGAUGAAAGAUUAGGUUAGUGUGAAGCUUACCUUAAACCCUACCGCCGCCGUUGAAACGAGGCAAGCAUCGAGAGAACCAUGGAGAACGGCAGGGAAACGAUGUCGCACCAUAUGGACUCCUCUUGUGGUGGGAGAACGAAUACUCCUGUGGCUCCGACUGGCUCUGCAUCCUCACGAACGUCACACCGUACUCGAUCGAUUCGUUAUCCUCUGGGUGCUCGACCUUCGACCUGUACGCCCACCACAUCCGCCUGAAUUUUGCCUUGGGCGAAUCUGUCUGCUCCAUCGUCCAGAGGAUAUACUCAAUGAACUUGAAGGAUGAAAGCACAAGUGCUCUUUGGGUGAUUUUGGUAAUUUAUGUCAACAUAUCUCUUGUUGGACUAAUACCUUUACCUAGUAUGUUUCAGAUAAGUUCAACAAUGAAGUGGCAUGGACUAGAGGAUGUGGAACCCCUUCAAGUUGCUAAGGACAAAAGGAUUGGCUCAAGCUCAAAGCACAAGACUCUACAUUUUUCAUUUUAGUGAUCCAAGGUCACAUUGAGUCUAUAGGAAAAUCCAAUACUAUCAAGAGGGGAUGAGGUGUUGCUUAAUGGCUUGCUUGCUCGAAGUGCUUAGUGAUAUGCUCCAAAGCCCUCAACCACUUUCUCACAUCCACAUAUGUCCCAAACUAAAAGUCAAACUCGGCCACACCGAUUCUUUCCAUCCGGCGCCACCGUAUUCUCAUGACAUAGCCACUGCGACAAACCCUAGUCCUUUUGGUCUCACCGAUAGGGAUCUCGGUCUCACUGAGAUGGGAUUGUAAUCUCUCUGUGUAUGUCUAUUACCAAAAUGGCUCUCAUUGAGUUUGGGUAAUCGGUCCUACCGAGAUUACAAUGCAAACUCUCUGUUCCCCUUCGUAACGUUUCGGUCCAACCGAGAUGAGCGAAUCGGUCCCACCGAGUUUGCCUGACCAACUCUCUAGUUAGCUUAUUACCAAAAUUGGUCUCAACGAGUUCGUGUAAUUGGUCUCACUGAGAUUAUGUUAUGCCCUAACCCUAACCAUAUGGGUCCCACCGAGUUGACAUGUCGGCCCCACCAAAAAUCCUAACGGUCACAUUAUUUGCUAAAUCGGUCCGACUGAGUUUCACGGUUUGGUCCCACUGAGAUUGGUAAGUUGUGUGUAACGGUCAGAUUUUGUGUGGAGGCUAUAUAUACCCCUCCACCCACUCUUCAUUCGUGGAGAGAGCCAUCAGAACAUGCCUACACUUCUAGCCUACAUUUUCUGAGAGAGAGCCCCCUACACUUGUGUUGAGGUCAAGAUAUUCCAUUCCUACCAUAUGAAUCUUGAUCUCUAGCCUUCCCCAAGUUGCUUUCCACUCAAUUUCUCUUUCCACCAAAUCCAACUCCUGUGUGAGAGAGUUGAGUGUUGGGGAGACUAUCAUUUGAAGUACAAGAGCAAGGAGUUCAUCAACACCACACCAUUUGUUACUUCUUGGAGAAUGGUAUCUCCUAGAUUGGCUAGGUAUCACUUGGGAGCCUCUGACAAGAUUGUGGAGUUGAACUAAGGAGUUUGUAAGGGCAAGGAGAUUGCCUACUUCAUGAAGAUCAACCCUAGUGAGGCAAGUCCUUCGUGGGCGACGACCAUGGUGGGAUAGACAAGGUUGCUUCUGCGUGGACCCUUCGUGGGUGGAGCCCUCCAUGGACUCGCGCAACCGUUACCCUUCGUGGGUUGAAGUCUCCAUCAAUGUGGAUGCACGAUAGAACCACCUAUCGGAACCACGUCAAAAAUCUCCGUGUCUCCAAAUUGCGUUUGCACAUUCCAAUCCCUUCCCUUUACAUUCUUGCAAAUUGCAUGCUUUACUUUCCGCUGCUCAUAUACUCUUUGCAUGCUUGCUUGAUAUGUAUUGUGAAUGUUAAACUUGUGCCAAAAGUCCACUUCAACUUAAAGAAAUUAAAAACUGCAACUUUUCUCACUUAGUGUCUAAUCACCACCCCCCUCUAGACAGCUCUUCUCGAUCCUUUCAAUUGGUAUCAGAGCUUUGGUCUCCAUUGCUUUGGUUUAAACACCAUUGGAGGAAGAUGGAUGAGUCUACUUUGGGGAGUCUUAGACAUAGAGUGCCUAUACUUGAUGUAGAGUAUUUUCAUGAGUGGAAAAAUGAGAUGCUUGCGAUUUUCAAUGAAUAUCAUUUGAACAAGUACAUUACUAGCCCUUGUGCACCUCAUGUUGAUCCUAUGCAUCCCACCCUUGAUGAGUCAAUUGACAUGAUUCGCAAUCUUAGAACUGUUAAUCUCAUUACUAGAGGUUUGUCUAGAAACUUGAUUGGAUGUUUGCCUACUCUUGAGUGUGCCUACACUAUAUGGAAAUUUUUUGAUAAAUGUUUUCCAAAUUAUUCCUUGAAAAAUAUAGAUGAAAUUCUCCAUAAGUCUAUCGCCUUGAGUAAGAUGAAUUCCAAUGAUCCUAGGUUUGGUGAUUGUCUAUUUCAGCUUAUAAAUCUUGUGCGUGCCAAAGGAGAUGUUGGACUUAUUAGUGAUAUUAUUUCCAAAGUCAUUAAAAUUCAUAAAGAAGAUUAUUGUCAAACUCAUUCUAACGAAUCAUCCUCUCUAGGAAUUGAUCCAUCACAUGACGAUGUUGAACAUAGAUACUAUGAUGAGGAUGAUGAUAGUGACUUUGAUCUUGAUGAUGCAAUGAGACACUUUGGUCUUAUGGCAAAUCUUCGGGGAUAUAUGGCAGGAGGAAAUGAAUGGGUUCUUGAUAGUGGAUGUACCGAUCACAUGACCGGAGAUAAAGAUAUGUUCUGUGAGCUUGCUGAAAACGACAGCCCUCGAAAGUAUGUCACUUUUGGUGAUAACUCAAAGGGUAAGGUUGUUGGCCUCGGUGUUGUGGAAUUGUCACGUCAGAUGUCCUCGUGAAAGGACUUAGUUGUGGAGCCAUCACAACUAGGAAGCUUGAAGGGGUUAAUCGGGACAAAGGACACGAGAGGGUUUAUACUAGUUCGGCCCCUUACGGUGAAGGUAAGGCCUACGUCUAGUUGGGUUGGUAUUGAUGUUUCGAUGACCAGGGAGCGAGAUAUGCUAUGCCUGGCUCUCGAUGAGUUGUUCCUUGCCCUAAGCCGCUAGCGGGUCGUCCCCUUAUAUACACGGGUCGACGCCCUGCGGCUUAUAGAGUCCCGGCCGGCUUAUAAACAAUGUCCGGCUCGGUGACUAGUUAAGUCUACCUUAUGAUACAAGUAAUACUAUUACAGCAGGUUACUACAACGGGCCUUAAGUUGCCUGCGGGCCUUAAGCUCUCUAUGAACCGCCAUCUUCAUACUUUGUCUUGGGCUUCUCUCUGGUGAGUCCUCUUUGCGUAACCCGGCCCCUCCUGGGCGGCUUACACAAAUAGUUAUAUCCCCAACAUUAGGCCCCAGAUUGAUUUGAACAGGUUCAUGUCAAUCUUAAAAUACCUUAUGAACCGCCCUGCAGUCUUUUAUCUUGCGCGAAGGAUUUUAACCCGCCGUGACGUCAUCAUCUAACUCCGGGUUAAAUCUCUGUGACGUUAUCUUCAUUAAAGCUUUAUUUUUUAUACCGUCACAUCUUCAACGGAUCUUUGUCUUUACUGACCAUCCCAAGAAUCAAGGCGCCAGAGCCGCUGGAUAAUGAAUGUUAUCUCCUCGUUUUUCGCACCUGCUCGGUCAGUCUUCCUUUAUAAAUAGAGCGACCUAGGUCUUCCCCAGUCGUCUUCUUCCUCUUGCCUCCUCCCGUGCUCUGCCGCUGCCACCGUCGACCCCCUCGUCGUCACUGACUCAGGCCGCUGCAUCGACCUGACUCCGACCAGAGAUCGACAGCGAACCUCCACGGCGUAUCCGCAUCUGUGAGCUCUUCUCAUUUCCUUUCUCAAAUCCGUGUUAGAUUCUUGCCGAGUUCAUCGGUGUUCAUCACCGCCCGACGCAAACCUUCUCUAGUUCUUUCCUCCAACGCCAUGUUUAGACCGUAAAAACUACAUAGAACUGCUGCGGUGCUUACUUGUAUUGAUCUCGAGCAGGAAUAGAUCUCAUUUCCCUUGCGUAGAACCCCUUUUCGAGUAUAUGAGCUUCUCUGCUUUGUUUUGAGGUCUAGGAAAAUUUCUUUCUAGGGCAAUAUUUUGAUCCAGAGUAAUAACUGUCCUCUGUGAAACUUGUCUUCAUCACCCGGAAAACCUCCUCUGGUAAAUGUCCUGAAAUACAACUGUCGAGGUAUCCGGCUUAAAUAAAUGAUACAGAACCUUGACUGCUCUUCAUGACCCGGAAUUUUUUUGAAUUGCACUUGAUACUUGUAGCGGCUUAAAUAUUGUUGCACAGUCAUCCUUAUAUCAUUAGGCCCCUCAUUAAGCCGCCACUUUAAUCAAGAUUUUCCUCCCGGGUUAAAAUUGAACCGGAUCUUCUUGUUUUUCCAUAGGCCAAUUGUUGUGAUGGCUCCUAAGGCUACCAAGGCCCCUGUAACUUGCAAUUGGGUUCCAUCCAUAGUGACCAAUAGCAAACUAGAUGAGUUUGUAAAGUCUGGGCAUCUGCCAAAAAAGGACGUCAUGUCGUACCGUGCCCCUGACCCAUCUGAAGAAAAACCUCACCCCGAAGCCAGGGAAGUAAUAAUUUUUACUGAUCAUAUGAGCCGUGGAUUUGCUCCUCCCGGCUCAAAAUUCUUCAGAGAGGUUUUGAACUUCUUUGACCUUAGACCUCAAGACAUCGGACCCAAUUCCGUGUCAAAUAUUUGUAAUUUUCAAGUCUUCUGCGAGGUGUAUCUGGGUGAGGAGCCGAGUCUGCUAUUGUUCAGGGAACUUUUUUACAUGAACCGGCAAAAUGAACGUGCCAACGGGACCAGUCUUGAGCUUGGCGGCAUCUCAAUCCAGCGACGGAGAGACUGUCUUUUCCCUUAUGCUGAGUUGCCAAGUCACCCCAAAUCUUGGAACCAGACGUGGUUCUACUGUCAGGACACUUCUCCGGCUGAUGAAAAACCUUUGCCCGGCUUUCGCGCCAUGCGUCUUGAGUCCAACCAUCCGCUACCAGACAAGCUGACAACUCUUGAACGUGUGCCUAUCAAUUCCACCAUCAAGAAAAUAAAAGCUCUAUUGGGGAAUGGCUUAAACGGCAUCGAUCUGGUCCGGGUCUGGGUCACCUGGCGUAUACUUCCAUUAAGCCGCCGUCCCGGCUUAAUGUGUACUUAUACUGGAGAAAAGAAUGAUCCGCUACGCCAUAACUCUGACGACUUACCAGAUGAUGUGGUGGAUGCUACAACCCAGUCACUUCUGAAGGAAGGCACUGUGACGAGCAACGCCUUCGGCUUACUUCCAUUUUGCAAGAAUAACCCGGCCCCUGCGGUAAGUUAUCAGUCGUAACAAAUGUUUACGAAUAUAUUAUACCUUUCUUGAUAUUCAUAAUUCUUUCACUUUUUCCACAGGCCGGUGAUGACUUCUGGAAGGUCAAAUAUGACCAUGAAGCUGCCAAACAGGCGAGGACAACCAAGAAAACUGAAAGGAAAGCCGCCAAGGUAGGAACCUCAAAGAAAAAGAAACCCAGCACCUCCGACUUGUUCAAAUUGGAUGAUACUUCUUCGGAUGAUGAAGAGGUAAUUCUUUAAUUUUCUUAACUCCCCUGUUUCUAUUUUACUGACAUUCUAUCCUUUCAGGAGGAUACUGGGAAUAGUCAAGCAGUUGAAGAAGAGGUAACUAUAAUCUCUUCCGACUCAGAGCCUUUGACAAGCCAAAAAAUCCGCAAGGUGACACGGAAAGUAAGAUUUUCACAUCCUCUAGCUUACCAAGAUCCUCAAUUUCUUUUGAAGCAACAACAGCUUGAGAACCGGAGGCAAACUCGGGCCACUCAAGACGCCGAACUCUCCUCCGGCUUACCUGAUGUAACCAGGAAACGUCGAACCGAAGUUUCCUCUGAUUUACAUUCUGCUUUUCCUUUGGCGGGUCUAACUCUCCCACCUCUUAAUUCAUCUGACUCCAAUUAUCAGGAUGCUUCUCCGUCUUCCGAUGAUUCGAUGCAAUCAAACAUGCCGGUUUUUAAAACAGCUCCCGGGUAAUGCAACUUUCUUACUUUAAGUUUUUCCAUACUUAUGCAUUGAUACUCAUCCUUCCACUUUGAUUGACAGUCUUCAAGUGAAGCCCAGCAAGAGGGCAAAGAAGAAUAAGCCGUCCCAAGACCCGGUGGUCCCUGAAUCGGCAAUUGAUUCAUCCGUUCCUGACGGCUCCACUCAUCAGCCACCGCCUAAGCCGGCUCUUGAUAUUCCAGUGUCAACCUCUGACCCGCCUACGGAAGACAUUGUCCACAAUUCUGAUAACCCGGAAAUUCAUAGCCCGGUCAAGACAACUGAUCCAAAAGUUGUAUUUAUGAAAAACCAAUAUGUUGAACCGGGCCAGCCUACUGUUCUUGCUCAGUGCACUGCCAAGGAGGAGCUUGCCCAACGUCGGAAAGCUAAACAAGAUAUCACUGAUUAUGCUCACCUAAGCAUCGGUGAUAUAGUCUCGGGUUACCUGAACCAAGUACACAAUAGCCGUGACCUAGAAAUUGACAUGGUGAAGCAAAUACAUCAUAAAUCUGAGGUAUAACUUUAACUUUUCCUGAACCUUACUUACUGUACCAGCCCCCAAGUCUAUCGCUUAUGAAUGAAUAUGUUGUAGACUUUAGAAAUCUUCUUUUACUUGUUAACUUAUCCGGCUUAAAAAGAAUUUAUUUAACCCGGUAUAACAUAAGGCCUUUAAAUUUGCAAUACACAUUAGUCCCCAAGUGUCAAGUAUCCUUACUUGUAAGGUGCUUGAGACUUAAUAUGUUUGACCCGGCAGGAUAAAGUUAAAAAUUUCUUCAGCAUACAUUAGCCCCCAAGUGCCAAGUAUCUUUACUUGUAAAGUGCUUGGGACUUGAAUGUUACCUUAUAAUCCUUACCAGAACCUGGUGUCAAUGCAGGUCACCAUAAGUCAAUUUGAAUCGGAGAUUGCUGACCUGAAGAGCCAACUGAAGCUUCAAGAACUUGAAACUCAAAAGGCAAACUCCAAGUUUGAAUUCAGCAUCUCUGAACAAGAGAAAUUGAAGAAAAAUUUUGAGUCAGAGAAAAAAGCUUGGGUUGAUGAAAGGGCUUCAUUAGCGGCUCGGGCCGAAACGGCAGAAGCAUCACUUACAGAAGCAACAACCGAACUGUCCGACUUAAAGCGGCAGAUAUCCCAAAUGGUCUCAGCCAUCUUCGGUAAGUCACUCUAAGCCUUUAAACAUUGUAAUCUUCCAAAAUUUAGUGUGACAAGUAUCUCCGGCUUAUUUUUAUGCUUGUGACCAUACAGGCCCCAGGAGUACCAACCUCAAGCAAAACAUGCUGACCAAGCUCAAGGCGGUUUACACCCUUGUGGAGCAGCUGUACUCCGGGUCACAACGUGCUUUAGCCAUUGUAGCUUUAUCAACUCCACAUCCCCGCCUUCUACAAGACGUAUUGAAGAGCCUCGCUUUUCUUCCUCAACGGAUCCAAGAUUUAAGGCGGGCAUCCUCAAGAGCCGGAGCCGUAGCCGCAUUGAGUCGGGCCAAAGCAUGGCUCUUAGAACUAGACCCGGCCGACCUUGCCCUUGGAUACCCAAGUCUGAAGGAAGACGGCACUGCCUUUGAUGACCAUGACUUCAACGCCUAUGUCAAAGCCAUACGUCCCGUGGCAACCCUUAUUGGAAAUGACAUAGAUCUUAGCAAGUAUGCACCGGCUUAUGACAGUGAAAACCGGAGAAUCCCAAAUGCUCCAUAUGAUCAAAUCAGUCUGAUCCCUCCAAUUCGUAAGCAUACUUUUGCUCCUAAAGUAGAUCCGGCCAGUUUAAUAGAUGAUGAAGCUGAGUUUGAAGCUUUGAGCGGCAUUGAUUGUGCCUCAUCAACUUUCCAGGACAAAACAACCGACGGAGAAGCGGAGAAGGAUAACUUGGAGCCCUCAAGACCGCCGAAGGAGUAAAUCGCCAAGUGUUUGGCCAAAAUACAAUGCUUCAUCUAUUCAGACUCGGGGAGUCUUGUAAUAGGGUAGAAAUAAUUUCUUAAUGCCCAUCAUGCCUUCAUGCAUGCUUUAUCACUUAACGCUUUUCGUAAGCCGCCAUGGCUGUAUAUUUCUGGAUUUGACUUUCUUGGCGUGUGUAAAUUCUGCUUGCCUUAUUCUGUAACCCUUGAAUGAUCUUCCCGGCUCAUAUAAUGUUCACCCGGUACUUAAUAACCUGGGGUGACGAAUAUUAAACCGGCAAAACAAAAAACACCUUAAAAUGUUUUCCACAAGGUAUCAGAAUAAUGAAAAUACUUUUACAGGCUUCUGAUUCGGAUACGAUCAGUAAACCGUUUCAAAGGGGUUAAGCUAAGAUUCGGAUAUGAUCAUAUAGCCCCCAGUGGCUUGGUGAUGCCGAUCAAGUGGGUAUCGAUAGCUAUGUUCUCUUUGGUUCGAAUACGACCUAUGUUUGAACAGGAAGCCCCCAAGUGAUCCUAAGAUUUGUUUAAUGACGCUGAUUCGUAUACGAUCCACGUCAGACCUAAAGGGGUUAAGCUGUGAUUCAGAUAUGAUCAGGAAGCCCCCAAGUAGGCUUGGCAAGUAUGCCGAUCAAGUGGGUAUCUACAGCUAUGUUCUCUUUGGUUCAGAUACGACCUAUGUUUGAAUAGGAAGCCCCCAAGUGAUCAUGGCUAGAUUCAGAUAUGAUCAUAAGCCGGACCAAAGGUAAAGCCGGAUUCAGAUAUGAUCCGGUUUCUUUUGGUUGUUUCCACCACCUGUCAAAAAGACAUAUAUACUAUUUUAAGGGUGAAAAAAGGACAAAAGUUCUGCUUUAUUACUUUAUAUAAUAUGUACAUUGUCAAAAAACAUAUGUAUCAUAAGAGCCGGUGGCUCAAGUAUAGUAAAACCAAAGAUAGGUUAUAUCCCAUGGCCCAAUAUCACUUAGAAAAGCCACCUAGACUCCAUAAACUAUGAAGAAAGGUGUAUAACCCGCUAGAUCGAGGCCACUUACCCUUACGCCUCUGAUCUUUACCCUGUUUAUUAACAUCGGCCACAAGUUCCGGGUUGUCAUCCGCUUUACGCUUAUUGCUAUUUUGAUUCUCCGGGCUGUGCUAUUGACCCUUUCUACUGUCAUUCCGUUUUCCGUUCCAUGUCUUUUCACCGUCAGACUCGGGAUCCUUGGUACUAUCAGAAUCGGCACAUUUGACCAGAGCCGCCAUCAGCGUACCCAUAUCCUUGUAGUCAUGUUUAAGGCGCCCCAACUUCUGCCUUAGCGGCUUGAAGCUGCAAUUCUUUUCCAAUAUAAGGGCAGCAGAGCCGACAUCCAUCUUAUUAGAUGAAUGAAUUAUCUCCUUGACCCGGCGUACCCAAUGGGUGGUAGAUUCACCUUCCUCCUGCUUACAAUUUGUUAAGUCCACGACUGUCAUAGAUUGCUUACAGGUGUCUUUGAAGUUCCGGAUGAAACGGGCCCUUAGCUCUUCCCAUGAACCAAUGGAAUCGGGUGGUAAACCUUUAAACCAAGACCGGGCUGUUCCAUCUAACAUCAUGGUAAAAUAUUUAGCCAUUACCGCGUCACUAACCUCCAACAGUUCCAUGGCCAUCUCAUAACUCUCGAUCCAUGCUUCAGGCUGUAAGUCAGCCGUGUAAUUCGGCACCUUUUGGGGUCCCUUGAAAUCUUUGGGCAGGCACACAUUGCGCAAAGCCGAUACCAAACAAGAAGAGCCACCGGCUCUGGUGGCUAUUCCCAUCUCAGUAGAAGUCGUUGGAUACCCCGGCAUAUCCUGAAGUGUCGUCUGUUGAGCCGCCAGCUGAGCCGUUCACUCUUUCUCCUGAUGUACUCGAUCUUGUACCGGGUUAUAGCCUCCAUGUUGGUCACAACGUUGGAUGUUGCGUGACAAGAUUUCAGAUCCUAUGUGCUUGUUGUAACUCUGACUCCGGUUCUGACGAGGCGGUGCUAACCAAAGCGGAGGAGCUGAAUAAGGUCUAUCCCGAUUAUAAGAAUAGGCCUCUUGCUGAGCCAGGGCUUUCUGAACAAGUUCCCUAAUCCUCCGGGUCUCCACCGCUAUCGGGUCAUCGCCAUCCACUGGAAGAGCCGCCAGAUGCGCUGAUGCUCUGAUUAAGUUCUCCAUAGGGUUGGAAAAGUGACCCUCCGACACCGGCACAUAACGCGGCGGUGCCAUGCUCAUAUGAGGAAGUGGCAUAAGCUGAUGUUGUGCCGGUCCUCCCGCUCCGGGUGUCAUAAACUGAUUAGCAUUGGACGGGUUACUUGGGCCGGCCCCGGGUGUGGCAAAAAGAACCCUAGGAUCGUAAUUCGGAGGCAACCAGGAUUGGGUCUUCUGGUAUCUCUUCCUCAUUACUUCAUUGGACGCGUUUAAACUCAUUUUGAGCUGAUAAGCCUCUGACUGCAACCGCUGGGCCUGGGCGUCGAGGGCCGCCCGCUCCAUAGAUAGCCUAGUAUCCUCAGCUGCUAAGGCCUCCUUGGCCUGAGCUAUUUCCUCAUGUACCUGUGCUACCUUCGCGUCAUGCUCAUCUUUGUUUGCAGGGAUGACCGUGGCGGUUAACAGGGUCGUAAGCUUAUCCAUGAGGUCUAUCAGCACUUGAGCCGGCGGGCGCACAGGGCCUCCUACCCCGGCUGCUCCUAACCCGGAAGUGAUUGCGGCCGCGGCUGUAGAGUUUUGUCCGGGUUGAGUCCCAACCAUAAAGACUCCUACCCAAUUUGGCGACUCACAGAGGUCCGGAAUACUAAGGCCAUCGGAACAGCCCCCGAGCGCACCCUCUUGAACUUGAUACAAAGAAGCUGUUGAACCGGUGGACGAAUUACCGUCAGAGGGGACGGCCGUCUCAUCACCAUCUUCAGGACCUUCAGAAAGCUCUUCUCCGUGGACGCAGCCCACAAAGACACGCUUCACGCCGGGUUGAACUCGGGCGGGUUUCGCACGCUGAGCCGUCUCGACGAGGUCGGUGCAGUUGUCCGGCUCAGGCCCCGGCUCACCAAUCCGGCCGAUAAAGACAUGGAUCCCUCCAAAGGGGACCCGGUACCCGUACUCAAUUGAGCCGGCGUCGGGGCCCCAGCCUUCGUCGUCGAUGUAGAUCUUGCCACGACGACUUUUGGUCAUCUAGCCCACUACGUAUCCCUUGAGCCCUUCAAAGUUGCCCUUCAAGAACUCGAAUCCACCGUGCGCUGGCCCCACGGUGGGCGCCAACUGUCGUGGAAUUGUCACGUCAGAUGUCCUCAUGAAAGGACUUAGUUGUGGAGCCAUCGCAACUAGGAAGCUUGAAGGGGUUAAUCGGGACAAAGGACACAAGAGGGUUUAUACUAGUUCUGCCCCUUACGGUGAAGGUAAGGCCUACAUCUAGUUGGGUUGGUAUUGAUGUUUCGAUGACCAGGGAGCGAGAUACGCUAUGCCUGGCUCUUGAUGAGUUGUUCCUUGCCCUAAGCCGCCAGCGGGUCGUCCCCUUAUAUACACGGGUCGACGCCCUGCGGCUUACAGAGUCCCGGCCGGCUUAUAAACAAUGUCCGACUCGGUGACUAGUUAAGUCUACCUUAUGAUACAAGUAAUACUAUUACAACAGGUUACUACAACGGGCCUUAAGUCGCCUGCGGGCCUUAAGCUCUCUAUGAACCACCAUCUUCAUACUUUGUCUUGGGCUUCUCUCUGGUGAGUCAUCUUUGCGUAACCCGACCCCUCCUGGGCGGCUUACACAAAUAGUUAUAUCCCCAACACUCGGUAAGGUGGCCAUGUCACAUGAUAGCUCCAUACAAAAUGUCAUGCUCGUUGAAUCUCUUGGGUACAAUUUACUUUCAGUAUCUAGACUUGUUGAUUUCAGUUUCAAUGUCCUAUGUACUGAAGUAGAUUGCCAAGUGUUUCGAAGAGAGAAUCAUAAAAUGGUAUUUACCGGUAUACGUAGAGGUGAUCUUUACAUUGUUGAUUUCACCGAAAAGGCUCAACCUAGAACUUGCUUAAUUGCUAAAUCCUCUAAAGGCUGGUUAUGGCAUAGACGAUUAGGUCAUGUGGGCAUGCGAAACCUUGACAAGCUUAUAAAAGGAAAUCAUAUCCCUUGCGUUAACGAUGUCAUAUUUGAUAAGGAUAGAUUUUACAGUGCUUGUCAAGCAGGUAAAUAGGUUGGAGGAAGGCAUCCCGUGAAGAAUAUCAUGACCACAAGGAGGCCACUCGAGCUACUUCACAUGGAUCUUUUCGGUCCCAACGCCUACAAAAGUCUCGGUGGAAAUUCUUUUGGUCUAGUUAUAGUUUAUGAUUUUUCAAGAUUUACGUGGGUGUUCUUUCUCAAUGAUAAAUCUCAGGUCCAGAAGAUCUUCAAAAACUUCACUAGGAAGGCCCAAAAUCAAUUUGAAGUGACGAUCAAGAAGGUUCGCAGUGCCAACGGAACGGAGUUCAAGAACGCAAACGUGGACACCUUUCUUGACGAAGAAGGGAUUUCACAUGAGUUCUCGGCUACGUACACACCUCAACAAAAUGGAGCUGUUGAGAGGAAGAACCGGACGCUCAUCGAAAUGGCAAGAACGAUGCUUGAUGAUUACAAGACGUCGACGCACUUUUGGGCGGAAGCGGUUGAGACAGCUUGUCAUGCAAAAAAUCGCUUGUAUCUUCACAAGCUACUCGGCAAGACGGCAUACGAGCUCUUCACUGGUAACAAACCCCAAGUUGGAUACUUUCGAGUAUUCGGCUCAAAGUGCUACAUUCUUGAUAAGCAUCGUCGUUCUAAAUUUUCUCCUAAGUCUCAUGAAGGUUUCCUACUUCGUUAUGGCUCAAACUCUCACACUUACUAUGUCUACAACAGUUUCACCCGAAAGGUUGAAGAGAUGGUAGGUGUGAAGUUUGAUGAAUCUAACGGCUCGCAAGUAGAGCAAUUGCCAAUUGAUGUAGGAGACAGAGACCCUUCGGAAGCAAUCCAAUACUUGUCUAUUAGCAAGAUUCAUCCAACGGAGGUGAGGGAGAGUACCUCGUCCAUCCAAGUGGAAGCUUCUACCUCAUGACAAGGUGAACCAAGAUUCGAUACGGAAGCAUCCACAAGUGGGGCGCCGCAAGAUGAAGAAAACGAGGAAGUACACGAAGUUGAACAUCAACAACCUCCUUCUCCACCAUGACAAAAGAACGACAACGUCAACAAUGAAGAAGGCCAAGAAGAAGAACAAGAUGAAGAAGAUGUUCGACUAAGAUCCAAGCAAAAACUUUCACGAGUUCGAGCAAGAGUUGCUAAAGACCAUCCCGUCGAGCAAAUCUGCAAUGGUAUCCAAACCGGGAGAAUCACACGCUCUAAAACCAUUCAGCUAACCUUUGUGAACAUUAUUCAUUCAUCUCUAGCAUUGAACCUAUGAAGGUUGAAGAAGCUUUGGAAGAUCCGGGUUGGAUAAACGCCAUGCACAAAGAGCUACACAACUUUGAGAGAAACCAAGUGUGGACAUUGGUUGAGAAGCCCGACAACAACCACAACAUCAUCGAUACCAAAUGGGUGUUUCGCAAUAAGCAAGAUGAAGAUGCACAAGUAGUUCACAACAAAGCAUGUCUCGUCGCCCAAGGCUACACUCAAGUCGAAGGUAUGGACUAUGGUGAGACAUAUGCCCCCGUUGCUAGACUUGAGUCCAUUCGCAUCUUAUGCUAAUCACCAUGAUAUCACAUUGUACCAAAUGGACAUUAUAAGUGCUUUUCUAAAUGGUGAAAUAGAGGAGGAAGUCUAUGUUAAGCAACCUCCCGGCUUUGUCAAUCCUAAGAAACCUAAUCAUGUUUACAAACUUCACAAAGCUCUUUAUGGCCUUAAACAAGAUCCUAGAGCGUGGUAUUAAUGCUUGACCAAGUUUUUUAUUGAAAAAGGCUUUGAAAUUGGAAAAAUUGAUUCCACUCUUUUUACUAAAAGGGUUAAUGGAGAAAUAUUUGUAUGCCAACUCUAUGUUGAUGAUAUUAUAUUUGGUCCGACUAACCCUCACUUUAGUGAAAAGUUUGGAAAGCUAAUGUCGAAGAAGUUUGAGAUGUCGAUGAUGAGUGAACUCAAAUUCUUUCUCGAUUUGCAAAUCAAGCAAACUAAGGAAGGUACCUUUAUCUCUCAAACAAAGUACACCAAGGACUUAUUCAAGAAGUUAAAUAUGCAAGAAUGCAACGGUAUGACUACACCCAUGCCUACUAGUGGACAUCUUGAUUUGACCAAAGAUGGUGAACCGGUUGAUCAAAAGGUUUACCGCUCCAUGAUUGGUUCAUUGUUAUAUCUAUGUGCUUCACAUCCUGAUAUUAUGCUAAGUGUGUGCAUGUGUGCACGAUAUCAAGCCGCUCCUAAAGAAUGUCAUCUUAAGGCCGUGAAAAGGACAAUGAGAUACUUAAUCCAUACACCAAAUUUUGGCAUUUGGUAUCCAAAGAGGGCCUCUUUUAAUCUUGUUGGCUACUCCGACUCGGACUACGCUGGUGACAAGGUUGAUAGAAAGUCUACUUCAUGUACUUGUCAAUUUCUUGGUAGAUCUCUUGUGUCUUGGUCCUCCAAGAAACAAAACCCGGUAUCCUUAUCCACCGACGAAGCAGAAUACAUUGCUGCUGGUUCAUGUUGUGCUCAAUUACUUUGGAUGACCCAAACUCUUAAAGAUUAUGGGAUAUAUGUGAAACAUGUUCCAUUGCUUUGUGACAAUGAAAGUGCUAUCAACAUUGCUCACAAUCCCGUGCAACACCUCUCGAACUAAGCAUAUUGAAGUUUGUCAUCAUUUCAUUCAAGAUCACGUUGCCAAAGGGGACAUUAAUCUUAAACAUGUUCGCACCGAUUAGCAAUUAGCGGAUAUAUUCACUAAACCACUUGAUGAGAAAGUGUUUUGCAGGUUAAGAGGUGAACUGAACAUCAUUGAUGCUUCAAACUUGGAGUAGGAACUCCAUUUGGAUACAUGCAAGGCAUGAGCCUAUGACUAAUCCUUGAUACUUCUCUCAUGAUGAUAAUCUUCUAUCUUGGAUAUAUUUGCACUCUGCAUGUUAUCUAACCCUUGUAGGUACUUGGAUGAAUCUAAAUCUAUGAGAUUGCAACUCACUCACAUCUUGAGCAAUCUCUACAUCACCAAGUCUCUACACAAUGGUGGUUGAAGACAAGGAAGCACGAAACCAUUCAAACAUAUCCUUUGACAAAUUCUAUGUUGAGUUUCAUGAUUGUCAUUUUGGAUACACAAGUGCUCUGCAUUGCAAAACUAACCCAUGUAGGUAGAUGAACUCAAAUUCCAAGUGGUGCUCCCAACUCUUGAUGAGCUACAUCAACCUUGAGCAACCCACACAAGUUCAACUACAUGAUCACGAUCAACACCACCACCCAAGGUAUGUUAUUAAAUCCUAGAGAAGCUUUACUCCAAGUCAUGAGUCAAAGCAACUCGACAAGAUGUGAAUACAUCAAGAUGCUUAAACAAAAAAUGGUAACCCAUUUUGAGCUUAAACAAUGAGUAUGACCUAUGAUCAAGUGAUCUCACUUGACUCCUAUGUCAAUAUACUCUAACAUAGGUGACUUUGCCGCCGACCAAUUCUAGAUGAAGUUAUCUUGUGUUAUUUUCUGUGCUCUUGCAUUUUAUUCUCAUGCAUAUUCAUUUCCCCUUUCAAAAAAAAAAACUUCAUCUAGAUUUCUUUUCUAUUCUGCAUUCCCUGCAUUCAAUUCUUUGCAAAUCUUUCAGUUAAUUCCUUGCAAAUCCUUAUGAGAUCUUACUUGUCUAAGUGAGCUGAGGUGACAAGUGUUUUCUCUGUGAUGAAUUCGGUCAUACCGGUCAAAUGCCUUCGGCUCAACUGACACCUUUCGGUGCAACCGAAACAUACAACUCGGUGCCACCGAUUUCACUACAGGAAAAACAGCUUGCCACUUAUUCCUGCUUUCCUUUUGAUCCAGCUCCACUCAAUGAUUCUUGUCCUCUACCAGCAUCACAUUCGACUUGCAGCUUUGUUCUAUGACUCAAGGACCAAACCCAUUCUAACAAGGGGGAGAGAGAGAUCACACUGUAACCCUUCUUGGAAAUUGAUGUCAAAGGGGGAGAGAGAGAUCACAUCAAAGCUUAGUCAUUUCUAUAGGGGGAGGAAUACUCAGGAAGAGAGAGAGACCCCAGAUGCUUGGUGUUCAAGAGGAUAGAAGUCACAUGUCUUUAAGAGGGGAAAGACAUGUUCAUAUUUGAUUGAUUGCAUUAGCUCUGUUUCUUUUCUUUGCUCUGAUUUUCUGUUCCCUAUCUUCUCCCAAUAUCCCAUGCUAGAUUCAGGGGGAGCAAGACAUCUAAGGGAAGAAAACCCUUGAAUUCAUUGCACAUCUUUACCUUUGGGGACAUGUCUAAAUCCAUUGUGGUACUUAGUACUCACUCUACUUGUCAUCCCAGUCUUGGUUCUCUUGUGGUUUCUUUUGUUUGCUCUGGCUAGUAGGUGUAUCUAUGUUAUCUAACCUUGUUUACGCAGGUUCAUUCCCUCCCAAGCCAACUCAAGACCACAAGGUAAGUAUAUGCAUCACAGUCAUGUGUAUGAGCAUUUCUUGCUGAUGUACAUACUGUUUGCAAGAAGGACUCAUGAGCAUGAAGGUACAUUUCCCAUAUUCACAUCAUUUGAUCUAAUGCAUAUAGCCAAGAUACAUGUAACACAUUGCUUACUCUGUCAUGCCUAUGCAUUCACAUGCUCCUAUAUUCCAUAUUUACAUGAUUGCAUACAUGUAGGGGGAGCUUAUGCAUGUUACAUGUCUUUCCAAAGCUUUGCUUGUUAUUCUCUAUAUCUUUAUCUAAAGCUUUGAUGUAUGUUGUCAUCAAUUACCAAAAAGGGGGAGAUUGAAAGCACAAGUGCUCCCUGGGUGAUUUUGGUAAUUUAUGUCAACAUAUCUCUUGUUGGACUAAUACCUUUACCUACUAUGUUUCAGAUAAGUUCAACAAUGGAGUGGCAUGGACUAUAGGAUGUGGAACCCCUUCAAGUUGCUAAGGACAAAAGGAUUGGCUCAAGCUCAAAGCACAAGACUCUACAUUUUCCAUUUUAGUGAUCCAAGACCACAUUGAGUCUAUAGGAAAAGCCAAUACUAUCAAGAGGGGAUGAGGUGUUGCUUAAUGGCUUGCUUGCUCGAAGUGCUUAGUGAUAUGCUCCAAAGCCCUCAACCACUUUCUCACAUCCACAUAUGUCCCAAACCAAAAGUCAAACUCGGCCAUCCGACACCACCGAGAUCUCAUGACAUAGCCACUGCCACAAACCCUAGUCUUUCCAUUCUCACCGAUAGGGAUCUCGGUCUCACUGAGAUGGUAUUGUAAUCUCCGUGUGUAUGUCUAUUACCAAAAUCGGUCUCACCGAAUUUGGGUAAUCGGUCCUACCGAGAUUACAAUGCAAACUCUCUAUUCCCCUUCGUAAUGUUUCGGUCCAACCGAGAUGAGCGGAUCGGUCCCACCGAGUUUGCCUGACCAACUCUCUGGUUAGCUUAUUACCAAAAUCGGGCUCACCGAGUUUGUGUAAUUGGUCUCACCGAGAUUACGUUAUGCCCUAACCCUAACCAUAUCGGUCCCACCGAGUUGACAUGUCGGUCCCACCAAAAAUCCUAACGGUCACAUUAUUUGCUAAAUUGGUCCGACUGAGUUUCAUGGUUCGGUCCCACCGAGAUUGGUAAGUUGUGUGUAAUGGUUAGAUUUUGUGUGGAGGCUAUAUAUACCCCUCCACCCACUCUUCAUUCAUGGAGAGAGCCAUCAGAACAUGCCUACACUUGCAACCUACAUUUUCUGAGAGAGAGCCCCCUACACUUGUGUUGAGGUUAAGAUAUUCCAUUCCUAUCAUAUGAAUCUUGAUCUCUAGCCUUCCCCAAGUUGCUUUCCACUCAAAUCCUCUUUCCACCAAAUCCAAAUCCUGUGAGAGAGAGUUGAGUGUUGGGGAGACUAUCAUUUGAAGCACAAGAGCAAGGAGUUCAUCAACAACACACCAUUUGUUACUUCUUGGAGAGUGGUGUCUCCUAGAUUGGCUAGGUGUUACUUGGGAGCCUCCGACAAGAUUGUGGAGUUGAACCAAGGAAUUUGUAAGGGCAAGGAGAUCGCCUACUUUGUGAAGAUCUACCCUAGUGAGGCAAGUCCUUCGUGGGCGACGGCCAUGGUGGGAUAGACAAGGUUGCUUCUUCGUGGACCCUUCGUGGGUGGAUCCCUCCGUGGAAUCGCGCAACCGUUACCCUUUGUGGGUUGGAGUCUCCAUCAACGUGGAUGUACGAUAGUACCACCUAUAGGAACCACGUCUCAAAAAUCUCCGUGUCUCCAAAUUGCGUUUGCACAUUCCAAUCCCAUCCCUUUACAUUCUUCCAAAUUGCAUGCUUUACUUUCUGCUGCUCAUAUACUCUUCGCAAGCUUGCUUGAUAUGUAUUGUGAAUGUUAAACUUGUGCCAAAACACCACUUCAACUUAAAGAAAUUAAAAACUGCAACUUUUCUCACUUAGUGUCUAAUCACCCUCCCCCUCUAGACACCUCUUCUCGAUCCUUUCAAAGGACUGCGGCGUGACUGCCGCCAAGGAGUACAUCGUUGAUGUCUCGCACUUUCGCAUACAUUGCCACAUGGCCCUCACCUUCCUCGAAAUCUCCCACUCAUUGUCAAACCAAGUAAGGAUCUCCUUCAACCUGGCUAACUUUGCCUGGUCUCCGCCGGUGAUCUGCCUGAUUCGCUGCUGCAUCCUCUCCAUAGAUGUCCUUCUGAGUGGUAUGGUGCUAGCUUUGUAAGAUGGGAGGAGAGACGGUGGUAUUGCAAUAGAGAAGAUGGAUAGGCAAGACGGUGGUUUCGGAAUGGAGAUGAUGGAGAGGAUAGGGGGUGGUUUCGCAAUGGAGAAGAGGGAGAGGUGAGACGGUGGUUUUGGAAUGGAGAUGAUGGAGAGGAGAGGAGGUGGUUUUGCAAUGGUGAAGAGGGAGAGGAGCGUGCGGCAGCGAUUUAGGAUUGGACGAGACGGCCGACGCGCUGUGACUAGAUCAAAAUGAAAAUCAGUUUACCCUUCAAUUAAGAAAGCGACCCCACAUUAACUAGUCUCCCUUUUAUUCUCGGUCAUAAUUGACCAUGAUUUUCACAAAUAAAAUAUAUGUUAUACGUUGCAAAAAUAAUAUAAUUUGAAAGUACAUUCAGAUACGAACCAAACGAUACAAUUUUUUGGUGACAUGCAUUCACAUUUUGCUUGUCAAAUACAAUACGUGGUCAAUCUUUGACCCAAAAUAUGCAAAACAAAAAAAAUACUUCCAAGACCAGCGCCGCUCCUCUCCUCUUAAACCACCUCCGCUCCUCUCCUCUUCCAUUUCAAAACCGCCGCCCCUCCUCUCUUGUUCCAAUCCAAAACUAGCAUCGCUCCUCUCCCGUUCUAAUCCAAAACCAGCACUGCUCCACUCCUCUUCCAUUCAAAAAACCACUACCGAUGAGUGAAGGUGCUGUGGAGAAGUAGAUCCAUGGAGGAGUACAACCGAUACGUGAGGAUCGCAGACGGCAACCCUGUGAAGCUAGCUAGGAUGUUGGAGUGAUAACCCACAAGUAUAGGAGAUCAAUUGUAGCCUCUUUCGAUAAGUAAGAGUGUCAAACCCAACGAGGAGCUAAAGGUAGAACAAAUAUUCCCUCAAGUUCUAUCAACCACCGAUACAACUCUACGGGCGCUUGACGUCUGCUUCACCUAGAACAAGUGUGAAACUAGAAGUACUUUGUAGGUGUUGUUGGAUAGCUUUGCAAGAUAAUAAAGAGCACGCAAAUAUAAACUAGGGGCUGUUUAGAUUAAGAAGCAAUAGUAUAGCGAGUGUGGAAAAGUGGUGGUAGGAGUUGUGAAAUUGUCCCUAAGCAAUUGACUACUUUACUAGACCGAUAGCAAGUUUUAUGUGGGAGAGGCAUAAGCUAACAUACUUUCUCUUCUUGGAUCAUAUGCACUUAUGAUUGGAACUCUAGCAAGCAUCCGCAACUACUAAAGAUCAUUAAGGUAAAACCCAACCAUAGCAUUAACAUAUCAAAUCCCUUUUAUCCCAUACGCCACAACCCCCUUACUCGGGUUUAUGCUUCUGUCACUCAAGCAACCCACUAUAAGAGAAUCAUGAACGUAUUGCAACACCCUACAGCAGGAAUCCCUCAAACUUGCGCGAAACGGAGGGCACAAUAGGAUAACAACAUAACCACAAGAAAAUUAAACAAAUCAUAGCAAUUCAUCAAUCACUGAUAGGACAACGAAAAUCUACUCAGACAUCAUAGGAUGGCAACACAUCAUUGGACAAUAAUAUGAAGCAUAAAGCACCAUGUUCAAGUAGAGGGUACAGCGGGUUGCGGGAGAGUGGACCGCUGAAUAUAGAUGGGUGAAGGUGAUGGAGAUGUUGGUGAAGAUGAUGGAGGUGUUGGUGUAGAUCACGAUGAUGAUGAUGGCCCCCGACAGUGUUUCAGCGCCACCAGAAGCAAGGGGGAGAGCGCCUCCCUUCUUCUUCUUCUUCCUUGACCUUCGCCCUAGAUGGGAGAAGGAUUACCCCUUUGUUCCAUGGACUCCAUGGCUUGGGAGGGGCGAGAGCCCCUCCAAGAUUGGAUAUGUCUCUUUGUCUCUCUCUAUUUUUGCGUUUUUUUAUUCUACCCUUUCACCGUUUCUUAUAUAUCCGGAGAUCCGAAACUCCGAUUGGAUUGAAAUGUUCGCCUAGAUUUUUCUCCGAAAAUUAGCUUUCUUGCGGCAAAAUAAGAGCAUCAACCGCCUUACGGGGUGCCCACAAGGGUCAGGGGCGCGCCCCCUGCCUCGUGGACCCCUCGGGCACCGUCUCGCGUUGAUUUUUCUUCCAGAAAAUCAUAAAUAUUCCAAAAAUAUUCUCUGUCUGUUUUUAUCCCGUUUGGACUCUGUUUGAUAUGGAGUUUCUGCAAAACAUAAAACAUGCAACAAACAGGAACUAGCACUGGGCACUGGAUCAAUAUGUUAGUCCCAAAAAUAGUAUAAAAAGUUGCCAAAAGUAUAUGGAAGUUGAAUAAUAUUGGCAUGGAACAAUCAAAAAUUAUAGAUAUAGCAUCCCCAAGCUUAAUUCCUGCUCGUCCUCGAGUAGGUAAAUGAUAAAAAGAUAAUUUUUGAUGUGGAAUGCUACCUAGCAUAAUCUUGAUCAUGUAAUCUAAUCAUGGCAUGAAUAUUAAGACACGAGUGAUUCAAGGAAAUAGUCUAUCAUUUGACAUAAAAACAAUAAUAACUUGGGCAUCCCAACAAGCAAUCAUGUCUUUCGAAAUAUCAAUGCUAAAGAAUGUUAUACUUACAAAAUCAUAUAGUCUUGUAUGCUCCCUUUUCUUAACACAAGAUACCCCUCAUGCUCAUCUCGGUGUCAGCCAAGAAAUUGGUUCAUACUUUUUAAUGUGCUUCAGCUUUUUCAACCCUCACGCAAUACAUGAGCACAAGCCAUGGAUAUAGCACUAUAGGUGGAAUAGAAUAUGAUGGUGGAGGUUUAUGUGGAGAAUACAAAAAGGGAGAAAGUCUCACAUCGACGCGUCUAGUCAACGGGCUAUGGAGAUGCCCAUCAAUUCAUGUCAAUGCGAGGAGUAGGGAUUGCCAUGCAACGGAUGCACUAAGAGCUAUAAGUGUAUUAAAGCUCAAACUGAAAACUAAGUGGGUGUGCAUCCAACUUGCUUGCUCAUGAAGACCUCAGGCAUUUGAGGAAGCCCAUCAUCGGAAUAUACAAGCCAAGUUCUAUAAUGAAAAUUCCCACUAGUAUACAAAAGAGAUGACUCAAGAGACUCUCUAUAUGAAGAACAUGGUGCUAUUUGAAGCACAAAUGUGGUAAGAGGAUAGUAACAUUGCCCCUUCUCCCUUUUUUUCUCAUUUUUUUAUUUUUUUAUUUUUUGGUGGGCUUCUUUUGCCUCCUUUUUUUAUUUGGGCUUCUUUGGCUUCUUUUAUUUUUCAUAAAGUCAGGAGACUCCUCCCGACUUGUGGGGGAAUCAUAGUCUCCAUCAUCCUUUCCUCACUGGGGCAAUGCUCUAAUAAUGAUGAUCAUCACACUUUCAUUUACUUAUAACUCAAUAUCACAACUUGAUACUAGAACAAAAAUAUGACUCUAUAUGAAUGCCUCCGGCGGUGUACCGGGAUGUGCAAUGAUCUAGCAUAGCAAAGAUAUCAAAAAAUGGACAAGCCAUGAAAUCAUCAUGCUAGCUAUCUUACGAUCAUGCAAAGCAAUAUGACAAUGAAUGCUCAAGUCAUGUAUAUGAUGAUGAUGGAAGUUGCAUGGCAAUAUAUAUCUGAAUGUCUUUGGAAAUGCCAUAAUAGGUACGUAUGGUGGCUGUUUUGAGGAAGAUAUAAGGAGGUUUAUGUGUGAUAGAGCGUAUCGUAUCACAGGGUUUGGAUGCACCGGCGAAGUUUGCACCAACUCUCGAGGUGAGAAAGGGCAAUGCACAGUACCAAAGAGGCUAGCAAUGAUGGAAGGGUGAGAGUGCGUAUAAUCCAUGGACUCACAUUAGUCAUAAAGAACUCAUAUACUUAUUGCAAAAGUUUAUUAGCCCUUGAUGCAAAGUACUACUAUGCAUGCUCCUAGGGGGGAGGUUGGUAGGAGUUAACCAUCGUGCGCCCCUGACCUUCACCAAAGAAUAACAAUCAAAAUACAAUGCGCGCCAAUUUGGUUACAUAGUUAGGAGACCAUACAUGCAUGCUUCGGGAAUCACAAACCUUAACACCAAUAUCCUUACUAAACACAACCAUCUACUAGAACCUCCCACAUAUUAUUAUCUCUAUAUCACAAAACUAUUGCAAGGAAUCAAACAUAUCAUAUUCAGUGAUCUACAAGUUUUAUGUAGGAUUUUAUGACUAACCAUGUGAAUUACCAAUUCCUGUCAUCUCUCUAAAUAGAUAUAAGUGAAGCAAGAGAGUUUAAUUGUUUCUACAAAAGAUAUGCCCACGCUCUAACAAAUAUAAGUUAAGCAAAAGAGCAUUCUACAAAUGGCGGUUUUUUAUGUGAAGAGAAACAGGCAACCCAAACUUCAAAUGAUAUAAGUGAAGCACAUGAAGCAUUCUAUAAAGCCAUACUCAAAAGAUUUAAGUGAAGUGCAAUGAGCAUUCUAUAAAUCAACCAUGGACUAUCUCAUACCAGCAUGGUGCAUAAAAGAAAAGUGAAAACUAAAUGCAAAAGACGCUCCAAGACUUGCACAUAUCGCAUGAACGAAACGAAUCCGAAAACAUACCGAUACUUGUUGAAGAAAGAGGGGAUGCCUUCUGGGGCAUCCCCAAGCUUAGACGCUGGAAUCUCCUUGAAUAUUUACUUGGGGUGCCUUGGGCAUCCCCAAGCUUGAGCUCUUGCAUCUCUUCCUUUUCCUCAGACUUUUUCUUUCCUUUCUGGCUUGACCAUGAGGCCAUGACUAUUCUAAUCUUACAAGAAGCAACCGCUGUACCCCGCCUUCUAGCUCUUAGACUAUCGAGACCUCCUCGAUCAAACACUUCAUCCACACAAAACAUCAACAGAAAACUUGGUAAGACCUAUUAGUAUAAGAAAGAAAAUCACUACUCUAAGUACUGUUUCAAACCAAUUCAUAUUUUGUUUUUGCAUUGUGUUUACUAUAAUAUAGCUUUUCCCUGGCUUAAUCCACUAAUAGAAAUUGAUAGUUUCAUCAAAACAAGUAAACUAUGCAUCAAAAACAGAAUCUGUCAAAAACAGAACAAUCUGUAGCAAUCUGAACAUUCACCAUACUUAUGGUACCACAAAAAUUCUACCAAAAUUUGGAAAAAUAAACAAUUUGUAUAGCAAGACAGUGCAAAAAUAAUCAGAACCGUUUGACGUUCCAGUAAAAAAAUGUAAAAUCGUGCACUAUGGCCAAAGUUUCUGUCCUGCACCGCACAAACCAACAAGCAUUGUAAACAUCCUAAAGGCAAACCUUGGCACAUUUUUUUUGUAAUACAAUGGAAUUGUACAAGGGGAUAAUUAUUUUUGAUGAAAAGUUUCUGUAAUUAAGAUUCACAAAGUUUCCGUGAGCAUGAACAAAGUUCAAGGAGCUCCCCCACUUCAACAAUGCUUGUCUCUGUCACUUUCACUUUCCUUUUUGAAAAGUUUUGGGUUCCCCUCUUUUUUUUUGUUUUUAAACUAAAUGAAAGCACUCAACAGAAAUAAAUGACUCUAUAAAACUUCCGGGUCAUCUCCCUGGCAGCGCUUUCUUUAAAGCCAUUAAGCUAGGCAUAUAGUGCUCAAGUAAUGAAUCCACCCGAUCCCAAGGUAUAUAAAAGCCAAUUUUAAUUAACAAUGAUUUGUAAUUUAGUAGUGAGCACAAAGUAACAUAUAUCAUGCAACAACAAAGUCUAACUCUCUUCCUAUGCAUCGGCAUGUCAUAAAAGAACAAUUCAUGCACACAUAGUAAAGGCCAAUGCAUAGUAUAAACAGUUUCUUGCAAUUUUAUCAUAUUGGAAACAUAGAGAGGUGGAGAUAUAGUUCCUCUCUCAUAAUAAUUGCAAGUUGUAGCAGCAAGCACAUGCAUAUUAUAUCUAUCAAAAUCAUCAUGUGCAACGGUAAAAUGCAACCCAUCAAUAUAAUCCUUAAUAAGAACAAACUUGUCCGAUAUAGUGUAGUUUGGAGAAUUCAAAAAGAUAAUAGGACUAUCAUGUGUGGGUGCAAUAGCAACAAUUUCAUGUUUAACAUAAGGAACUAUAGCAAGUUCAUCUCCAUAAGCAUAAUUCAUAUUGGCAUCAUGGCCACAAGCAUAGCAAGCAUCAUCAAAAAGGAGUAUUUCAAGAGAAUCAACGGGAUCAUAACAAUCAUCAUAAAAUUCAUCCUUCGGUAAGCACGAAGGCAAAUUAAACAAUGUAUGAGUUGAAGAGUUACUCUCAUUAGAAGGUGGGCACGGGUGAUCAAUCCACUCUUCCUCCUUUUGUUCUUCGCUCUCCUCCUCAUCUUUUUCAUCCAAUGAGCUCACAGUUUCAUCAAUUUAUUCUUCCAUAGAUUCCUGCAAAAUAUUAGUCUCUUCUUGGACAGCGGAGACUUUCUCAAUAAACGCAUCAAUAUUAGCAUUGUAUUCAUAAUUCUCAUUACAAUAUUUAAGUAUAGGAAAAAAAUUAGGUCUGUAAACAACAUCAUCAAGAUUUUCACACUCUUUAAACAGAGAUUCAAUUUCAUAAUCACCCAUAAAAGCAAUGAAUUCGUCUAUUUGUUCCACAUCAUAGUAAUCAUAUAUACCAUUAGCAUAAGAAGCUAAGGUUUCAUUAUCAUUAAAUUUGCAUGAAAAGGGAAGGUGUGGAGCCUUCAUCCUAGAGCAACAAGUAUAAUCAUAUCUCAAGCAUAGUUCUCGAGCAUACCAAUGCAACAUAUGAAUUUGAUCCCAUAAUAAUUUCCCUUUUUGAGUUAAGCGAUAAUUCCUAAAGUAUUCACGUUGAUCCAGCGUGUCUCCCAUUACAUAAUUGAAUGGGGUUUUCUCAGGAUUAUUAAAGUAGUACAUAAUAUUUUUCACAUAACCAGCAUCGAGGGUUUUAGGAGGUUCCCCAUCUCCAUGAGUAGCAAGUACACCUAAUUUUUUUGGGUAUUUCGUGUUCCAUAUCCAUAACUAAAGAUAGAGAACAACUUAGAACAACAAAUAAAAUCUACUUAGUGAUAAAGCAAACAAGCACACACGAGAAUAUUCACCCCACGCUAUGACUCCCCGGCAACGGCGCUAGAAAAAGGUCUUGAUAACCCACAAGUAUAGGGGAUCAAUUGUAGCCUCUUUCGAUAAGUAAGAGUGUCGAACCCAAUGAGGAUCUAAAGGUAGAACAAAUAUUCCCUCAAGUUCUAUCGACCACCGAUACAACUCUACGCGCGCUUGACGUUCGCUUCACCUAGAACAAGUAUGAAACUAGAAGUACUUUGUAGGUGUUGUUGGGUAGGUUCGCAAGAUAAUAAAGAGCAUGUAAAUAUAAAGUAGGGGCUGUUUAUAUAAAGAAGCAAUAAAGUAAGUAUAGAGAGUGUGGAAAAGUGGUGGUAGGAGUUGUGAAAUUGUCUAAGCAAUGGACUACUUUACUAGACCGAUAGCAAGUUUUAUGUGGGAGAGGCAUAAGCUAACAUAUUUUCUCUUCUUGGAUCAUAUGCACUUAUGAUUGGAACUCUAGCAAGCAUACGCAACUACUAAAGAUCAUUAAGGUAAACCCCAACCAUAGAAUUAACAUAUCAAGUCCCCUUUAUCCCAUACGCCACAACCCCCUUACUCAGGUUUAUGCUUCUGUCACUCAAACAACCCACUAUAAGAGAAUCAUGAACGUAUUGCAACACCCUACAACAGGAAUCCCUCAUGCUUGUGCGACAAGGAGGGCACAAUAGGACAUCAACAUAACCAUAAGAAAAGUAAACCAAUCAUAGCAAUUCAUCAAUCACCGAUAGGACAACAAAAAUCUACUCAAACAUCAUAGGAUGGCAACACAUCAUUGUACAAUAAUAUGAAGCAUAAAGCACCAUGCUCAAGUAGAGGGUGCAACAGGUUGCGGGAGAGUGGACCACUGAAUAUAGAUGGGGGAAGGUGAUGGAGAUGUUGGUGAAGAUGAUGGAGGUGUUGGUGUAGAUCACGGUGAUGAUGAUGGCCCCCGGCAGCGUUUCGGCGCCACUGGAAGCAAGGGGGAGAGAACCCCCUUCUUCUUCUUCUUCCUUGACCUUCUCCCUAGAUGGGAGAAGGGUUUCCCCUCUGGUCCAUGGCCUCCAUGGCUUGGGAGGGGCGAGAGCCCCUCCGAGAUUGGACCUGUCUCUCUGUCUCUCUCUAUUUCUGCGUUUUUUUAUUCUGCCCUUUCACCGUUUCUUAUAUAUCCGGAGAUCCGUAACUUUGAUUGGAUUUAAACCUUCGCCCAGAUUUUCUCCAAAAAAUAGCUUUCUUGCGGCAAAAGAAGAGCAUCAACCGCCUUAUGGGGUGCCCACGAGGGUCAGGGGCGCGCCUGCCCCCCUGGGGUGCGCCCCCUUCUUCGUGGUCCCACGGGCACCGUCUCACGUUGAUUUUUCUUCCAGAAAAUCAUAAAUAUUCCAAAAAUAUUCUGCGUCCGUUUUUAUCCCGUUUGGACUCUGUUUGAUAUGGGGUUUCUGUGAAACAUAAAAUAUGCAACAAAUAGGAACUGGCACUGGGCACUAGAUCAAUAUGCUAGUCCAAAAAAUAGUAUAAAAAGUUGCCAAAAGUAUAUGAAAGUUGAAUAAUAUUGGCAUGGAACAAUCAAAAAUUAUAAAUACGACGGAGACGGAUCAUGGAGAUACAGUCUUGGUUUGACAACAAGGACCAACUAGUGGCGAAGGCGACAUCCAUGGCCAAAUAUCUACAACAGAGCGAAAAGGCGGCGAUACUCCCGAAGGGAGUCGCGCGGGAGUACAUAGAGCUGCUCCUCUAGGCCAAGGAGCAAACAGAUUCACCGAAUCCGAUCGCGUGGGAGCGGUGGUGGGAGUAUCGAUCCUAGAUGGAGCAUCCACCAGAGAUUAAAGGAUCGAACAUCUACAGGGUACCGUUUGUGAGGGAGUCGUGCCAGAGCGAGCCGGCGGAGUCUUUGUCGACCGAACCCAACUUCAAGAGGAGAAAAGCAGUUGGCCCGAUGACGCUUCCCCGCCAUCCUCUCCCUCGUCGUUCACAUCAUCUCACGGGGCGGUUGUCUGCCGCCGAGGAAUAGGAGGGUACUACCCCCCAGCCCAAUAGUCAAGUAGGUUGUGAAUUGUCUGGAGGAGCUUAGGGUUGUCAGUAUUUGCAGGUUGUGAAUUGUGUUUUGUGUUGUGUAUUUUGAGAGUACUUUCAGAUAUGAAUGUCUUUUGAAUUUCAGAUUUGCAGUAUUGAGCAUAUGAAGUAUUUUAUAAAUUCUAGAGAUCUAUUUUUAGCACUUAAAAAUGUAGUUUCAUAGGAGUAUAAAAGUGCAGACAAUGUGAUUCUCAGAGAAGAAACUGCAAGUUUUAGUUUCAGAUAAGAAACUGCAAGUUCAGUUUCAGAUAAGAAAUUGCAACUUUCAGAGGCAGAGCAUUUAUAUUAACACAGCCUUUUCAAACAGGUUUAACAUCAUGUUGGACAUUUUAUUCAUUGUCGAAAAUUGAACUACCAGCCAGUUAACAUCAUGCUGAUCAACAUUCAUGCAUAGCACAUCUUCAUAUGAUGCACAGUCAAAAAGAUAUGCUAUUUUCAAAAUGUCCACACAAUGUCGAGUGUGCGAAAAAUAGAGAAAACGAGGGACGAAGUUUUGGAAAGUGUUGGAUCUGGUGUGCGUAGAUGACAAUGGGGACCCACAUGUCAAUAAUGGCAGAGGCAAAGAAUUUGGAGAUAUUUUCCCUGCAUCAGGUCGAAUCAAACCCGGGCGGAACAGCUGUCGGGCAGUGUCACUUGGCCACUGGGCUAGUUCAGUACUUUCGUUACAAAUAAGGCACUUCCUCAAGAGGUCGGAUCUCCUCCUACGCCUUUGUGCGCUCGCUGCGGCGCCACUGUCUGCCAUUGUGCACAUGCUGAACAAACGAGAGGAAUCUGCAGAGGACUAUACGUGGAGAGGCGGACAGUCGGGACCCACCAGGUCUAUGGCCGUAUGCAAGCAAGUGCCUCAUCGAAAAAAUACUUCCUCCUAAUGCUAUACUGACAUUGGGGCCCACGGGUUUGUCAACAUAGUUACAUUUUUUAGGUGCUUCAACAUAGUUACUAUAGGAGAUAAAUUCACAAUGAAGCCGGGGAGCUGGAAGGUAUCAUUUAUUAUCACUCGAGCAGCAAGUAUCAGCUGGGUUUUGGGCUGCCCCGUCUAGGCUUUCUUUUUUAACAUGCGCAGCCCACGACAUGCCGGUUUGUAUUUUCUUUAGGGCCGUUAUGUAUCGACCGGCCUAUGGACCUCCAUCCGAGGUUUUUUUCGUGAAACAUCGGUAGCCCAAUUUAUGUUUUUUUGAAGAAAACACAGAGGUCUAUUCUAUUAUUCUAUAUAAGAAUAGGAACGCCUGGUCUAACUUAUGUUUCCCUUCUAACUAUAUUAUAUAUAUUUAAAUUAUUUUAUAUGUUAUUAUAUGUUAUUGUUAUUGUCAUCAUAUAUUUAACAGAUACUUACAUAUGUAAGAAAAUAAUAUCCCACAUCUUAUUAACUUAUAAAAAUAAUUUCAUAACAACAAAAUCCUGGAUUUUUUUGGCAACGAAAAUCUUGGUGAUUGUGUACAAAAGCUUGGUAAGAGUUAAGGACCAAUGUAAUAAUAAAUCACUUAUUAUUUAAAUAUAUUUAUAACAAAAUGCUCAGGCCCUGUUUAUUUUUUGAUAACAUUGUUGCGCCCAACCCAACAUUAUAAUUAGAAUCAGACCAGCAAAAUCAUGUAUUUCGAGAAAGUGCAAAUGGCCUGUAAUUUUUUAGGAAAAAAAUAAAUGGGCCGCAUGGACGCUACAUUAUUUGUUCACCCAGCCCAGCUAAUGGACUGUAAUUCUAAAAAAAGAGAUCUAAUUGACUGUAAAUUCUAAAAAAAUUGGUUGAAUACGUGCCACAUUUUGGAGGCUGAAAUGUGGGCCAAUAGGUCGAAACCAGUGCAAGUCGUUGUCAACUUAGUCAACAAAUAAUUCUCACAAUGUUAGCCGUUGGAUUUACAUCCAACGACCGCCAUCCAUCUUCAAUCUCUCGUCUUCUUCCUCCAGCGACGCCGGGACCACCUGCUCCCGCCUACUACUGCUAGCAGCACUGCUUAGCACGCUUCCCUGUUAAGCACUACCCCACCGUUGGCCAGGCCAUCCCUCCACCCCUCCACACCUCCUGUUCUUCUCCACCGACUGCCGAACCACACCGUACCAGAACUAGUUAACCCUCGUACACCUCUCCGUCUAUGACUCUACUCCCGCAUCUUCCCAUCUCCGGCUCGUUGCUGUCCGAGACCUCGCCAUCGUCCACCAUGUUGGAUGCGCUCGGCGCGGAGUGGUCAACGUGGUCAACGAGCGACAUCCAUCGAAAGUAGAUUGUGCAUGGAGUGGCUGACAGCUGGGUCCACGGCCGCACACAAGGAAAUGCCUCCUUAUUAUGCGCAAAAUAAUGAUUCCUCCACCUAACAGCUGGGACCCACUGGAAUGGCCUCUGUAUUUCAUAAAAAAAAUGUUUCCCCUGUUGACAGGUCGGACCCACCAACUAUAUCUUUGCACGCAAGGAAGGGCCUCCUUAUUACGCACAAAAAAAUGAAUACCCCUGCUAGCUGGGACCCACCAUAGUGGGAGGCUGACUUGUGGGCCUACUAAGUUGAUGGGGACGGAGGGCUUUGUCAAGGUAGUCAAUAUGAACGAUUCUAGCUCUAGUGACUGUACGAUGUCCAUCCAAUGGCCAUAGUGCUUCUUCAACCUCUGGUCUUCUUGAUCCAGCCACCCAAACCAGCGUCGGUCGUGCCGCGUGCUCCUGCCUCCCGUGGCCAGCUAUGAUGUCGUGGAGGCCUCAUCGCCCCCUACUACUCCCACCGAUGGCCAGGCCAUUCCUCUACUCACCCACACCCCCUAUUAUUCUGCAACGACGGCAGCCUCACACCACAGUCAAACCAGUGAACCCUCGUACUCCUCUCCGCAUGGGCAUCCACUGUCGUGUCUUCCCCUUCCUAGGCCUCGCCGUCGUCCACAGCCCUGGUUCUCUCGGCACGAUGUGGUCAACAUGGUCAAGGAAUGACUUCCAUCGGAAGAGUACUGUACGUGGAGAGGCUGACAGCUGGGUCCACGGCCGCAGCAAGGAAGUGCCUCCUUAUUACGCAGAAAAUAAUGAUUCCUCCACCUGACAACGGGGACCCACCGGACGGGCCACCAUAUUUCGUGGAAAAAUGUUUCCCCCUAACUGCUAGGACCCAACAGCUACAUCUUCACACGCAAGGAAGUGCGUCCAUAUUAUGGGCAAAAAAAUGAUUCGCCCCCUGACUACUGGGACCCACCACUACAUCUUCGCACGCAAGGAAGUGCCUGACAGUUAGGACCCACCUAGUCGAAGCAUAGUGUUGUCAUUCUGGUCGCGAACGUGUACGUACAUACUGGUCGAUCGGUCUGUCUGCAGGCUGCAAUGAUGAACCGUGGCCGUGCAAGGAAGGGCACGUGUCAUAGUAGAGGCGCACACGUAGCAUGUACAUGUAUGUACAACAGCCAGGGUGCAAGAAAGUAAAUACGGCCACAUGCGUACAUACGGGCGGGGUCUCGAACGCCUACUCGCGCAUACGUACGGCCAGGGCUGGUGUACAUGGCUGGGUUGGAACGGAGAAACUGUGUCAUUGUCGUGUACAUGGGGAGCCAACCGGCUGGGUCAGAAUGGAAUGCAUCAUCGUGUUCAUCAGGAGCCAAACGGCUUGGACGGAACUGACGAUGGAAAUGAGGCCUAGCGUACCGCAGAACGAAGGAAACAGCCUUGUGUUCGACUGGCCACAGUUGAAACGGGUUCUUGUUCAUCGGGAGGGGUCUGGCAUAGCGCAAAACGGAGGAAACAGACUUUUGUUGGACCUCCUAUGGUCGAAACGGGUCUUGUUGAUCGGGAGGGGUGUGGCAUACCGCAAAACAAAGGAAACGGACUUGUGUUGGAGCGCUAUGGUCGAAACGGGGGUCCUGUUCAUCGGGAGGGGUGUGGCGUACCGCAAAACGGGACUCCACGGGAUACAGUUCAUCUCUACCAUCGACCUCCUCCGGCCUCCACGGGCUACUGUUCAUCCACCGUCGACCUCCUCCAGCCUCCACCUGCGACUGUUCAUCCACAGGCUCCUUUUCAUACAGCCUCCACUGCGCACUCCUCCACCGGCUAUUAUUCAACCGGCCCUCUCCACGGGGUCCUGUUCAACCACCCCUCCACAGGCUACUAUUCAUCCAGCCCUCCACCUGCUACUGCUCAACCAGCCCUCCACCGGCUACUGUGCAACCUUCCCUCCACGGGGUCCUGUUCAUCUAGCCCUCCACGGGGUCAUGUUCAUCCAUGCCCAAUCGGCUCGAUCGAUCGGGGUCCUAUUCAUCCAAUGACAACACCACGGGGUCCUAUUCAUCCAAUCCCCCACCAGGAACAGUUCAUCCAAACCCCCCAACAAUGCUCACUGUUCAUCCAGAGGCAGCAUCGAUCGACUUCAGUUAGCAGCAGCAGCAAAGGAAUCGCUCGAUCAGGUUUAGCUAACAGCCAUCGAUCGAUUGUUCGGGUUCAGUAAUGCGUAGCAUGUAGUGCAAUCGCUCGGGUUCAGUUAGGCGAACGCCUUGCUCGGGUUCAGUUAGAGCCCAAUGCCUCGCACCCACGUGCGUACGUGUACGAGAGAAACGCGCAUCGCUUGGCCCCCGACCACCCACCGUAACCAGGAACUCCCCGAUAUUUUCCUCGCCCUCGCUUCCACCAUGACUUUUUCCAUCAUGUACGGCCCAAAGAAUGUCAUGCAGCUGCGUCUCCGGCCCACCCAGGACAAAAAGCCCAUUUUUUGUCAUGAUUUUUUAUCAUAGAAAUAAAAGCCCACCACAUCUAUGGUGAUACCGGGUUUUGUCACAAUUAUCGUCAUAAAAGUGUCAUAAGUAUGACAGGAAAAAAAUUCAUUCGGCUUAUAAUGUCACGGAUGUGUCUUUUUUUGUAGUGAGUACUCCUCUGACCAAACCAGAUGCCUCAAGCUUAUUAAUCUCCUCGGCAAUGAGCUGCUGCCACUCAAAGGCCUGCUUCUGCACCUUUUGCUUGACGGGUCGGGCAUGUGGGCAGACAACAAGGUGGUGCUCAAUUACCUCCCUGGAAACACCGGGGAUAUCAGAUGGUUGCCAGGCAAACACAUCGAUAGUCGCCCACAGGAAGGCAAUGAGCGCGCUUUCCUAUUUUUCAUCAAGGGUGGCGCUGAUAGUAAAAGUACCAUCAACACCAUCCAGCCCUGCCGGGACCUUCUUCACAUGGGGUGCAGCAGCCUUGGCCCUCUUGCUGUUGGAACACUCCGGCACGUCAUCAACGGGUAUCGUGCACUCGGUAGGGGCACGCUUCCCGGAUUCCUUGCCAAAGUCCCUACAAUCCUUCUUCUUUCCUUUACUUUCCUUGGCGGGCACCGCUGCUUCAGGAGCCUCUAUCGCGAUAGCGUUCUGAUACAUCUUAUCCAUGCAUAUCAUCACAUCUUUCUUAUCUUAUGGAAUGGAAAUGACGCCCAUUGGGUCUGACAUCUUCAAGGUGUUGUAGGCAUAGUGGGAUGCCGCCAUGAACUUGUCCAGGGCAGGGCGCCCAAGAAUUCCAUUGUAUGGCAGGGGAAGGUCGACCACAUCAAACACAAUCUUCUCAGUCCGGUAGUUCAACUCACCCCCAAACGUCACCGACAAUGUGAUCUUUCCCUUAGGAUGGCUCCUGCCGGGAUUAACUCCUUGAAACGUGCCAGUGGCCUUAAGCUCUUCUUUUACUCUCUGAAGCUCGCUGAGAACAUGUGGGGAGAUCAGAUUCAACCCAGCCCCGCCAUCAACUAACAUCUUUGUGACCCUGAGGUUGCAGAUUGUUGGGGAGACCAACAACGGCAGGCACCCCACCGCAGUGGUGCGGUCAGGGUGAUCCUCCUCAUGAAAGAUGAUGGGCAUGUGUGACCAUUUGAGUGGUUUCCAUGAAGUUGCCGCUGGCUCCACGACAUUGACUUCACGCGCCCAUUGCUUAUGUUGGCGGUGAGAGGAGUGCAAAGAUGCACCCCCCCGUCAAUGCACAAGGCGUCGGUGGCCUUCUGGAAUUCCUGCUCACUAGUUUCCUCUUCAUCCCCUUCAUCACUUCCAGCAUCAUUAUCCUCCUUCUCUCUGUCCCUCACGGGUUUCCCUUGGUUCCAAGGAGCUUUGCUAGGGCAAUUUGCUUCACCGCCCCGGCCCUUACCGCCAGUAUUAUUCUGACCUCUCUCCGUAUCUCGCUUCUCAUACUCAGCCCUCUGCUUCUUGACGAGCUACCCAACUUGAUGACACUCCUGGAGAUUGUGUCCCUUGGUCCGAUGGAUCUUGCAGUAUGACCCAUCACUCUUUCUAGCUUUCUCGGCAGCCGCGGCCUCCCGGCAGUCAGCGCACGCGGCAACUUCCUUGCUGGGGGCUUCGGCUUUUGCCUUCUUUCUAGUACCAGGUGUGCCCAAUCCCUCAACGGUCAUCACUACCAUAUCCUUACACUUCUUGUUGUGCUUCUUAUUCUUCUUCUUCUGGCUAGUGGUCUUAUCGUCAUUUUCUGAGUCGUUGUCGAUGCAAUCCUCCUCUCCGGGAAGCUUCCUCCCUUCCUCCACCCGAGCACAUUUGUCCACCAAAGUGUACAGCUCCUUCACAGUCUUGGGAAGCUUGACGUUCAUCUUGGAAUGUAUCCUUUGGUUGCGCACAUUAGACUGAAAGGAGGCUAUCACAGCUGUCGGGUGGAUAUCUAGGAUAUUACUGUGAACUCUGUUCAACCUUUGCAAGUACUUCCACAGAGUUUCUCCUUCUUUCUGCUGGAGGAGCUGCAAAUCGCUGGGCCGCCCUGGUUCUUGAUGGCCCCCCGUGAAGGCACCAAUUAACUCAUGUCACAGGUUAGCCCAGAAUGAGAUGGAGUUCUCCGGCAAGUGCAUCAACCAAGACCUUACGUUAGACUUAAGUGCCAAAGGGAAAUAAUUGGCAAAUACCUUCUCAUCUCUUCCUCCGGUAGCCUGAACAGCGAAGGUGUAGAUGCUCAAGAACUCUGCUGGGUUCAAUCUUCCAUCAUACUUCUCAGGUAUCUCUGGCUUGAACGUGCGAGCGGACGGCCAACGGACUUGCCAUAGCUCAUGGGUGAAGGCAGGGCACCCGACCUCGGAAGGUAGGUACCCGCCAUCUCUGAGCAUGGGCUCAUUGACGUUGAGGCCAUCGUAACCGUUGGGUUGUAGGUAGACGUCACGACGCCGUACGGUGACUACGCGCGCGGCUUCUCUCCGCCUGUCCUCCGGGGCCCACCGUGGUUCUUGCCAUGCUUGAGGAUCAGAGGAAGCCAUCGAUACGUCGUCGGCCUCUUGGAUACGUGGCUCUCAUACAGCCUACCGAGGUGGGGACUACACCGUGGGAGCAGCCCCUUCUAUGCGGCUAGCUGCACAAGCCGUUGUCAUUGCCUGGGGAGGCCGAGGCGGGCUAGUCCGCUAAGAUCCUCCUGCCUCAGCGAAACAAUCAAGCUUUGGAUAGUGGACCGCCACUCGUCCAUCUGAUCAUCUACUGGUGGGAAUCUCAACAGCAACUGGGCCCACGCCAUGGCUUCGGAGGCAGUGCUUGGCAUGGGCGGAGAUGAUGAAGACCGCUGCAUCGCUCGGCUCCUGACGGCACCGGUGGUGACCGCGUCGCGUCCUCACUGCCGUGAGCUAGCCGCUUGGAUAGUGUGGUCACACAACAAAGGCGCUUGAGUGUCAGCGGCCCUGUCGGGCACAGUAGCUGGGCUAGCUUGUUCUGAAGGCGGCAGGUGCCUCGUGGUCAUACCCAUGGCAGGGGCGGCCGGAGGGUUGCGAUUCGCCUCAGAACGAGCGCCGCCACUACGGCUGUGCCCUUUGGCAAGGAGAGAGAGUGCAUGUAAAGUAAUUCCCCCACCCGUACGUCGAGAAGCAUGCCAUUGGGAUCUUGUUGAUGUUGUCCUUCCCUGGCGCUUCUUGCUUCGGUCACGGGGAUAGCGGUGACAACGCCUCCUGCAUCAAUUGCGCCUCCCUGACGUCAACGUCUUCACGUGCCCCCUCAUUUCCUGCGACGUUGGCAGUUGAUAACCCACAAGUAUAGGAGAUCGCAAUAGUUUUUGAGGGUAGAGUAUUCAACCCAAAUUUAUUGAUUCGACACAAGGGGAGCCAAAGAAUAUUCUCAAGUAUUAGCAGUUGAGUUGUCAAUUCAACCACACCUGGAUAACUUAGUAUCUGCAGCAAAGUAUUUAGUAGCAAAGUAGUAUGAAAGUAAUGGUAAUAGUGGCAAAGUAAAGAUAUCGGUUUUGUAGUAAUUGUAAUAGUAGCAAUGGAAAAGUAAAUAAGAAAAGCACAAUAUGUGAAAAGCUCGUAGGCAUUGGAUCAGUGAUGGAUAGUUAUGUCCGAUGUGAUUCCUCAUGUAAUAGUUAUAACAUAGGGUGACACAGAACUAGCUCCAAUUCAUCAAUGUAAUGUAGGCAUGUAUUCCGAAUAUAGUCAUAUGUGCUUAUGGAAAAGAACUUGCAUGACAUCUUUUGUCCUACCCUCCCGUGGCAGCGGGGUCCUAAUGGAAACUAAGGGAUAUUAAGGACUCCUUUUAAUAGAGAACCGGACCAAAGCAUUAGCACAUAGUGAAUAAAUGAACUCCUCAAACUACGGUCAUCACCAAGAAGUAUCCCGAUUAUUGUCACUUCGGGGUUGUCGGAUCAUAACACGUAAUAGGUGGCUAUAGACUUGCAAGAUAGGAUCAAGAACUCACGUAUAUUCAUAAAAAUAUAAUAGGUUCAGAUCUGAAAUCAUGGCACUCGGGCCCUAGUGACAAGCAUUAAGCAUAGCAAAGUCAUAGCAAUAUCAAUCUCAGAACAUAGUGGAUACUAGGGAUCAAACCCUAACAAAACUAACUUGAUUACAUGGUAAAUCUCAUCCAACCCAUCACCGUCAAGCAAGCCUACGAUGGAAUUACUCACGCAUGGCGGUGAGCAUCAUGAAAUUGGAGAUGGAGGAUGGUUGAUGAUGAAGACGCCGAUGAAUCCCCCUCUCCGGAGCCCUGAACGGACUCCAGAUCAGCCCUCACGAGAGAGAUUAGGGCUUGGCGGCGGCUCCGUAUCGUAAAACGCAAUGAAACUUUCUCUCUGAUUUUUCUAUGCGAAACAGAAUAUAUAGAGUUGGAGUUGAGGUCGGUGGAGCAUCAGGGGGCCCACGAGAUAGGGGGCGCGCCCCCCACCCUCGUGGACAGGGUGUGGGGCCCCUAGCCUUGAUUCUUUUGCCAGUAUUUUUUAUAUUUUCCAAAAGUUAUCUCUGUGGAUUUUCAGGUCAUUCCGAGAACUUUUAUUUUCUGCACAAUAAAUAACACCAUGGCAGUUCUGCUGAAAACAGCGUUAGCCCGGGUUAGUUUCAUUCAAAUCAUGCAAGUUAGAGUCCAAAACAAGGGCAAAAGUGUUUGGAAAAGUAGAUAUGUUGGAGACGUAUCAACUCCCCCAAGCUUAAACCUUUGCUUGUCCUCAAGCAAUUCAGUUGAUAAACUGAAAGUGAUAAAGAAAAACUUUUACAAACUCUAUUUGCUCUUGUUAUUAUAAAUAUGUAAAGCCAGCAUUCAAGUUUUCAGCAAAGAUUAUGAACUAACCAUAUUCACAAUAACACUUAGGUCUCAUGUUUACUCAUAUCAAUGGCAUAAUCAACUAACGAGCAAUAAUAAUAAAUCUCGGAUGACAACACUUUCUCAAAACAACCGUAAUAUGAUAUAACAAGAUGGUAUCUCGCUAGCCCUUUCUGAGACCGCAAAACAUAAAUGCAGAGCACCUUUAAAGAUCAAGGACUGACUAAACAUUGUAAUUCAUGGUAAAAGAGAUCUAGUGAAGUCAUACCCAAUAUAAACUAAUAGUAAUGCAUGCAAAUGACAAUGUGCUCUCCAGCGGGUGCUUUUUAAUAAGAGGGUGAUGACUCAACAUAAAAUUAAAUAGAUAGGCCCUUCGCAGAGGGAAGCAGGGAUUUGUAGAGGUGCCAGAGCUCGAUUUUGAAAUAGAGAUGAAUAACAUUUUGAGCGGUAUACUUUCACUGUCAACGCAACAACUAUGAGAUGUCGAUAUCUUCCAUGCUACAUACAUUAUAGGUGGUUCCCAAACAGAAUGGUAAAGUUUAUACUCCCCCACCACCAACAAGCAUCAAUCCAUGGCUUGCUCGAAACAACGAGUGCCUCCAACUAGCAACAGCCCUAGGGAAGUUUUGUUUAAUUAUUUUGAUUUGCUUUGAUCUUUUUGAUCAUGGGACUGGGCAUCCCGGUUACCAGCCAUUUUCUCGUGAAUGAGGAGCGGAGUCCACUCCUCUUGAGAAUAACCCACCUAGCAUGGAAGAUACAGACAACCCUAGUUGAAACAUGAGCUGCUCGAGCAUACAAAACAGAAUUUCAUUUGAGGGUUUGGAGUUUGGCACAUACAAAUUUACUUGGAACGGCAAGUAAAUACUGCAUAUAGGAAGGUAUAGUGGACUCAUAUGGAAUAACUUUAGGGUCUAUGGAGUUUGGAUGCAUAAGCAGUAUUCCCACUUAGUAAAGGUGAAGGCUAGUAAAAGACUGGGAAGCGACCAACUGAGAGAACGACAACAGUCAUGAACAUAAUCAACACCGAGUGCAAGCAUGAGUAGGAUAUAAUCCACCCUGAACAUAAAUAUCAUGAAGGCUAUGUUGAUUUUGUUUUCAACUACAUGCGUGAACAUGUGCCAACUCAAGUCACUCGAGUCAUUCAAAGGAGGAUACCACCCUAUCAUACCACAUCACAACCAUUUUAAUAGCAUGUUGGCGCGCAAGGUAAACCAUUAUAAGCUCCUAGCUAAUUAAGCAUGGCAUAAGCAACUAUAAUCUCUAAUUGUCAUUGCUGUCGGAUAUCGGGUUCCGGCAAAACCCUUAAGGUUCAAACUCUGGGGUCCGCACGAAGAUCUUCUCCCUACCGAUCCACGCCCCAAAGCUUCGCCGUGAAUCUAAGCUACACGAUGAACAACACAAGGGACACAAGGUUUAUACUAGUUCGGGCCACUGUUGUGGUAUAAUACCCUACUCUAGUGUGUGGUGGUGGAUUCCCUCUAGGGCUGAUGAUGAAAAGUACAGAGGAAGAACAGCCUCGUGAGGGGUGUUCUUGAGCUGGUGGGUUUGGAGAGGAAUGGCUCCGUCUUUGUUGGCUAUCGGUCCGAUCUCUCGAUCCCCUCUCUACUAUGGUGGCUAUCUCUAUUUAUAGAGGCCUUGGUCCUCAUCCCAAAUAUUGCGGGAAGGGAGCCAACAACGGCCAUUUUGAAGGUGGGCAACUAGUACAAUUUAUCCUGACUAAAGUUGGUCUUCGACUGCCAAAGGCACUGGCAAUUACGCCGUCUUGGGCUCCACGGUGACCUCCGUCCUGCCGCUCUGCUGGUCUUGGUCCCGUUGCACCGAUAUGGCAACCUUUGCUUGAUGCCUCGGUACUCCGCGCCUGCGCUUGCCCCCUUUGCACCAAAGAGGAAGCGAGGACACUGCGCUGGCUGGCGCCCGCCUGGUCUCGAUCGUCAUGGCCUGCGUCAUGAGCACUGUCGGUGUCAAAACCGGCGGAUCUCGGGUAGGGGGUCCCGAUCUGUGCGUCUUAGGCUGAUGGUAAUAGGAAGCGAGGGACACAAUGUUUACCCAGGUUCGGGCCCUCUCGAUGGAGGUAAAACCCUACUUCCUGCUUGAUUAAUAUUGAAGAUAUGUGGAAUACAAGAGUUGAUCUACCACGAGAUCGUAGAGGCUAAACCCUAAGAGCUAGACUAUGAUGGUAUGUUUGUAAUUGUGAUUGGCCUUCUAAGGACCAUGCUCUCCGGUUUAUAUAGACACCGGAGAGCUAGGGUUUACAUGGAGUCGGUUUACAAGGAAGGAAACAUAAUAUCUGGAUCGCCAAGCUUGUCUUCCACGCGAAGGAGAGUCCCUUACGGACACGAGCCAAAGUCUUGAGUCUUGUAUCUUCACGCUUCUAUAGUCCGGACGAUGUAUAUAGUCCGGCUGUCCGGAUACCCCCUUAUCCAGGACUCCCUCAGUAGCCCCCGAACCAGGCUUCAAUGACGAUGAGUCCGACGCGCAGUCUUGUUUUUGGCAUUGCAAGGCGGGUUCCUCCUCCGAAUACUCCAAGGUUAUUAUCGAACACGCAGGUCGUGUCCAGAUCUGCAAAAUGAUCUUCACAUACCACCGUAGGGAAAAUGAUACUUCAGCUGACAACUUUUUAGACGACGGGAUAUGUCAUUACGGUCAGGUUAUUAUUCGAACCGUUUUUCCCACAACCAACCAUAGCGUAUACUGCGAGGCGGUUUCCUGAGCACGUCUUGUCGAAGCGAAGAUCGUGUCCCCUUAUCACGAGAUUCUCAUCAAUACGGGUAUGGGUAAUCCAACCGUACCGCUAAUCGCAGCGAGCGGGAGGCGAGCGGGUUCCACCAGGCAAGUGGGGAGGCACGAAAAGCUCUUACCUUCUCUUAUAAAGAGAUAGGGCAUCUUCCUCUUUUACCCACGCCUUCUCCUUCUGCUAACUCACUUCCCUCUGCUCGAGCCCUAACGCCCGAGCGCCUUUCUUUUCCAUUGAAGAGAGGGUUUCCAAAGAUGUCCGGAUCUGGAGCAGGAGGCAAAUGGAUGGCCUCUACCGUCCGGGAGAAGUAUAUCAAGAAGCUCCGGGAAGCCGGGUAUUUGGCCAAGGAGAUUGGCCACCGUCUCCCACCGGCGGGACAGGUUGUCCCUACUCCGGAGCCCCACGAGAGAGUCGUGUUCCUUCCCCAUUUUGUCUGAGGGCUCGGGUUUCCCCUACACCCAUUUAUACGUGGAGUCAUGUAUUACUAUGGGGUUGAUUUUCAUGAUCUUUCCCCCCAACUCUUUUCUCAAUAUCUCGACGUUCAUCGUCGCAUGCGAGGCCUUCCUCCGGAUUCCGCCUCACUUCGGCCUGUGGUUGAAGAUUUUCAAUGUGAAGCCCAAGGUGGUGAGUGGCGAACACGCCGAGUGCGGCGGCGCCAUGGUGAGAAAGAUGCCCAAGGUCGUUUGGCCGAAGGGCACUUUUAACGACUCCGUCAAGGAAUGGCAGCAGUAGUGGUUUUAUAUCACUGAACCAUGCGGCGAAGAAUGGGCAGCAGCUCUUGAGUUCAGAUCCGGAGCUCCGCUGCGGCUUACGUCCUGGCCCAAGAAGGGCCCAAACUAGUGCUCGCCCAAUGAGCUGUCACUGCUCCUGACGCGUGCUCGGAAUAUGGUCGACAAGGACGUCAAGCUUGUUGACGUGGUCCAGGUGAUGCUAGUUUACCUGGUUCUCCCUUGCUAGCGUCGAGCCUGUACUUUAUGGGAAUUCGACCCAUCCGAGCACCAAACCCUCCGAGAGCUCUAUGAUUCCUCCCACAAGGAUAUCUCGAAGGUGCUCUUUAAGUCCAGCAAAUCAUGGCCGAACUCAUCUGAGGAUCGGGGGUAUCAAUUAUCCCAUUCUGCAAGCCCAGUUAGUUAUAGCCACGCCCCCUCCGUCCAGGCUUCAACCGGCAUAUCAUGAGGGGGGCAUUUUAAUCGUGCUUCAUUGUGGCUUUAGGGAUGGAUAAAAAGGGUGGAGCGGAUACAAUGUCCGGCCCCACUGCCGGAGGAACCGGCCGGACCUCUUCUGACAAAGAUGCUGGUCCCUUCACCUUACAAGGCGCCCAAGAAGGAGGCCCCCAAGUAGGUCAAGAAGACCAGGAGUGGCCUCCAUUGUCGCGAGGCUCCAGACACCAGGUCCGAAGGCUCUAGCAACGCUCCUUCUUCCGAAGACGAAGAGGAGGAGGCAGAGGAGGACGAGCCUCGCUCUGCCGACGGGAAGAAGCAUGCAACUGCCCCGUCCCUGGAGGCCGAGUUGCCCAAGAGAAGGUGAGGUUCCCCUCCAGAGGCAUCCACCCCGGCUGCCGAUAACAUCCCGGAGUGGGAUACCGAGGCCCAGCCCCUGAGAAAAUCGUAAGUAACCGAAAUCCAAAUACGCCUAUGUAUUCAGGGUUGUCCGGGUAUUGUAGUUUUAACUGUCGCCACAUCUCGCACAGCCCGGCAAGGUCUCCUGCCGGACAAUCCUCAUCGGAGGAUUCGUUGAGCUCGAAUGCUAUGGCGAGUGAGACGCCUCUGGGGAUUCCUUUUCCAAAGUCCAGGCGCGACACCGAGGUGUCAUCUCAAAGAGACUCGGGGCAGGAUAAAGUUCUGGAGGCCCCUAAGGCUCCAGGAUUGGGCCAGUAGCCAUCCUCCAUGGAGGGAGGUUUGCUUACUCCACUGGCCACCUCAGUAUACGCCGAGCUGUCAGGCGGUCUGUUGAUAGCGUUAAAGAACGCGUCCGUCGUUGAUGAACAUCGGACCCUUAUGGGUGCGGUGGUUGGAAAGAUCCAGGCUGCCGAAAGCGGGCUGAAUGAGUCCUGUCUUGGCCUUAUAAAGGCCUUUGAGGUAUAGUUUCUAAGGAACCUUUAAACAAUUAGUACGAUAUGAGGAGUACCCCUGAUACACUGUCCGGAAAAAGAAAGCCGGGCAGGGGAUCAAAUCCUCAGUUGUAAUGGGAACUUUUAAUGAUGUAUACCCAUCUUUUUGAAAACAGGCGUCUGUGGAGAGGACGGCCGCUCGUGAUGCGGAAGUGUCCGAACUGAAAGAGAGCCUGAGACGGGCCGAAGAAGAACUUGGCCGUGUGAAGAAGCAAUUGGAGGAGAGGCAAGGUAUGUUUGGACAUUGUCUUGCGUUGGGCACAAAUCAAUAAGUGUGCCUAUUUGAAAAGUAUUUAUGUUAUAUGCCCUAGGAGCGAGUGCCGAAUAUGAGGCGCUGAAGAAAGAGGCGGCUGAUGCCCAAGAGAAGGCUGCCGCCGAACAGGCUCUGCGUGAAAAACACGAGGCCAGGGUCGUCAUAGCUGAGCGGGAGCUUCAGGAUGCUAUGACGAAAAGCGAGAGCUUGGAGCAGAGUUUAGUACGGAAAGAAUCCGAACUCGCCCAAGCUCUCCAAGCUGCGGAAGAUGCUCGGGAAGAAGCCCGAGGUGUUGUACGGGACAUUCAGGAGGCCCGGAAAGUUGUGGCUGGUAAGGUCUGUUGUAUCUAUGGCCGUUAUGAUGUUAUAAUAUGGAGAACUCUAAGCGGCAAGCUGAAUUCUUGAUUUUGCAGGGGCGUUUGCGGAUCUGCCUCGUAGCAUAUCAGAUGCGGCCCAAUUUUAUCGGUCCGAGGAGAGGGAGUCUGCGGGGAGGAACUUCUGGUCGCAGUAUCUAGCGCUGAACUAUUCAGUGCCUUUUAUCGAUCACCUGAAGCAGCUGGUCAAACUGCACCAGGCGGCCGAACAGCCAUGAAGGACUUGGUCAUUCGGUUGUGGCCUGCAGAGCCAAUUCCCAGCAGUUUCUUCGGACUCAUUAAGCGGAUUGUGGGCGCAUGUCCUCGGCUUGAUAUUAUCAAGUGAUCAGUCUGUAUAGAAAGUGCGCGAAUGGUGCUUGCCCAUGCAAAAGUGCAUUGGGGGAAGCUUAACACAGAAAAACUGAUAACUAAGGGGCCACCAGAGGGUAAGGAGCAUCGCAAGCCCGAACUGUAUUAUGAAGGUGUAAUGAAGGGUGCCCGCCUGGCAGCGGAUAAGUGCACCAAAGACAUUAUAUUUCCCUGAGGGCAUUUUUGCCAUCGUUUGUAAUAUGGGAUAAUGGCACUUUUAUUAUAUGUUGCCUAUUUGGUUUGAACAUGUGUUCUUCCUUUACGGCUGUUUAUUGUAUAUAAAUUCUGAGAGUUGGCCAGUCAUCGGCUUCAGCCCCCACGAGAAAAGUACGGGGGUGUUCGGGGUAUUUCUGAACACUCUUUAUCCCAUUGUUGGGUCCUUAUAAGGAGGCGUUUCUCACCACGAACCAGGCAAUCGGACUAUAGGGCUUUACUACUCUCACUUAGCCAUAGGAAUUCGAGUAUGGUCGGCGCAGCCCCUUGUGUCCGGAAGGCCAGACUAGGGGCUCUAUUGGCGCCUGAUCGGUAGACCGAUCCGUUGCAAUCUACAUUUUAUAGUGGCGUUAUGCGGAAUAAAUCUUUAAGGAUUUUGCAACCUCUUGAACAGCUAGCCAGCUCUCGCCGCAUCAUGACAGUUGGUUUUCGGCUUUCUCUACUGAGGUGCUCGUCCGGCAGAUCCGGGACAUAAUCGCAGUAGUUAUCCCAGUGCUACCUUUGCCGACGGAACGGAACGUAAGGUACCAAAACAUGGGAGCCGGGCAAACCCAACCAAUGACCCAAGACAUGAUUCGGAGCUGAUGCAUAUAGUGCUAUAAGUUCGGGGUGCCGAGCGACCAAGAAGGUGGUCGGACUUUAUUGCCGUACUGUGGAGCGCCUAGCAUAACCGGGCGUAACACAAACCGUUGCUGCCACUUUUAUGGCAAAAAGGCGUCGAUGAUAAACGACGAACGGUCCAUGUUUAGUUAAGUCUACGCAUUGCAGUAAUAUGAUAUGUCCAUGCAUAUGAAUGCGAUUUAUGAUUAUGAAAAAGAGAUGGUUUUCUGGCAGAACCUGUGGUGGCCAGACUGGAGGGGGCUGUGAAUGGAUGAAAGUGAAUCCGAACUGUCGUCUACCUGCAUGGUCCUGUCCUUGUGUGUCCGGGCCGACUUCACGCCGCCAAACCUGUUCUGCAUAAGAGUUAGUUUGUGAAGGUAAGUGAGCGGAGGGCGCCGAACGUCCUCCUAUGGUUGGUCCAAAGGUUCCUAAUCGGACCCUGGUGACCCCAGCCGCUAUUCGAGAAGCAGCCCGGACUCCUAAGUUAGUGUCCGGAUAGUUGGCUGUCAUAUCAAAAAUAUUGACAGGCAUGCGCGACUUGCUACUCUGGCAGCUGUAUGAUCUCCGCUUCUGAGGGCGGGGUUUGGCUCUGCAUGCAGGCGUGAGUGUAUUACCGGUGUUGGCCUGAUGAUUUACCACGUGGAAUCUAGACAACGUGGUGCAUCCUGUUAGCAUACGGUGUGAUACCGUAUAGGGGGAAUGCGCCGAUGGCGCGGCUUUAUUUGGUUAUCUGAAAACAACCGUUAGGGCGGCAGGCCAAUGGUCCUGGCCUUUGUGCCUGGCACCUUGUAGAAGAUGUUAUUUGUACGCCCGCUUGGGCUUUUAUUGUUUGAGGAGCCCCUGGACUGUUAGGUCUUGGGGUAUGCAAUUGAAUUGUUGUGGUUUGUAUGGUAGGGGGCGAUCGGCCGUACUGUUGUGCUGGGGGGGGGGGGGCUUUUGACUAAGCGCCUCCCCUCAAUGUUUCCGGCACAUGCCUGGUUGCUUUAUUUUGGAGAUCUGGCAUUCUCUAUUAGUAUGUUUUGCCGUUCUUUUGGGAGUACCGUGAAUUUCGCACGGCUGAUCGAGUUCGUGGCUUGGGCCGAAUAGGCUUGAGCUGUUCCUUAUCCGUUGACUGGACUAGGAUUUGCUGAACUUGAUACCGGCUUCCCUGAUUUGUCGUUUAUGACCAUUGCACCAGGGCUUGAGGCUGCUUCUUCGUGUAUCCUUCUUGUUGGUUUGGACCGUAGUGGUGUGCGGACGUCGGGUUGUGUGCCUUUGAUUUUCCUGCUUAGGUUGAGGUAGCCGCGUGUGCCCUUUGUUAGGUGGUCGAGUCCGUACUUCUCGGUGGCCAGGAUCUUGGUCCACCAUUCUAUUAGCAAAUCCUGUUCGGACUUAAGCUGCUCUUGCUUCCUUUGCAGACUCUUUGCAGUGGCUAUGAGUCGUCGCCUAAAGCGAACUUGUUCCACUGGGUCUUCAGGCAUGCCAAAUUCGUCAUUGUUGAGGCUUACCUCGUCUUCGGAGGGGGGUGUAUAGUUGUUUCUCUCCAAGUAUCCCGCUGUGGCCUGUACGGCCUGCUUGAUGGUUGGCUGAUCAGGACUGUAUUCCCCUUCGGUACUAUCCGGAUCAUCUCCGGGACCGGUAUUGAUGUGGCGGGGCUUGGAGUGGCGUCGGAGACGCCCAUAUUUUGCUUUUCCUCCCGAGGGGUUGUCCUCCACUGCCUCGUCGCCGUUGGUUUCUUUCGGAGUGUCCACCAUGUAUAUAUCGUUUGAAGAGGUGGUUGUCCACCGCCCUAUGAGCAGUGGCUCCUGUAUGUCUCCUGCAUUGUCGUCCAUACCGUUGAUGUCUUCGAAGUCAAAGUCGAGCACGUUGGUUAAAUCAUCGAUUGUGGCGACGAAGUGGGUGGUGGGUGGGCAGUGAAUUCCUUCAUCGCCUACUUCCCACUCAAGCCGGACAUAAUUCGGCUCAGAGCCUCCUGACAGAGAGAGAGACUUUAAUGAAUUCAGCAUGUCACCAAAAGGCGAGUGCUGAAAGAUGUCCGCAGCGAUAAACUCCAUUACAGGAGCCCAGCCUGGCUCGGCUGGCUCGAGAGUGAGCGGACCAGGACCAACAACCGGAUAUGAGUCCGGGGCCCCAGGGUUACAGGCCUCCAGAGAGGUGAGACCCGUGUUCGGCUCCACCGCCGAUAAGUGUGCGGCCUGCGGGGCGGGGUCCAGCCCUCCGCCCGUAGGCAACGCAACCUGCCCUGGAUUUAGAUCCGGGGCUGCCUCGGGGAUGAUGUCCUGGGCAUUGUCCGACAACAGGUCUAGGCCGUGCUCGUCGUGGUUGUCCGGCGCUCCCGGCGUAGGCUUGAAUCCGUCGAAGAUCAAGUCUCCGCGGACAUCUGCCGUGUAGUUCAAGUUUCCGAACCAGAUCUGGCGGCCAGGGGCAAAGCUGUCGAUCUGCUCCAACUGGCCAAGCGAAUUGGCCCGUAGUGUGAAGCCGCCGAACAAAAAGAUCUGUCUGGGGAGAAAAGUCUCACCCUGGACCAUGUUGUUGACGGUUGAAGACGCCAUCAAGCCUCGAGGCGGCGACACAGAGGAACUCUCAAUGAAAGCACCAAUGUCGGUGUCAAAACCGACGGAUCUCGGGUAGGGGGUCCCGAUCUGUGCGUCUUAGGCUGAUGGUAACAGGAAGCGAGGGACACAAUGUUUACCCAGGUUCGGGCCCUCUCGAUGGAUGUAAAACCCUACUUCCUGCUUGAUUAAUAUUGAAGAUAUGUGGAAUACAAGAGUUGAUCUACCAUGAGAUCGUAGAGGCUAAACCCUAAGAGCUAUCCUAUGAUGGUAUGAUUGUAAUUGUGAUUGGCCUUCUAAGGACCAUGCUCUCCGGUUUAUAUAGACACCGGAGAGCUAGGGUUUACAUGGAGUCGGUUUACAAGGAAGGAAACAUAAUAUCCGGAUCGCCAAGCUUGUAUUCCACGCAAAGGAGAGUCCCUUCCGGACACGAGCCGAAGUCUUGAGUCCUUUAUCUUGAUGCUUCUAUAGUCCGGACGAUGUAUAUAGUCCGGCUGUCCGAAUACCCCCUUGUCCAGGACUCCCUCAAGCACCUCGCGAGGUACUCCCUGCCUUGAUCUCUCUGCCUCCUCACGAGCCUGCCCGGUGAGGCCACCCCUGAGGGGGCCUUGGAUCGUCCGCCCCGCAAGGCUUGGUCCCUCACGAGGGUUUUGAGCUUGGGCUGGUGUAGACGGGUCGUACUGGGCCACUGCUUGAGCCACGCCGCAGGCCACAGGCAGGCAAGUCUGGGGACCCCCGUUCCCAGAACGCCGACAGUAGCCCCCGGGCCCAAGGCGCUCCCGGACUUGGCUUAGUAGUGAUGCCAAAGGGCAAGUGCGGAGCGCCGCAGGCCCCAACAGCCUGCAGCCUUGGUCGCUGCAUGGCGGUUGAUUGAACGUGAGCGUCUCCGCUUCCCCAUGCUGCCUCGAUAACUGCCCGAUUUGAUGAGUCCCUGCUACAUGCAAAAUGAGUCAUGAUUACCUGCGAUCGUGGAGGCCGACGGUUGGCCUCCCUCAGGCUAUAAAUGUGGAGGGGCGCAGGCCCAUCCCCCUGCUGCACAUCUUCCUUCCCUCGCCUGAUUCUUCUUCCUCCUUGCUCCAGCUGCUUGCCGCAUCCCCAUGGCGCCCACGAAUUGGUUCUCGGCCGCGGAGAAGGGGAAAACUCACCAGGAAGGGCCUGGCUCCCCUCCGCCCAAGCGCGGCCGAGGUCGUCCUCACAAGCACCCCGCUACUCCUACAGCGGCUCCUCGUGGUCGCGGUGGUGGUCCUUCGCGCUGUGAUGGCUGACCGGUUGGCGCUGGAAGACGCGUCGUGGCUGUGCGGCCUCCCCGGCCACCCUUUCAUUCGGCAGAGGUACUGCCAGAGUUUGUCGUGUGGUCGGCAGAUCUGGCCGGCAACUGGCUCCAGCUCCCCCGCUUCUUUGUGGGCGAACUACCGGCUGAUGGCCCUAGUGGACUUUGGCUGCAGGCAGAUGGUUGUUGCAGCAGGGCCUCCUGGGUCGCGGUGGAGAUCUCCGUCGCCUGGAACGUGGCCCUAGCCCACGGCUGGCAGACGUUUGCCCACGCGCGUGGCCUGGGCCGGCGGUGCACCCUACACUUCAAGUUCGACGGCGACGCGACCCUCUACGUGAGGGUGUUCGAGGAAGAUGGCCGCCGUGCUGGCUGCUCCCCCGAAGACGACGGCGACGAGGUGUUUGGCCUUGGUGACAGCUGUGACGUGGGCGAAGGCGAACCCGCUCCUAGCGGCGUCCGCAGCUCGCCGAGCUUCAGCGGCUCCUCCUCUGGUGACAGCUCCUCUAGCGGUGGCCGCGAUCAGCCACCACGUCGCAGCGCCCGCUUCGAGGGUGGUAGCAGGUCAUCCCGCCGCUGUGCCCCGGUGAAGCGUGAGGCGGAGUCCGAUUGAGCUCGGGAGGGUGAUGCGGAUCCUUCCUCGCGAGCCGUUGCGGGCCGCGCCGCUUUCAUUUUGUUUUUCUCCUGUUCCUCUAUUGAGAGAGAGAGAAGUAUGGACCCCCGUGGGGGGCGUGCAAGACCAUCAUCCUUAGUUAUCAUGCUACUUUUAUCGUUCUCGUGUUGUGUCAUGGUGUUGCGGCUAUGCGCUUGCGCAUAGGAACAACUUAGCUCGGGAGGUUCACUACAGUUUCCGCUUCGCGAGGUACUUUCCUGAGGCCUCGCCAGGUAUCUUUAGGUCUGCAAAGAUCAGUCGGGAGGAUAGCUUUCGAACCUUUGUCGCGAGGGUGACCAGCUUAGGUCCGGCGUUUUGCAUCGCGAUGCCCGUGGGGCAUGGACCAGGAGGGGUGCUCCGCAGUGGACUUGAGUGAGGGAGCUUCACAAAAUCAGGCGAGAAAGGGCUCACGAGGGCGCCUGCGCAGCCCCCUCACGAGGCUUGCGAGUGAGAGAACGAGCCCGGCGAAAACCAAAGACAGAGAACAUGGGCAGGGGAUAGCAAAUAACACUAGAAGCAACUCCGAUAAAGAUUCAAACAAGGGGGAACAAGCCAACUGCAGAAAAGCAAAUGAAAAGCCACGUUCGGCACCUAGUCUAGUAUUCGACGUCUUCUCACCAGCGCGGAGCUAAGUGCUGCCACUGGGCGUGGGCAGGAGCCCCCGAGGCCCAAGGGCGGCACUCCGGAGACUCCGGGGCAUGUACAGCCCCAACUCAUUAUUACGUGAGAGUGUCACGAGCAGUGAGCUUCACAGGCACUAGGCCUUCUUCACAGGCACCGGGCCUUUCUUGGGGCGGCGAGAGCUUCACAGGCACCAGGCCUUCUUUGUAGGCAAUGGGCCCUUCUUCACCGGCACCGGGCCUUCUUUACAGGCACGGGCCCCUUCUUCACAGGCACCGGGCCUUCUUUACAGGCACGGGGCCCUUCUUCACAGGCACCGGGCCUUCUUUACAGGCACUAGGCCUUACUUCAAGGGUAGAACCUCCGGAGGUGCUGAAUGUUCCACGCAUUCGGGAUGGGCACCCCUUCCUGGGUCACCAAGUGCGCGGCGCCAGGUCUGGAAACAUGAACAACCUUGAACGGACCCUCCCACAUGGGAGAGAGCUUGUGCAGCCCUUCCCUGGAGAGCACCAGCCAGAGCACGAGGUCACCUACCUCGAGAGUCCUUGGGCGGAUGUGGCGGCAAUGGUACCGCCGCAGCGUCUGCUGGUAUCUUGCGGCUCGUAGUGCGGCCUCCCGUCGGCCUUCCUCCCCCAGGAUGAGGUCCAUCCCCCGCACGGUGUCCUACUGCGCUUCAUCAAACGCUAGGACCCGCGCGGAGCGACGCCUGACCUCGUGAGGGAGGACUGGCUCCGCUCCGUGGACAAGGAAGAAUGGGGUCUCGCCAGUCAACUUGGUGGCAGUAGUGCGGAUGGACCAUAGCAUGGACUGGAGCUCAUUGUACCAGCCCCUGCCGCAGGCCUCCAACUUCUUGAAGGUCCUGGUUUUGAGGCCCUUCAGGACCUCUGCGUAGGCGUGUUCGUCCUGGCCGUUACUCCAGGGAUGUGCCACCGAAGCGUAGCAUAUCUGUGUUCCAAGGUUAGCACAAUAUGUUUUGAAGAGAUUGCUGGUGAACUGCGAACUGUUGUCGGUGAUGAUGCGGUUAGGGACCCCAAAUCGGCUCACGAGGCCCUUGAUGAAUUUGACUGCAGAACUGGCCGAGAUGGUGCGGACGGCUUCCACCUCCGCCCACUUGGUGAACUUGUCGAUGGUGACGUACAAGUAGCGGUAGUCCCCAGACGCUCGAGGAAACGGGCCCAGGAUAUCCAGCCCCCAGACCACGAACGGCCACGAGAGUAGGAUGGUCUACAGGCUCUGAGCCAGCUGAUGAAUCUGCUUGGCAUGGAACUGGCAGGCUUCGCAAGCCUUCACCAGCUCGAUCGCAUCGUUGAGUGUUGUAGGCCAGUAAAACCCGUUGCAGAACGCCUUGCCCACGAGGGUUCGUGAUGACGAGUGGUGCCCACAAUCUCCUCCUUGAAUGUCUGCCAGUAAUUCCUUCCCCUGAUCCCUGGAGAUGCAACGCAGGGAAACAUCGUUUGGCCGCUUCUGGUAGAGCUCUCCGUCUUGGAUGCAGUAGGCCGUGGCCUGCCGGGCCACGCGUUCCGCGUCCUCCUCCUUCUCUGGUAGAGUCCCUUACAUCAGGUAGUCCUUGAAUUUCACAGUCCAGCAUCCCUCCUGAGGCUCCAGCCUGGAGCAUGUGUGCUCCCGAGGUCGGGCCACAGGCCGGGGCUCUUGAGGCAGGUGGUUGAGGGAGUUCCUUCCGAGGUUGUGUUGUGCUUGAUAGUGAUGUUGUUGCUGAGGGCUUGAAGAGUCGUUCCUCAAAAAUGCCAGGCUACUGAGGCAGACGCCUGGACGCCCUCCUGGUGAUGUCAUCAGCCUCUUGGUUGGUACCUCGGGGCACAUGCUGCAACUCCAACCCCCAAAACUGCUUUUCCAUCUUGCGUACCUCUGCAAGAUACGCCUCCAUGUGCUCAUCCUUUAGCUCAUACACCUUGUUGGAGAAGUUGACGAGGAGCUGUGAGUCUCCCUUGAUGACGAGGCGCUUCACCCCUAGUGCUGAUGCAGCCUUUAAGCCCGCUAUGAGGCCUUCGUACUCCGCUAUGUUGUUGGAGACCUUCUCGCCGUGCUGGAAACAAAGAAGUACAGCGUAAUAGAGCUUGUCCUGAGUGGGGGAUAUAAGCACUGUGCCAGCCCCCACGCCAUGUCGCGAGAAUGCUCCAUCGAAGUACAUGACCCAGCCAUCUGGUGCCUCACUUGCUAGGGAGAGUGAUCGAUCUUCGCAUGCUUCAAGCCCCGGCACCUCUGUCCAUUCCGCCACAAAAUAUGCAAGUGUCGCUCCCUUGACGAUCCUAGUUGUGCUGAAUUCCAACUGAAAUGCUUGCGGCUCAAUGUUCCAUUCGGCGACCCUUCUAGAAGAGUUGGGGCUCCUGAGUACCCUUUCCAAGGGGUAGGCCGAUACGACCUUGAUGGGGUGGCCUUGAAAGUAAUGCCUCAACUUGCGCGAGGCCACCAAUAGCGUGAGCAAGAGCUUCUGAGGCAUGGGGUAUCGUGCCCGAGCAUCUCGCAGCACUGUGCUGACGAAGUACACCGGAUGCUCGACGAGGGUGGGCAUGCUGAUGAGGGUCGUAUCCUUCGGAGAGCUAGGCACCUCCUGAUGCGUUGGGGCUUCCAGCACCUGGCUGCCCGGUGAGGCCACUUCAGCCCUGGGGGCGUCUUUCUGUUGAGGCUGGCCUUCAUCUGCCGAGGCCAUGACCUUCGUGAGGCUUUCUUGGUCUGGCGCUGCUGCGGUUGGGGUCACAUUCGACCGUGAUGCGGCCUUGGCUUGGCGCUCUUCCCGGACCGCCACCAGAGCUGCGCUGGCGGAGUAGGGCGUGGUGGCGAGGUAGAGCACCAGGGACUCCCGAGGGCGUGGCGCCACCAUCAUCGGAGGGCUGGUCAGGUACUUCUUGAGAUCUUGAAAUGCUUCGUCGGCCUCUUGUGUCCAUUCAAACGGGGCCUUCUUCUUCAUCAGCUUGAAGAAGGGCAGGGCGCGCUCCCCCAUCUUGGAGAUGAAGCGCCCUAACAUAGUCACGCGUCCGGCGAGCUUCUGCAUUUCCUUGAGGGUUUGCGGCGGACUCAUGUCUUCGAUCGCCUUGACCUUCUCUGGGUUGGCCUCGAUCCCCCUGUGGGACACGAGGAAGCCCAGAAGCUUGCCAGAGGGAACACCAAACACGCACUUCUCCGGGUUGAGCCGCAGGUCCACUUCAUGUAGGCUCGCGAAGGUUUCUUCCAAGUCGUGUAUCAAGGUCUUCGCUUCUCGAGACUUCACCACAAUGUCAUCGACGUAGGCCUCGGUGUUUCUCCCGAGCUAUCAGCCCAGGGCAAUGUGCAUUAGUCGCUGAAAAGUUGUGCUCGCGUUGCGCAACCCGAACGGCAUGCAGGUGUAGCAUUACACCCCGCACGGGGUCAGGAAGGCAGUCUUCUCCACGUCUUCUACCGCCAUCUUGAUUUGAUGAUAGCCUGAAAAGGCAUCCAGGAAGCACAGCAGGUCGCACUCAGUGGUGGAAUCGACAAUUUGGUCGAUGCGAGGGAGUGGGAAUGGAUCUUGAGGGCGGGCCUUAUUGAGGUUGGUGAAAUCGACGCACAUGUGCUCCUUUCCUCCCUUCUUUGGCACAACCAUAGGGUUUGCCAGCCAUUCGGGGUAGCGGACCUCGCGAAUGACACCUAUAGCUUCCAGCUGCGGGUUUCUUGGAUGAUGAAGGCUUGCUCCUCGGUGGACUGUCGCCUUGCUUUCUGCUUUGCGGGGCGUACAUUAGGGCACACGUUUAGGUGAUGCUCAAUCAUCUGUCUUGGGACUCCGGCUAGCUGCUUGGGUUCCCACGCGAACACCUCCUUGUUUGUGCGAAGGAACUUCACCAGUGCCUCCUCCUGGCUGGGGUCGAGAUUGGCACCUAUGGUGAAGGUGGCACCGGAGGACCCAUCCUCAUCAACUGGUACCUGCUUGGUUUCUGCCUUGUCUUGGGUGAACAAAUGCUUCUUCUUGGUUUGUGCAGCACCCAUGGCCUUGGAGGCGUCAGUGCUGGCGAGCUGUGCUGCCACAACUGUCUUGAGGGCGAGCUUGAGCGCCUGUAGAGCAUCUUUGGCAUCCCCAGCCACAGUGAGGGUGCCGCUGCUCCCGGGCAUAUUCAUGAGCUUGCAGGCCGGAUGGGUCGCUGCCAUAAAUUGGGCCAAGGCUAGGUAGCCGAGGAUGGCGUUGUACGGGAGGCCGAUGCGGGUGAUGUCGAAGUUGACCAGCUCCGUGCGGAAGUUGUCGUGCGUGUCGAAGGUUACCGGAAGGCGGAUCUGCCCGAGGGAGCCGGAGGAACCACCCCCGACGCCUAAGAAGGCCCUGCUGGGUUGUAGCCGUUCCAGUGGUACAUAGAGGAGGCUGAAGGCCUCCACUGAGAGCAUGUUGAGGCUGGCACCGCCGUCGAUGAGGGUCUUGGUGACGGCCACCUGGCAGAUGGUGGGCGUGCAAAGCAUUGGGAGCGCACCCAAGCAAGUAGUGUUGUCGGGGUGAUCGUCGGAGCUGAAGGUCAGGUCAGCCUCGGGCGCCGCCCGACCCGGGGGAGCUCCAUGGCGCGUGAGGGCGGCGCCAAUCUGGCGGACAAACAGCUUGACGUGGCGGCCCGAGGGUGGCGCCUGCGAGCCGCCCAAGAGAGCUGCGAUGACCGGGGGCGCCGGCAGUGUAUUGGGUGAGGAAGAGGUUGUGCAGCUCCUCCUAGGAGGCCACAGAAGCCGCUGGCAGGUGAAGCAGCCACAUGCGCGGGAUGUCGGGGAGGGUCGUGGGGAGCCAGUUGGCCAUAACCUUGUUGUCGCCCCCGACCUUGAGGACGGCCCGCCGGCAGGAAAACCAGCGGGUCUGCCGCAUCAUUGUAGAGCGGCGGCAUCUCUGGCUUCAACUUGUGCGGCCACUGCACAUGUCGCAAGGCGGGGCCAAGGCUCAGAGCCCCCUGGCCCCAGCGCUGGCGUCGACCACCGGAGCGGGCGGCGCGUUGUCCGCCAUGAGGGCGAAGCGCGGUGUUGAUGGAGAGCGGGUCGGCAGAAGAGGAAGCUCCGGCGCACCCCUACCUGGCGCGCCAAAUGUCGGAUAUCGGGUUCCGGCAAAACCCUUAAGGUUCGAACUCUAGGGUCCGCACGAAGAUCUUCUCCCUACCGAUCCACGCCCCAAAGCUUCACCGCGAAUCUAAGCUACAUGAUGAACAACACAAGGUUUAUACUAGUUCAGGCCACCGUUGUGGUGUUAUACCCUACUCUAGUGUGUGGUGGUGGAUUGCCUCUGGGGCUGAUGAUGAAAAGUACAGAGGAAGAACAGCCUCGCGAGGGGAGUUCUUGAGCUGGUGGGUUUGGAGAGGAAUGGAUCCGUCUCUGUUGGCUAUCGGUCUGAUCUCUUGAUCCCCUCUCUACUGUGGUGGCUAUCUCUAUUUAUAGAGGCCUUGGUCCUCAUCCCAAAUAUUGAGCAGGAAGAGAGCCAACAACGGUCAUUUUGAAGGGGGGCAGCUAGUACAAGUUAUCCUGACUAAAGUUGGUCUUCGACUGCCAAAGGCACUGGCGAUGACGCCAUCUUGGGCUCCAUGGUGACCUCUGUCCUGCCGCUCUACUGGUCUUGGUCCCGUUGCACCGAUAUGGCAACCUUUGCUUGAUGCCUCGGUACUCCAUGCCUACGCUUGCCCCCUUUGCACCAAAGAGGAAGCGAGGACACUGCGCUGGCUGGCGCCUGCCUGGUCUCGGUCGUCAUGGCUUGCGUCAUGAGCACCUUGCGAGGUACUCCCUUCCUUGAUCUUUCCGCCUCCUCACGAGCCUGCCUGGCGAGGCCGCCCCUAAGGAGGCCUUGCAUUGUCCUCCCCGCGAGGCUUGGUCCCUCGCGAGGGUCUUGAGCUUGGGCUGGUGUAGACGGGCCGUACUGGGCCACUGCUUGAGCCACGCCGCAGGCCGCAGGCAUGCAAGUCUGGGGACCCCAUUCCCAGAACGCCAACAAUUGCAAACAUGUUUAUUCAUAAUAGGCUGAAUCAGGAACGAUGAACUCAUCAUAUUUACAAAAACAAGAGAGGUCGAGUUCAUACCAGCUUCUCUCAUCUCAAUCAGUCCAUCAUAUAUCAUCAUUAUUGCCUUUCACUUGCAUGACCGAACGGUGUGUAUAAUAAUAAUAGUGCAUGUGCUUUGGACUAAGCUGGAAUCUGCAAGCAUUCAAUUCAAGAGAGAAGACAAGGUAAUAUGGGCUCUUGGUUAAAUCAACAGGCAUGCAUAUUAGAGCCACUAAGCAUUUUCAUUAUGGUCUUCUCCUCUCGACCCCCAAAGGAAAGAAAAAGAAAUAAAACUAUUUACACGGGAAAGCUCCCAACAAGCAAAACAAGAAUGAGAAAUCUUUUUGGGUUUUCUUUUUAAUUACUACUACAGGCAUGGAAAUUAAACUAAAUAAUUUUUUUGGUUUUUUUAAGGUUUAUUAAACACACAAAAAGAAAGCUAGAAAAAGAAUUUAAACUAGCAUGGAUAAUACAAUGAAAAAGUAUGAGCACCGACAACUAGAAUGAAUGUGUGAACAUGAAUGUAACGUCGGUGAGAAAUACGUACUCCCCCAAGCUUAGGCUUUUGGCCUAAGUUGGUCUAAUGCCAAAGAUAGCCUAGCUGAUAUCCGAAGUUAUAACUGGGGUCAUACUGAGAAGCAGCAGCCAAUGCCUCCUGAGCUGCGGCAUGUUGGUGAGCUGCCUCCGCUCUCCUCUCGUGUUCGGUUGCCUCCUCCAUGGUUACAACAUAUCUUAUUUUUGCCUGGUAAUCAAAAAGGGAAGGAGCAGGGAGAGUAAUAUGGACAACGCGACGUCUGUCGAAGAUUAGUCGAUACUGGAGGAAUUGUUCAUUCCUCACAAGAAAACGAUGACUUACCAUAGCUUCAUAAUCUAAAUAAGCAGGAGGUAACUCCCUAUCAUCCUCACGUGGAGGUAUACCAAGAUAAUUAUCAAUGCGGGUUGCAUAAAUCCCUCCAAACAAAUCUCCAGAUAUACCAUUAUUAUGCAACCUACAUGCAACUAUUGCCCCCAAGUUGUAAUCUUUAUUACCUAAUACAACACUCUUGAGGACACAAAGGUCAGGGACACACAUGUGACAUGCUUCAUCUUUACCAUUAAUGCAUGUACCAAUGAAGAGAGAAAAAUAAUGUAUAGCAGGAAAAUGAAUGCUCCCUAUGGUAGCUUGUGCUAUGUCCCUAGAUUAUCCCACAGUGAUACUAGCUAGAAAAUCUUUAUAUUCAGAUUUACGGGGUUCAAUAACAUUACCCCACUGUGGGAGUCUGCAAGCAGUGGUGAAAUCUUCUAAGUCCAUGGUAUAAGAUUGAUCAUAAAUAUCAAACAGGACAUUCUAAGAAUUACGUGAAGAUGUAAAUUUAAACCUUCUCACGAAUGAAUCAGUUAAAUCACAGUACUGAGGACACUUAUCUUGCAUGAAGUCCUCAAGAUCGGCAUUACGCACAUAUGCGUCAAAUUCAUCCUUGAUGCCUGCAUCGACCAUAAACUCUUCUGACAGCCAUUCAUAAGGCCGCAGAUCAGCUUCCCUUGGUAGUUCAUCAUCUUGCUCACGCAUAGCACGUCUGGGUCCUCUCUUUGUUGAGGAACCACUUUGGUACAUUUUCCUGGACAUAUUUCUUCCUCUGAAAAAUUUCUGAAAUUUUUAGUAACUUCAAAAUAAAAGUGAAUCAAACUCAACAAAAUUGAUAGCAACUACUCCCACAAGUGCCUAGAGCCUACAUCAUGCAUUAGAAUUACUUGGGACCUCAUAAAUUUUACAUGCAAGCUCAAGAACAGGGUCACCUAUGCGGCAAAAAUUUGCAAUGAAUAAAGCACUAGAUCAAAAACUAAUUGGACAAUUGGAGGAGUCACAUACCAAGCAACAAUCUCCCAAAGCAGUUUUGUGAAAGGAGCUUUGAGCAAGGAGAUCGAAAAUCGCAGCAAAAUGAGCUAGAACUCUUGCUUGAGCUGGAUGGGGAUUUUUUUGGGGGGAGGAAGAUGGAGUGUGUGGGUGCAGGAAUAAGUGGAGAGGGCCACCAUGGGCCCACGACGCAGGGGGCGCGCCCAGUAAGAGUGGGCGCGCCUUGGACCCUCGUGGCCAGGUGCUUGCCCUCCUGCUGUGUUCUCAGUGCCUAAAAUCCUCAAAUAUUCCAUAAAAAUCAUACUAAAUUUGCAGGGAAUUUGGAGAACUUUUAUUUUGGGAUAUUUUUUAUUGCAUGGAUAAUUCAGAAAACAGACAGAUAAUACUAUUUUUGCUUUAUUUAUUCUAAAUAACAGAAAGUAAAAAGAGGGUACAGAAGGUUGUGCCUUCUAGUUUCAUCCAUCUCAUGAUCAUCAAAAGGAAUCCACUAACAAGGUUGAUCAAGUCUUGUUAACAAACUCAUUCCAAAUAACAUGGAACCGGAGAAAUUUUGAAUAACACUAGGUUACCUCAAUGGGGAUAUGAACAUCCCCAAUAAUAAGAAUAUCAUACUUUUUCUUGAUAGUGGGAAGAGGGAAUUCAAAACCUCCAUAAUGAUAGUUGGAACUUUUCCAAUAGAAUUGAUGUUGUGAACUUGAGGUUGUUUCCUCGGAAAGUGUACCGUAUGCUCAUUGCCAUUAACAUGAAAAGUGACAUUGCCUUUGUUGCAAUCAAUAACAGCCCCUGCAGUAUUCAAAAAGGGUCUACCAAGGAUAAUCGACAUACUAUCGUCCUCAGGAAUAUCAAGAAUAACAAAGUCCGUUAAGAUAGUGACAUUUUCAACUACGACAGGCACAUCCUCACAAAUACCAACAGGUAUAGCAGUUGAUUUAUCAGUCAUUUGCAAAGAUAUUUCAGUAGGUGUCAACUUAUUCAAUUCAAGUCUACGAUAUAAAGAGAGAGGCAUAACACUAACACCGGCUCCAAGAUCACAUAAAGCAGUUUUAACAUAGUUUCUUUUAAUGGAGCAUGGUAUAGUUGGUACUCCUGGAUCUCCAAGUUUCUUUGGUAAUCCACCCUUAAAAGUGUAAUUAGCAAGCAUGGUGGAAAUUUCAGCCUCCGGUAUCUUUCUUUUAUUUGUAAUGAUAUCCUUCAUAUAUUUAGCAUAAGGAUUUACUUUAAGCAUAUCGGUUGCGCGCAUACGUAAGAAGAUAGGUCUAAUCAUUUCAGCAAAGCACUCAAAAUACUCAUCAUCCUUUUUCUUGGAUGGUUUAGGAGGAAAAGGUGGGUUUCUGAACCCAUGGUUCUCUUUCUUUACUGUGCUUCCUAGCAACAAAGUCCCUCUUAUCAUAACGUUGAUUCUUUGAUUGUGGGUUAUCAAGAUCAACAGCAGGUUUAGUCUCUACUUCAUCAUUAUUGCUAGGUUGAGCAUCAACAUGAACAUUAUCAUUAACAUUAUCACUAGGUUCAUGUUCAUCACCUGAUUGUGUUUCAGCAUCAGAAAUAGAAAUAUCAUUGGGAUUCUCAGGUGUGUCUACAACAGGUUCACUAGAAGCAUGCAAAUUCCUAUCAUUUUUCUUUUUCUUCUUUUUAGAAGGACUAGGUGCAUCUAUAUUAUUUCUCUGAGAAUCUUGCUCGAUUCUCUUAGGGUGGCCUUCAGGAUACAAAGGUUCCUGAGUCAUUCUACCAGUUCUAGUAGCCACUCUAACAGCAAAAUCAUGUUUAUUAUUUAAUUCAUCGAGCAAAUCACUUUGAGCUUGAAGUACUUGUUCUGCCCGAGUGGUAACCAUAGAAGCAUAUUUGCUAAUGAGUUUAAGUUCACCUUUAACUCUAGCCAUAUAAUCACUCAAGCGUCCUACCAUGAAAGCAUUACUCUUUAACUCUCUACCAACAUAAGCUUUAAAACUUUCUUGCCUAGCCAUAAAGAUAUCAAAUUCAUCUAAGCAUUGGCUAGGAAAUUUAGUAGAGGGGAUUUCAACUUUAUCAUAUCUAUAGAGAGAAUUUACCUCUACUACCUGUGUUGGUUUAUCAAGACAAUGUGUUUCUUCAACAGGCGGUAUAUUAAGACCAUGUAUUUCUUCAAUAGGAGGUAAAUUCUUAACAUAUUCAGCUUUAAUACCUUUUUCUUUCAUUGAUUUCUUUGCCUCUUGCAUAUCUUCAGGACUGAGAAAUAGGACACCCCUCUUCUUCGGAGUUGGUUUAGGAAUAGGCUCAGGAGUUGGCUCAAUUGGCUCAGGAAUUGGCUCAGAAAGAGUCCAAUUAGUUUCAUUCGUCAACAUAUUAUUCAAUAACAAUUCAGCUUGGUCGACUGUUCUUUCCCUGAAAACACAACCAGCACAACUAUCCAAGUGGUCCUUGGAAGCAUCAGUUAGUCAAUUAUAAAAGAUAUCAAGUAUUUCAUUUUUCUUAAGAGGAUGAUCAGGCAAAGCAUUAAAUAAUCUUAAGAUCAUAUCUAUCAUUGCAAGCAAGAAUAGCUCUAGCAGCUUCUUCAUCCAUAACAUAACCCUCAGGAACAACAGGCAAUUCAUACUUAGGGGGAGAACCUUCAUCAUCACUAUCAUCAAUAAUUUCAUCUUCAAUAAUAUCAUUCUCUCUAACCCUAGCAAGUUGCUCAUCUAGAAAUUCACCUAAUGGCAAAGUAGUAUCAAGCAGAGAAGUAGUUUCAUCAUAAGUACCAUGCAUAGCAGAAGUGGCAUCAUCAAUAACAUGCGACAUAUCAGAAUUCAUAGCAAUAGCAGGUUUAGGUGUCGCAAGCUUACUCAAAACAGAAGGAGAAUCUAGUGCAGAGCUAGAUGGAAGUUCCUUACCUCCCCUCGUAGUUGAGGGGAAAAUCUUAGUUCUUUCGUCUUUCAAGUUAUUCAUAGUGAUCAGCAAAUAUAAAUCCCAAGUGACUCAAAGAAUAGAGCUAUGCUCCUCGGCAAUGGCGCGAGAAAAUAGUCUUUAUAACCCACAAGUAUAGGAAAUCGCAACAGUUUUCGAGGGUAGAGUAUUCAACCCAAAUUUAUUGAUUCGACACAAGGGGAGCCAAAGAAUAUUCUCAAGUAUUAGCAGUUGAACUGUCAAUUCGACCACACCUGGAUAACUUAGUAUCUGCAGCAAAGUAUUUAUUAGCAAAGUAGUAUGAUAGUAAUGGUAACAGUGGCAAAAGUAACGAUAGCAGUUUUGUAGUAAUUGUAACAGUAGCAAAGGAAAAGUAAAUAAGCAAAGCACAAUAUGUGAAAAGCUCAUAGGCAUUGGAUAAGUGAUGGAUAGUUAUGUCGGAUGUGAUUCCUCAUGUAAUAGUUAUAACAUAGGGUGACACAGAACUAGCUCCAAUUCAUCAAUGUAAUGUAGGCAUGUAUUCCGAAUAUAGUCAUACAUGCUUAUGGAAAAGAACUUGCAUGAAAUCUUUUGUCCUACCCUCCCGUGGCAGCGGGGUCCUAAUUGAAACUAAGGGAUAUUAAGGCCUCCUUUUAAUAGAGAACCGGACCAAAGCAUUAGCACUUAGUGAAUACAUGAACUCCUCAAACUACGGUCAUCACCGAGAAGUAUCCCGGUUAUUGUCACUUCGGGGUUGUCGGAUCAUAACACAUAAUAGGUAGCUAUAGACUUGCAAGAUAGGAUCAAGAACUCACAUAUAUUCAUAAAACAUAAUAGGUUCAGAUCUGAAAUCAUGCCACUCGGGCCCUAGUGACAAGCAUUAAGCAUAGCAAAGUCAUAGCAACAUCAAUCUCAGAACAUAGUGGAUACUAGGGAUCAAACCCUAACAAAACUAACUUGAUUACAUGGUAAAUCUCAUCCAACCCAUCACCGUCCAUCAAGCCUACGAUGGAAUUACUCACACAUGGCGGUGAGCAUCAUGAAAUUGGUGAUGGAGGAUGGUUGAUGAUGACGACGGCGACGAAUCCCCCUCUCCGGAGCCCCGAACGGACUCCAGAUCAGCCCUCCUGAGAGAGAUUAGGGCUUGGCGGCGGCUCCAUAUCGCAAAACGUGAUGAAACUUCCUCUCUGAUUUUUUUUUCUCCGCGAAACGGAAUAUAUAGAGUUGCAGUUGAGUUCGGUGGAGCAUCCGGGGGGCGCGCCCAGGGGAAGGGGCGCGCCCCCCACCCUCGUGGACAGGGUGUGGGGCCCCUAGCCUUGAUUCUUUUGCCAGUAUAUUUUUUAUUUUCCAAAUGUUAUCUCCGUGGAUUUUCAGGUCAUUCCGAGAACUUUUAUUUUCUGCACAAUAAAUAACACCAUGGCAGUUCUGUUGAAAACAGCAUCAGUGCAGGUUAGUUUCAUUCAAAUCAUGCAAGUUAGAGUCCAAAACAAGGGCAAAAGUGUUUCGAAAAGUAGAUACGUUGGAGACGUAUCAGCGGUCGCGGGCGGCGGAGCCUUUGAGGUGGACGGGUGAUUUCCAGCUCCGGGCUUCUUAGGCGCCAUAGUCAAUGGCAUCGCCGAUGAUGAAAAUGGCGAUGAGGAUCACGUGCUGCUCAAGCUUUCAGGUUUGUGCAAGUGAUCCCCCUACUUGGCGCGCCAAAGAUGUUGUGGGGAACCACGACCACCUAUGGGGCAACGAACCCCUUUCUGGUUCGGCGGGGGGAUGGCACGUUGCACAAAGAGCAGAGGAGUGUGAGACAUCACGACAGAGAUCACACGGGUGGUUUUUACCCUAGUUUGGGCCGCCGCGAGGCGUAAAACCCUACUCAUGCUUUGGUGGAUUGAUGGUGGAUGGUGGUGGAAAAAUUGUAGCGUUCUUGCCCGGCAGGGUUGCCUUGGGACAAGAAUGGCUACGCGUGUACGAGUGUACAAGGGUCCGAAAUCUUUUGUAUGGUUGCCAUGGGCCUCCUUUUAUAGAUAAAGGGGUCACCACAGUGGCAAAUCAGUCAUUACACAUUGAUUAGAUAGGAAAAUGUGAUAUCCUACCUAACUCUGCAGGCUGACAGAGCGCAUUAAAUGUGGCACUCAAUGUCACAUCAUAGCUUGCCCGAUAGGCUCUUCCGGGCCGUUUCGCCAGCUUGGCGCCUACUUGCUUGACACGUCGCAGGACGGGUGUCGCUUGUAGGUAUUUUCUAUAGGAGGUAGCUGCAAUGUGGCAUUUAGCAGCCACUUAGUCACCUUGGAGCUUGACACCAAACUAAUCGACGACGUGCGUCAUGGAGAUGUGGUGCAGUGAAGUGGUUUUGUCUUUGCGGUCCCGGUAGGCCUGUCGGGAUGAUUCGGCAGAGGCUUGCUUCCAGGGAAAACCUUGUCUCCGCCAGGCUCGCCUGCCCGGCAGGGGAGGUUUUUCCCUUAGCGGUAUCUUGCACCUCUGGCUAGUCUUAUCCUUCUUGAUCUCUUGCUUGGAUCCUUCAAGGGGAUCGACCCAUCUUGCUUGAGUUGAUCAUGGUGUUGUAAACUUGUCCUCGUGCAUGUGCACAGUCCGGGCAACGGACCCAGGGUUUGUUGCACCGACAGAAGCCCCCGGGCCUGGCGUGAUCGUGCCGCUGGGCGUCGACGGGGUAGUCCCUAAUAAGUGCACAUGCAAGAGUGUUGAAGUGGCUUCGUCCCUUGAGAUUUUCCUUGCUUGUUCAUUAUCUUCAGGCUGGGCCAGUUUCCGGUUUUUCCGCACAUCGCGUAACACCAAUUGUGGUGGGACCAUUCUUGUAAUGGCUCAUGAAUGACUUUAACGCAGGGGCGGGUAACCGCCAAUUCACUUCCCACCAUGCCCUUAUCCUUUGCCACGUAUGUCGCAUGCAUCAAGUGGGGUAGGUAACGGAGGCGCGUGGUGCGGAGGGGCAUCAAGGUAGGGGCCCUGGUCUUCUAGGAUUGGUGGAGGAGGACGGUGGUUACUCAUCGGGAAAUCAGCCACCCAGCCCCCAGCUCACCUAUAAAAGGAGGAGCGUGGGAGGAGUGGAGGCAUUCAUCCAUAUCCCUCUCCUCCUCCAUUUUGCUUUGUCUUGAGUAUGCUGGAAGGGAGAGCCCGGGGCCCGAGCUGAUGACGCCAAGCAAUGGUGCUGGCGCUCAGGGAGUGGGUCUGGUCCAAGUCCAAGGCGAAGGGCUUGGGAUCGUUAGAAAUCCCACUACUACCCCUUUCCUUGGAACCGGGGUUGAUGUUGACGAGGAGGGUGCCUUCCUGCCUGCCAAGGUGAGGUGCGGCGUGCCUCGGGCGUCCUGGUUACUCCCGCUGCUAAUCGUCUCUCCGGGUAAGGCGAUGGCUUGUGGGUCCGGCGUCUUCCUGAAGUGGUGGUGAAGGAGGGAAAGCGAGGGACGGUGAGGAAGGCGGGUGAUGGGACGUCAGGUCGGAGUACGAUGGCGUCGACGCCUUCGUAGCGUAUUGCCGACCGCCCCAUCUUCCUGCUUCCCCCUUCCCUCCCCGGCACCAUCAUCACCAGUCUCUUUGGGUGAUAGCCAGGGAGGGAUGUUCCCUUGGUGCCUUCAUCCCCCUCUAGUGGUCUUCCAGCCGACCGUUGGUGGUUGAUUCCUCCAUCGCUCGAGCUGGAGCUCCUUGCUGGUCCUGGAGGUGAUAAUCAGGCGCACCGCCGAGCUGCCCUCCAGGUCCCUCCUUCGCAGACUCGCCACUCCCGACCUUGCCAGGCUGUGCCUGGCAGGCCGUGACGAGAUCGGGGUGGGCUCCUGCUUGGAGCGCUCCCCUAGUCCUCUUCCAUUCCCACCGAAGUACCUGAUGGAGGGAAAACGUAAAGAGCAGUCUUCAGGGGACACUUAUAUUUUUUCAAUCUUAAAUCUGUAGGCACUUGCCAAAUUUUAGUUCAAAUAAUGUAAUCCCUUGAAUCCAUGUUUGUGUACUGUAAGUUUUGUACUUGUUUGAAGCAUAUAAAUGAAAAACAUAAACCUUGUCUGGGACUCGUGCAUGUAUAUGGCCAUGCAGAGGUGGAAUGCCUCUAUAUUUAAAUAAACGAGUUUUCCCAGUAGGCUAUCCUGUCGGUACCCUCUAUUUGGCUGUCGGGGAGCUAUGCUUGUCGGGCACAAAUUGUAAUGAAAGGACUUCAAACAAUGGACAUCCAGCCCUCAGACUUGCCGAGAGUGAAAAAAAUCAUUUUCCAAGUUGCUCAAAGCAAAGAUAUAAUACCAUAAAUGGAUCGGGUCAUUCAUAAGAAUCCAACGAGCUCAAGAACGUCAAAUUCUGAGUUUGUAUAAAGAAAUGGUGGACAAUGUCCUGAAGAGGUCCAGAGAAAAUGACGAUGUAUCAUACGACCAUAGCUCGUCGUACGCGCGGUCGUUUGGAAGGAAAUCGAUCUCAAAAGUUUCCUCUCCAGAUUUGAUUCUUCACCGAUUUCGUCCGUAUUUGUUCCUACGACUUCCUUGGCCUUCAAGGGAUGUUUUGGGAGAGGAUGAGGCUCACGUAGAGCCCUUGGAUCAAAGGGGAGAUGCUAUAUGAAUGGAGGAGGCUACCGGAGAGCCAUUAUAUAAACACCUUCAACCCUAGCCAACGUGUCCAUCUCAUAUCAUUUGUCAUUCAUCAUUCAUCUCCAUGUCCAGCCACUGUCCACAUCAAGAAAACCAUAGUUGCAACCAAGAGGGAGACCAAAGGGAGCCAUCGCCACCGCGCCAUCACCACCAUCAUCUACUGUCGCUUCAUCAUUGUCACCAUCACCACCCCUUCUUCCUGCUCCAUAACAGUCUCUGUGAUGGGUUGUAACAACUCUUGAACCCCUUAUAUGUGAUGUUAUUUGAGUAAUUAUUAGCUAUGGGUCGGUCGAUUAGUAAGUGGUUGUUUGAUAUGUUUUGUCUAUUUAUGUGUAUUUAUUUGUGUUGCUUACUUACCUCUGCGGUAAUUUAUUGAUUGGAGACGUUCAAUCCAUUGGCGUAGUUGGAGAUGUUCAAAUAUUAGGCCACACAUGAAGUUGAUAGAAUGUUGUGAAAACCGGUAGACCUGUGAUGUGACAAGUGCAGACAUCUUAAGGGGAACAAAAUUAUUCUAGGAGCAUGAUUGUCCAUAGAACUUAUUGCCUUCGUCCGGUCCUCAUGACCUUAAUAUCUUUGUGUUUCCCUCCACAGGUAUGGGACAAGAAGUAGGACGAAUGAGUUACCUCAAUACAGCCCAUCUUGAGGGAUAAUAUUAUGCAAGGGAUCGCCCACCAUCAGUACAUUGACGUAUCCUAUAAUGCAGGUACUGACUUAGCCACCACAUGGCAUAGUCAUAAAUCUUAACACCAUUUUGUGCCCGUACCGAAUUAGACCAUACCUAGAUGCCAACAAUCUCAUCUAAAACAUCACAUAGUUCUCUUAGUUUAUUUUCCUUCGUAUAUAUUAUUUAUGUUAUGUUCUCUCUAGUACUUAGUUCUCCCUUUUACCGUUCCCUAGCAACCUACUCGAGUGAACUAUUUCCAAACUACGGUUUGGGUGUGAGCGUAGUUGUGUUAAGUGGCAAAGGGGAUUGUGGUGCCAUCCUAUUCGCUCCCUAUGGGAUCGAGAAACCUUACUUAUCAUGAAAUUUCUACAUAGCCAUGUGAACUUGCAGGCCAUCAAAAACCUAAUUUUUAUUGGUCUAGGUGAAAGCUUACUUCAUAAGGUCUGGUCUGCAAAAAGUUUCACUCAAUUUGGACCUACUCAUAAAACUUAUAAGGGUUAAAGUUCCAGGGGGUUUCUGUAAAACUACCAAGUGUUUUUAAUUUAAAUCACAAAAUAUUGUGGAUAAGGCUAAGACACGUGGAUAGAUCCUACUGGUCUAUACCGAUUCGGUUAUGUGAGUGCGCAUGGGGUCAUGCGCUCGGUUGUGAUCAGGUACGUGGGCAAGCGACGUGGGCGGCAGUUAAUGGACAAAGAUGAAGUUAACAGGUGGGGUCAACUUGUCAGUGAGAGAGAGAGGGCGUGCAGCUGGCUAGCUAUAUCGUUGUGUUAGAUGAGACUCUAGGUUUAGGUUGUUCUUUCUUUUUGGUUCCCUUUAUAAAUUCAAAACUAUUUAGAAAUGGAAUUUUCUUCCAAAAGUUAACUAGCCUAAAUUCCAAAUGGAUACUCCUGAUGUGGUGAUCAUUUUAUUUGCCCCCUUUGGCCAAAUAACUUCUACCACCUUACAUUUUUCUUUUUCUAUUUUCAGUUCCUUUUUGAACUUCAAUCUGGUAUGAAACCAAAUAUACUCUAAAUCUAACUUGGAAUAUUAAUAGAAAGUCAAGUAUUUUAUUUGGACUUAUGGUAAUUAUUUUUCUUGCCAAAUAAUGCAAGACCCUUUUAAAUAAUUUUCCCUUUUGAUUUUUGAAUUCAAUCCAACAUAAAUUCAUUUCUACUAUUUGGGAAAUUUAUCAGGGUUAUGAGUAUCAUUUUGAACUUAUUAAGAAUACCUUUAUGCCCAAAUAAAUAUUUCAAUUUGUCACCCUAUUUUAGGAUUCAAAAUUAUUCCCUAAAACCUUUUAGGGUUCACUUUGUUUUACCAAUUUCAAUCUCGGGUUCAAAUGUUGGCAUAGGGCCUUUGGCCCUCUAAGUUAAUCAAUUAAAUCAAUCACAAGCAAAUCCUAGGGGAUGUUAGAUAAUUAGAGAGCAAGCAAAGUUUUUUCUACAAAAAUAUCAAUUCUCUGUGAAAUUUUAAACAUACCAGAUUUAGGGAAAAUCUGGGAUGCGACAAAGACGCAGUUUUAUUCUUGUCAUUGACUACACAAUAAAUAUCCCAGAACUGGGUGCCUAGAGGUGAGUUUACAAACCAAAUAUCUUCAUGAAACAACACUAUUUGCCAUUACCUAAAAACCACUUAUAUCCAAAUGUAACAGCUUUCAUAGCCCACAUAACCCCUUUCCAAAAUUGAGAAGGAUGUGGAUCAUGGCAGCAAAUAGUAUUAAGGUUCUUAGUAUUAUACUUAGCAUCUAUAACUCUACUCCAUAGAGUCCCUUCUCCUAAGAUAUAUGUUUUAACCCAGGAGACGGUAAGGCAAAUAUUCAUAUCAUGUAUAUUAUGAACUUCCAUCCACCAUAUUCCCUUUUAAUGCAUAUGGAGGGCCAAUUGGCAAGGUGCAUCUUUUUUCCACCUUUACUGUCACUUCAGAAAUAAUUAUAAAACCAUGAAUUAACCAAAGGCACAUACCAUUUCAGGAACUUAUAGGAAGAUAACAUGUAAAUAGAAAUACUACACAGAUAAAUCCUAACAAAGGUGACUCUCCCUAAUAAGGACUAGGGGCUUACCCUCCAUCUAGCCAGCAUGGACAACAUGGCAUCAACUAGAGAUUGGAGGUCCUCUCUCUUGAUCUUAUCAAAUUGCAAAGGAACUCUAAGUACUUAAUAGGCAAGCCCCCUUGACUAAAUUAAAAAUAUCCAAGAAAGGUUUAUCCUCUCCAGGUUCUAAAUUUAUAGGCACCAAUUCACUUUUGUGAUAAUUAAUAGACAUCCCUGAAACCAACUCAAAGCAAGUCAAGAUGCACUUAAGAUUUAAAGCUACUGGACGGUCAUUAUCUAUGAACAACAAAGUAUCAUUUGCAUAAUGCAGACACACUACACCACCAGGGCAAAAAUUAGGGAAGAUCCCUCUAACUAGCCCAACUCGUCAUCCUUUCACUAAUAUCCUAGCAAACACAUCCACCACCAAAUUUAAAAUUAAUGGGGAUAAAGGGUCUCCCUGUCUCAAAUCCCUACUAGUGAUGAAGAAGUAAGUUUACUCACCAUUAAUCUUCACAUCCACUGAUCCUGAUGGGCGAGUCUCCUAAUCCAACCAAUCCAUUUAGCACCAAAACCCCUAAGUUCAAGAACCCCAUACAAAAAAUAUAUCUAAACUAACCCUGUCAUAAGCCUUUUCAUAAUCAAUCUUAAAUACAAGGCCUUUCUAGCCAAAAGAGUGUACCGAGUGAGCAACCUCAUGGGUAGUCACCACAAUCUCCAAAAUAAACCUACCUCUAACAAAAGCAGAUUGAUGCUCAGAGAUUAGUCUGUCAAUAAUCAGAGCUAGUCUAUUGGUAGACUUUAGUAAAGAUCUUAAAACAACAAUUGAAGAGAUUUAUAUGCCUAAAUUUCUUUAUGUUUCUCGCAUCGACUUUUUUAGGAAUAAGAGUGAUGGAAAAUCAAGUCUAAAGAUGUCUUGGUUUAGAUCAAACCAGACUUCAAAUGACUAUCAAAUAUACUUUAAUAAUGUCAUAGAACACUUGGUAAAAUAUAUAAGGCAAUCCAUCGGGCCUAGGGACACCAUCACAAUAGGAGUCAAAACAGCUUCCUAAUCUCCUCGUUAAACCUAGUAUUUUCUCUAUAGAAAUUUUCUCGUCCUCUCUAAAGAAAUCACUCUUAAGAGAGAUAUCAGGUCUACGUUCAUAUCUAAAUAACUCCUUAUUAGAGCCCUCGGGUCCCCCAGGUCCAUCUAGAACACUAUUUUUUUUUGAAAGAAAGGGGUCCCCCCUGCCCCAUUAUAUUGAAGCAGCAAAGAAAACCAGAUUCGGAAUACAAGCUUAACAGCUGGAUCCCCACACAGCCCACACCAGGCAACACCAUACAGACUGGAAACAAAACUAACUAGAAGGUGUAAACAGCCUCACAAACCAGCAAUCAUUUUAGCCUACAUGUAGUUCUUUUAUUACAAAACCCGAAGGCGAGGGCCAAAAGUGAAAGCUAAUUGUCUACUGACGACGACCGGAGAUCAGGUCCAGGCGAUACGCAGGAGCUCCCCCUGGUGUUUGUCGAGUAACAGAAUACAUGUUCACAGCAGCUCCGCUUGGGUGUCAUAGCAGAGUACCCCCCAGUGCAGAAGCACAUUUUUCAACUUGACAAGGACGCAAUUCAAGCCUCUCCAUGAGCGGCCCUGAAAACAGAAAUCAUUCCUUAGCCUCCAAAUGCUCCACAAGGAUGCAGCCAUGACCAGAUUGAGCAUAGGUUUACAUUUGUAAGAACACCACACAACACAUAUGUCUUCCCAACAAGUAAAAGGUUGCACAUUAAAAAGCUCACAGACCAUAGAACAAACACAUUUGGCCACAACACAAUCAAAAAAUAGAUGUUGAGUGGACUCAUUUUCUCUACAAAACAGGCAGGAGAGGUCUUCCACCUGUCUACUUUUGUUCAAAUUAUCUCUGGUCAGAAAUUUAUUGUACACACAAAGCCACAUGAAAACAUGAAUAUUUUGAGGACACAAAACUUUCCAAAGAGAUUUUCCAAUUGGAGAAACAAUUCCUCCAAAGUUUAUAACUUCAUAGAAAGAUUUAACUGAGUACAGCCCCUUAGGUUAAAGAGACUAGAUAGGCAAAUCUGGCGAGGUAGACAGAGGGAAAUCCCUAAUGUGGUCUUGUAAUUGAUUCCACCUAAGAAUCCCCCUCAGAUCGACACAUCGCCUAAAUGUAAGUUUCAGAGUAGUCCCAUCCCACACUUGAUCCACUGAACAAUCAGGCUGGUUGCAAAUUUCAAACAGGUCCCAAAACAUAGUUCUUAGGGAACAAUCCCCAGCCCACGUAUCAUGCCAAAAACUUAUUUUAUCACCUCUCCCCACCUUCCAAACAUAGAAAGUUUUUGAAGCAUUUAAAGCCCGGGUCACACUUUUCCAGAAGGGGGACCCAAUUUUUUGUUUGGCCCACUGAAUAUUCGGCGAGUGAGUGUUAUAUUUAAAAGCCAAAAUCUUUUUCCAAUCACUGUCAUUAAAGUCAAAGAAACGUUUUCCCCAUGAGGCCAAAAGGGCCAUGUUGAAUUCUUUCAAGUUGGGGAUACCAAGUCCCCGAAAUUCCUUUUUUCUAGUAACCAGACCCUAGUUGGCCAGAUGGUAUUUAUGUUGAUCAUCUAUAUUAGCCCAGAAAUAUGAGCCAUUUGAGAAUGAAUGGCAUUAAUUGUCUAUUUAGGGAAUUUAAUCAUGGCCAUAAGGUAGGCAGGAAUACUAACAAUACAGGCACACAAUAAGAUCAACUUCCCCCUAUAGGUCAAGUAUCUACCCAGCCAACCAGAAAUAUUCUUGAUAAUUCUAUCAAUAAUUGGUUGUAGAUCUUCUCUCCUCAAUUUGUCAUAGUGCACAUGCACUCCCAAGUAUUUGAUAGGAAAAGACCCCAACUUACAACAAAAAAUUUGAGCAAAGGUUUUAGACUGCUCCUCCACAUUUAUGGUGAGUAAAUCACCCUUGUGGAAAUUAAUUUUCAUACCAGAUAGGUUUUCAAAACAGGAUAAAAUCCACUUAAAAUCCCUGGCUUUGUCAUAUGAAUUCUCUAGAAAGAGAAGUGUAUCAUCAGCAUAUUGCAAGCUGAUCACUCCCCCGGGGAUAAUGUUGGUCAGAAGACCGGAUAUCAGGCCAUGUUUUGAAGCCUUGAUUAGCAUUUUGGAGAAAACAUCAGCAACUAAAUUAAAAAGCAAGGGGGAGAAGGGAUCUCCUUGUUUGAGACCCCCCCCCCCCAUAAAGUAAGGCCCAGUAGCAUCAUUGAUCCUCACACUAAAUGUACUCUGCAAAAGAGUUGUUUUAAUCCCAAAAAAUCCAUUUUUGCCCAAAACCUCUGGAACUAAGCAUUUCAAAAAGAAAGUCCCAACUUACUCUAUCAUAUGAUUUUUCAUAGUCUAGUUUGAGCACAAGCCCUUGUGAACCAAAUUUCUUAACUUCAUGAAUAACCUCACGUGCCAGGACUACACUUUCAAGUAUAUAUCUUCCGUUGAUAAAUGAAGUUUGAUUGGGAGAAAUCAUUCUAUGACUGAUAGGGGAAAAUCUAUUAGUCAUAGCUUUUGUAAAAAUCUUAAUAGCACAAUUGCUAAGACUGAUAGGUCUGAAGUUCUUCAUGUCUUUAGCAUUCACCUCCUUUGGGAUCAACACCAUCAGAGCAAAAUUAAGUUUAUGAAUAUCUAAUUUGCCCUCCUCAAAAUCUCUAACCAUGGCCAUAAAGUCUUUUUUAAUUACCUCCAUGAAGGUUUUAUAAAAGAGGAAAGGCAAGCCAUCAGGGUCAGGCGCUCCAUGUGCAUAAGAGCCAAAAAUGGCUUCCUUAAUCUCCUCUUCAGAAAAUUUUCUUUGUAGCAUUUAAUUUUCUUCUAUCGUAACCAGCUCAUCUUCCUCCCAGAAGGAAGGGCCAAGAUGAAUAUCAUGUUCUGCUUCAUACCCAAAAAGAAUUUUAUAAAAAGUAGUAGCUACAUAUAGCAUUUCGUUAGUAGUAAAAACAGGGCCAGAAUCCCAUUUAGCUCAGUCAAAUGAUUUUUUUUCUAUGCCUGUGAUUGGCAAGCGCAUGAAAAUAGGCAUUAUUUUUCUCUCCAUCUUUAAUUCUACGAUCCCUCGAACGUUGCCACAAGGCAACCUCCUCCUUACGCAAGAUAUCAUCAAGCUCUUUUUUAAUAUCCCGCAUCCGAAGCCUAUCCGCAUCCGAUACACGAUUUGACUCGGCAAAAACAUCUAGGAUAUCAAAUUCGUGCAUAAGGUCUCUCUUCUUUUUCUUAAGAGCAGCUUCAAUAUUAAUACUCUGGCCUUUAGCCUUUUUCCAAACAAUUUAGCUUUUUAUAACCAAACAUCAAUAGCAGUCCUCCCCACCACUAGGGUAUUCCACACCUCUAUAAACAUAGUUUUAAAUUCUGGGUAGUCAAGCCACCAUUUUUCAAACCGAACUGUUUUGGGGGGAGGUAACCCUCCUAGCUCAUGUGUCUAAAAUCAGGGGGUAUGAUCACUACCAAUUCUGAGUAAAGCAAUUAAACCGGAUAAAGGAAACUGAGCAUCCCAAGAAGGGGACACAAAGACUCUAUCAAUAGCAGCAAAAACAGGAUCAUCCUGAUUAUUACUCCAAGUAAAACUUCGAUUAGCAAUGCUAAUUUCCAUAAGACCCCACCUAUUAAUCCAAUCAUUGGAAAGGAAGGCAAGUUGAUUAUUAAUGAUGCCAUUGCUCUUAUCUGUAGCACAUCUCACCAAAUUAAAGUCUCCACCCAAAAUCAUAGGAUAUGUGAGAUUUGUCAUUACAUCAUGUAGUUCAGCAAUAAAUUCCAUUUUCAGAUCAUUGUAAGCAGUACCAUACACAGCAACAAAGUGCCAAACAAAACCAUCUUUUUUGUUCUUAACAGUAGUCACAACACUGUAUGUUUUAUUAAUAAAGCCAAUUAUCUCAAACAGAUCAUUAUUAAUCCCCACAAGGAUCCCACCAGCAGUGUUAAUAGCAGGGAAUUGUUGCCAAGAAAAAUCAUUUCUACCAGCAAUUCUCCUAAUGGUAAUAUCAUCAAUUUUUUCCCUCUUGGUUUCAAAGAAACCAACAAAAUCAGUGUGAUUGUUAUUAGUAAAAUCCCCUAGGCAUUGAAUUUUACCUGGUUGUCCUAGACCAUGAAUAUUCCAAAAGGAACCUAUCAUUGGAUUUUAAAAGGGUGAGAUAGGCCACAAGGCACAUUCUUACAAAGAACAAUUGGAUUGUUUACACCCAGAUCAACAGUGCCCCCUGAUCUAGAGUUGAAAACAUGACCAGAAGGGGUAUAGGCCCUCUCAGCAGCAUAUGUGGAAAUAUCUAAAUCAUGCGGUAAAACAAUUUCUGGAUUCUGGUCAGCAAAUUGCAGGCAUCUUAAUUUCUCCCUAUCCACAAUGUCCAUUAUAAUUCUCUUUUGAUCUAAGCUACUUUUUCCAACACACAAGUCAAUCUUAUUAAUUUGUUCGGCAAGAGUUUGGGUAUCAGUGGUAGCAAAAGAUUUACCUUUGAAGGAGAUAGGAAUUUCCAAAUUCUUCUUCUGUAGAUAUGCAGUAGCUUUCUCCAUAAUCUUGACAUUACCAUGGUUCCUAGUGAUUGGUCUAUUAGAGAGCACAGGCCCCCACCCCCACAUUAUUGUCCACAUCACACUUCAUCUUCUUGUCUGAUUCAGCUUUCUCUAGUGUUUCCGGGAGUGAUCUCUUAACAGAUCCAAGGGCCACCGCCAGAUCAUCAGGUAAACAUUGCAUAUCAGUUAAGCAGUGCUCCUCUUCCUCAUCAGAGUCUUCCAUUUCAAACUUACUUAACUGGGCAGAGCAACAGUCCAUAUGGACAGACAAAGGUUCAGAGCCAAAUGUGGAAGGAGAACCAACAAGAGCCGGACAGGGACUAGAAGGGCUAGAAUUCACAGGGCUUUUGUCUCUGAUUUCUUCAAUGAACUGUUCAUGGAAGCAAUCAACAAGUUUUGGAGGAUGAAACUCAGCUGCAGAAACAACUACCAUCAUGUUCUUACUUUUAGCAGCAGAGAUGUUCUUAUGAGGGAAAUUUGCUCUGUCAAGUUGAUCAAUAGGCUCAUCACCAUCCUCUUCCAUCUUGUCCUUCUCAAAUUGCUCAUUACCAUUAUCUUCCUUUUUCUCUACAGCAUUAUCAAUAUAAGGAUCACUGUCGUUAGCAUCAGAGUUGUCUCGCGCCUGUUCAAAUCCUUCCACGGUGAAAAAUAUCAUAUAUAGCUUUUUCUUCAUCUCCACCAAUCUCUCAAAAGGAAUUUUGGCAGGAUCCCUACAAGCAACUUUAAUUAUGAUAAUCUCAUAGAAACUUCUGAAAAUCCCAUUCCAGUCCACAUCCACAAGGAUGCCAAAACACGAAGCAACCUGUGUAAACACUUUCCAUGCACACCACUUGGGAGGAAUCCCCUCAACUUGUACCCAAGCUUCAGACAACUGACCAAACGCCUCCAUCAUUCCCUCACAUUCACAUAUCUUAAUAGAAACUCCAUCAAUCGGGAGGUCAAAUGCAGGGAACUCAAUCAGGUCUUCUACUUUUUUCCAAGGUGGGAAUCUAAGUAGGUAUUUCUUCUCCUCAAGCUCUCUAAUUUGCCAUGGCCAGUCUUUGUUCUUACAGAAAAUACCAUUUAGCUGGACCAAUAAGCUAGAACACUAAUCAUUUUUUCCUUCACCUCUGAUUAGCGACAACAUGGAAGUAAGCAGUGUUUGUGCCAUCCUCCAUACUAUCCUUAUCCCUAGACCUUUCACCGGCGUAGUCUCCUAUUUACUCCAAAUGUCUCCUAACUCUAGCAGAAUUUCAUCCUUCCUGCCCUUAUACCAACCUCAAAGAGGGUAUUAGACUCAGUCUAAACGCCAGAGGAUACUGUUUUGGGGACUAACAAUAUCGCUGGGUGCUACUUUGGCACCUAUGGUACAGUCGUACAGUUGCUUUUGGUAAAUACACCGCAGAGAUGAACUAUGUAGGAAAGUUUGCAAAGAACCCUGCGAACGUGGAAUGCAACACCUCUGUUUCUUUAUUUAUUCCUAAUUUUCCUCUGUUUCAGAGGGUGUUUGUUUCCAUGGACUUAUUGGUUUAGGGACUUAAAAAAGUCCCUAUAAGUCACAUCUAAACUAAACAGGAGGGACUUAUAGAGACUUAAAGUGGGCAUUUGGGACUUAUGAAAUAAGACUCUCAAGGAGAGUCUUACAGGAACUUAUAGUUGUAAUGUGGUCUUAUAGGGACUUAUAAGUCCCAGGAACCAAACAGGUAAGGACUUUUUAGAGACUUGAGACUUAUAAGUUGGGAUUAAAAAAAGUCCUAAGACUUAUGAACCAAACAGGGCCUCAGGCUCAGGAAUGCGUGCUCCUGUUAAUAUAUUCUGUAUUAUAACGUUUUCAGAGCCAACACCUGUUCUGUUCGACUGGUACUCACUGCAUUAUUUUUAGAUGAAUCUCGUGACCCUAUCUUGCGCUGAGCAGUGCAGACUUUACUAGUUUUCGUGCUUCCUUCAACUGAUGCAAUUUUUUUUUUGCGGGUUGUUUAAAUAUGCAAGCAAUGUUCUAGUAAAAGACUUGGUAGGUGAUGAAUCAAAUGCCCUUGCUCAUUCUGCCUUAAAUUACAGAGCUCAGACUAUAUAUUACAUGGUACAUACGCUGGAGAAAGAAAGAGUACUUGAUUCCCCAUUCGAUUUACACACACCACCCCAAAGAAGACACGGACACAGAUACAUUGCUGCUGCUUCUUCGACCUCCAGCCGAUCCCAUGCAAUCCGUGCGUCCGAUCUGAUGCAAUGCAACAACCCCUCUCCCACCACGCGCGCAAGCCAAAAAUCGUCUUAUAGGCCGAGCGCGCCGAGUGGCGUCUUGCCCUGUCCGGCCUCGAAGUAGAAGAUGAGCAUGGCAAGCAUGGCGAGGCGCGAGUGCUUGAUCUCGGC
rnacentral:lncRNA from 1 species